rnacentral:lncRNA from 1 species
AGCCCGCCGGGAAUGUUGUUGGACAGAAACCAUACUAAACUGUGAUUGCUUUUCGCAGUACAUAUACAUAGUCCAGUAGUCCCUCGUUCCUCACGUGCAUGGGAUUCAUGCACGCUCGUAUCUAUAAUUAGCUAGAGGGGCUGGGCGAGUAAAUAAAAGGAAUGCUGUAAUAAGCUAUGUAUUCUCCUCUCCAUCAUGGACAGUAAUAAAUAAUGAGCUUUUUUACUGUACCCUGAAAUUCAUCUGAACCUUUCAUUACAGUUAAUCUAAUCUUAAAGAUGAUUGUGAUGAUAUAUUGAAUGGUACUCCAGCACAAGUAAAUUGGAGGGAUAUACCCCCUAAAAAUCCAAGGAGAGUACCAUGUGUUUAGCUAAGCGUAUCUAAGGUUACCUUCAUAUUCAUUUACAAAAAAGGUUACCUUCAUAUUAAAAAUGAAUUAUUUCUAAUGUGCUUUGGUUAUUUUGUAGCCCAGAAUAUUUUGAUACUCUGUCCCAACAAGGAAAAUCUAGUCCCACUUUUUUUUAGGAAAAUCUCAAAAAACCUAUCUCUCAUCAAUCCGGGACUCUGCUUAGAACUCGAUCGAUCAUGAUAUUGUCGUUUGGUGAUGGGCUAUUGAUUAGAGAUAAGGGAACAUACCGCAAUAUCAAAUAUAAAAGGACCAACUGCCCUCUUAGAUGAUGUUAGGCACCGGAUCUGGAUCUAGUAUUUCUCUUCAUAGUUUCAUCUCAAGUACAUAAUGGUGUUACAGAGAGAAGGGAGAAGAACAGAAAAUAAAGCCGCCAUUGACGUGCCUUUGCCUGAUCCUCAUGGAUGCCCAGCGAGUCGCUGAGAGAGCUUAAGUAGCAUUCCACCAUUCCGGGCCCACGAACAUGCGGGUGGGCUGCUUGAUCCUAGGUGGACUUGCGAUGACGUGCUUGUGUCCCUGAUUGGUGGAAGGGGGUUUCUCUUCUGCCAUGUAAUCCGCUCGCCCCGAAUUGGCGAGGUUGUUGUUCGCUGGGACUGAGACUGGGUCGCUGACAUCCCCUACUCCUUGAGAGCAUGCUUGACCCCAAGCUGCUACAGUCGGAUACCUGCCCUUCAGAGCAAGAGAAUCUUCCCAAGAGGCAUCGAGCAGUUCAGAAUCAGACCAGCGCACCAAGUAUUGCUCGCGACGACUGACAGGGGUUUGCCGCCAGCAUUUGUCCAAGAGCUCCACUCGAGAUAGUUCAGCCGAACGAGGAACUGGUAGUGUAGAAGAUGUAGUCGUACCUGGUGCGAGUGCUUGGCAUAGCUGAGAAACAUGGAAGACAUGACGAAUGCGCACUCCUGUGGUAACGCGAGCUCAUAGGCCACAUGGUUUAUCUUGUGUAGUAUUUGGAACGGACUAAAGUAUCUGAACACAAGCUUGUGGUUGGCUCGACGGUGCACUGAAGAGUGCACGUAAGGUUGCAGCUUGACAAAAAUGGCAUCGCCCACUUGGAAUUCUCUGGCAGAACGUUUCUUGUCGGCUUGAAUUUUCAUAACGUGACGUGCUCGGUGCAGAUGUUGUUUGUGCACUUGUUGCAUAGUCUUGCGCUCCUCUAGCCAAUCUUUUAGUGGUGGAACCUUGCAUACAGAUGCAGCUUCAAUUCCCCAAUGCCUUGGCUCAUGUAUGUACAGAGCCUGAAACUGUGACAUGUCGAAUUCCGAAUUGUAGCUGGCAUUGUACCAAAACUCGACAAGUGACAAAAACUGGCUCUAGUGGUUGGGACAGGCAUGGAUGAAGCAACGCGAGUAAAUUUCAAAGCACUGGUUCACCCUUUCAGACUGUCCAUCCGUUUGUGGGUGAUACACAAUGUUCAUCUUCAGUUCCGACCCUAUGCAAGCAAAUAGCUCCAGCUAGAACCUGCUCGUGAACACUGGGUCCCUGUCUGAGAUGAUGGCUUGGGGCAGCCCAUGCAGCUUGUACAUAUUAUCCAGAUAAGAUCGAGCCAUUCUAGCUGCUGUGAAAGGAUGUUGGAGGGGUAGAAAAUGCGCAUAACGCGUGAACUUGUCCACCACCACGAGAAUGCAGAUGCAGCUUCAAUUCCCCAACUGCGAAACAAUUCCACAUCGUCUUAAGUGAGCACCAAACUCGUAACUCAUAUAUUCACCUCCUCGCUCAUAUUGUAGGAACUUUAUCUUCUUGUUACGAUGAUUUUCAACUUCACUCUGAAAUUGCUUGAACAAACCUUUCACACUUGUGCUUCAUCAAGUAGAUAUACCCAUACGUACUCAAAUUGUCAGUGAAAAUGAGAAAAUAAUGAUAUCCACCGCGCGUCUCUAUGCUCAUUGGUCCGCACACAUCAGUAUGUAUGAUCUCCAACAAGUCAUUUGCACGCUCCAUUAUUUCGGAGAACGGAGUCUUAGUCAUCUUGCCCAUAAGACAUGGUUCGCAUGUGUCAAGUGAUUCAAAAUCAAGUGACUCCAAAAGUCCAUCAGCAUGGAGUUUCUUCAUGCGCUUUACACCAAUAUGACCUAAGCGGCAGUGCCACAAGAAAGUGGGGCUAUCAUUAUUAACUCUACAUCUUUUGGUCUCAAUGUUAUGUACAUGAGUGUCAUCACAAUCGAGAUUCAAUAUGAACAAACCCCUCACAUUGGAUGCAUGACCAUAAAAGAUAUUACUCAUAUAAAUAGAACAACCAUUAUUCUCUGACUUAAAUGAGUAAUUGUCUCGCAAUAAACAAGAUCCAGAUAUAAUAUGCAUGCUCAACGCAGGCACUAAAUAAUAAUUAUUUAAGUUCAUCACUAAUCCCGAUGGUAACUGAAGUGAGAGCGUGCCGACGGCUAUUGCAUCAACCUUGAAACCAUUUCCCACGCGCAUCGUCACUUCAUCCUUCGCCAUCCUUCGUUUAUUCCGCACUUCCUGUUUCGAGUUGCAAAUGUGAGCAACAGAACAGGUAUCAAAUACCUAGGCACUACUACGAGAACUGGUGAGGUACACAUCAAUAACAUGUAUAUGAAAUAUACCUUGUUUGGCGUUGGCCGCCUUCUUAUAGGUCAGAUACUUGGGGCAGUUUCGCUUCGAGUGACCAGUUCCCUUGCAAUAAUAACACUCAGUUUCCGGCUUAGGUCCAGCCUUGGCUUUCUUCGUCAGAGGGAAACAGAUUUGCCACUCUUCUUGGAGUUACCCUUCUUUCCUUUGCCCUUUUUCUUGAAACUGGUGGUCUUAUUGACCAUCAACACUUGAUGCUCUUUCUGGAUUUCUGACUGUGCGACUUUCAGCAUCGCAAACAGCUCGGCGAGUGACUUAUUCAUCCCUUGAAUGUUAUAGUUCAACACAAAGCUCUCAUAGCUAGGUGUCAGUCAUUGAAGAACUCUUUCAGUGAUAGCCUCUUGCGGGAGUUCAAUCCCUAACUCAGCUAGACGGUUAGACUACCCACACAUUCUGAGUAUGUGUUCACUGACAGACCCGUUCUCCUCCAUAUUGCAAGCAUAGAACUUAUCGGAGGUCUCAUACCUCUCGAUCCGGGAAUUCUUCUCAAAAAUAAACUUCAACCCUUGGAACAUCUCAUAUGCUCCAUGAUGUUCAAAACGUCUUUGAAGUCCCGGUUCUAAGCCAUACAAAAUUGCACAUUGAACCAAUGGGUAGUCAUCCUUACGCGACUGCCAAGCGUUCAAAACAUCUUGGGUCGCCGUAGCGGGUGGUGCAUCACCUAGCGCAACAUCAAGGACAUAUUGAUCUUGGCCAGCCAUGAGGAUAAGCCUCAGAUUACGAGCCCAGUCAACAAAGUUGCUUCCAUCAUCUUUCAGCUUAGCUUUCUCUAGGAACGGUAUUAAAAUUCAGGGUUGCUACUCCGCGGGCCAUUGAUCUACAACAUAAAAUUUUGCAAAGAUUACUUAGACUAUGUUCAAGACAAUUGAAUUUAGCUAAUCAUAUUACUAAUAAACUCCCACUCAAAUAGACAUCCAUCUAGUCAUUCGAGUGUUGCAUGAUCCAAAUCCACCAACUCAAGUCCGAUCAUCACGUGAGUUGAGAUUAGUUUCAAUGGUGAACAUCUCCGUGUUGAUCAGAUCAACUAUAUGAUUCAUGCUCGACCUUUCGGUCUCUUGUGUUCCGAGGCCAUGUCUGUACAUGCUAGGCUCAUCAAGUUUAACCCGAGUGUUCCGGUGUGCAACUGUUUUGCACCCGUUGUAUGUCUAUGUUGAGUCUAUCACACCCGAUCAUCACGUGGUGUCUCGAAACGACGAACUGUCGCAACGGUGCACAGUCGGGGAGAACAGAAUUUUAUCUUGAAAUUUUAGUGAGGAAUCACCUUAUAAUGCUACCGUCGUCCUAAGCAAAAUAAGGUGCAUAAAAGGAUUAACAUCACAUGCAAAUCAAAAGUGACAUGAUAUGGCCAUGAACUUGUGCUUCUUGAUCUCCAUUACCAAAGCACCGGCAUGAUCUCCAUCGUCACUGGCACCGUACCAUGAUCUCCAUCAUCAUGAUCUCCAUCAUCGUCCUGCCAUCGAGGCUGUCGCGCUAUCUAUGAUGUUACUACCAAAGCUACUGCCUAGCGAUAUAUCAAGAGCAUCUGCAAGCGCAAAAUAAAUUUAAAGACAACCCUAUGGCUCAUGUUGGUUGUCGUAGCAUCGACGUGCAAGUCGAUAUUUAACUAUUACAACAUGAUCAUCUCAUACAUCCAAUAUAUCCUAUCAUGUCAUUCGCCAUAUCACAUCACAAGCAUACCCUGCAAAAGCAAGUUAGACGUCCUCUAAUUUGUCGUUGCAUGUUUUACGUGGCUGCUAUGGGUAUCUAGUAUGGUCGCAUCUUACUUACGCAUAGCCACAACAGUGAUAUGCAAAUUGCUAUUUAACCUUCUCCAAGGACCGCCUCGGUCAAAUAUGAUUCAACUAAAGUUGAAGGAACAGACAUCCACCGGUCAUCUUUAUGUUGGAAUUAUGCCCUAGAGGCAAUAAUAAAUAUAGUUAUUGUUAUAAUUCCUGUAUCAAGAUAAUCGUUUAUUAUCCAUGCUAUAAUUGUAUUGAAUGAAGACUCAUUUACAUGUGUGGAUACAUAAACAAAACACCGUCCCAAGCAAGCCUCUAGUUGGCUAGCCAGUUGAUCGAAGAUAGUCAGUGUCUUCUGAUUAUGAACAAGGUGUUGUUGCUUGAUAACUGGAUCACGUCAUUAGGAGAAUCACGUGAUGGACUAGACCCAAACUAAUAGACGUAGCAUGUUGAUCGUGUCAUUUUGUUGCUACUGUUUUCUGCGUGUCAAGUAUUUAUUCCUAUGACCAUGAGAUCAUAUAACUCACUGACACCGGAGGAAUGCUUUAUGUGUAUCAAACGUCGCAACGUAACUGGGUGACUAUAAAGAUGCUCUACAGGUAUCUCCGAAGGUGUUAGUUGAGUUAGUAUGGAUCAAGACUGGGAUUUGUCNNNNNNNNNNNNNNNNNNNNNNNNNNNNNNNNNNNNNNNNNNNNNNNNNNNNNNNNNNNNNNNNNNNNNNNNNNNNNNNNNNNNNNNNNNNNNNNNNNNNNNNNNNNNNNNNNNNNNNNNNNNNNNNNNNNNNNNNNNNNNNNNNNNNNNNNNNNNNNNNNNNNNNNNNNNNNNNNNNNNNNNNNNACAAGCCUUGCAAGCAAUGUAACUUAGUGUAAGUUGCAGGAUCUUGUAUUAUGGAACGAGUAAAGAGACUUGCCGGUAAACGAGAUUGAAAUAGGUAUGCGGAUACUGACGAUCGAAUCUCGGGCAAGUAACAUACCGAAGGACAAAGGGAAUGACAUACGGGAUUAUAUGAAUCCUUGACACUGAGGUUCAAACGAUAAGAUCUUCGUAGAAUAUGUAGGAUCCAAUAUGGGCAUCCAGGUCCCAUUAUUGGAUAUUGACCGAGGAGUCUCUCGGGUCAUGUCUAAAUAGUUCUCGAACCCGNNNNNNNNNNNNNNNNNNNNNNNNNNNNNNNNNNNNNNNNNNNNNNNNNNNNNNNNNNNNNNNNNNNNNNNNNNNNNNNNNNNNNNNNNNNNNNNNNNNNNNNNNNNNNNNNNNNNNNNNNNNNNNNNNNNNNNNNNNNNNNNNNNNNNNNNNNNNNNNNNNNNNNNNNNNNNNNNNNNNNNNNNNNNNNNNNNNNNNNNNNNNNNNNNNNNNNNNNNNNNNNNNNNNNNNNNNNNNNNNNNNNNNNNNNNNNNNNNNNNNNNNNNNNNNNNNNNNNNNNNNNNNNNNNNNNNNNNNNNNNNNNNNNNNNNNNNNNNNNNNNNNNNNNNNNNNNNNNNNNNNNNNNNNNNNNNNNNNNNNNNNNNNNNNGAAGCCCAUAGGCCUUUGGGGAGACACACCAGCCCUUAGUGGGCUGGUGGGACAGCCCACAAGUGCCCUAUGCGCCAAGGAGAAGAAAAUCAAGAGAGAAAGAAAAAAAAAGGAGGAGGUGGGAAGGAAGGGGGACUCCCUCCCACCAAACCUAGUCCAACUCAGUUUGGGGGGGGAGAGUCCUCCCCCUUGGACUCGGCCGACCCCCUUGGGGCUCCUUGAGCCCCAAGGCAAGGUCCCCUCCCUCCCACCUAUAUAUACGGAGGUUUUAGGGCUGANNNNNNNNNNNNNNNNNNNNNNNNNNNNNNNNNNNNNNNNNNNNNNNNNNNNNNNNNNNNNNNNNNNNNNNNNNNNNNNNNNNNNNNNNNNNNNNNNNNNNNNNNNNNNNNNNNNNNNNNNNNNNNNNNNNNNNNNNNNNNNNNNNNNNNNNNNNNNNNNNNNNNNNNNNNNNNNNNNNNNNNNNNNNNNNUCGGGCGGAGCCCUGCUGAGACAAGGUCAUCACCAACCUCCGGAGCGCCGUCACGCUGCCGGAGAACUCUUCUACCUCUCCGUCUCUCUUGCUGGAUCAAGAAGGCCGAGAUCAUCGUCGAGCUGUACGUGUGCUGAACGCGGAGGUGCCGUUCGUUUGGUACUAGAUCGUGGGACUGAUCGCGGGAUUGUUCGCGGGGCGGAUCGAGGGACGUGAGGACGUUCCACUACAUCAACCGCGUUCUCUAACGCUUCUGCUGUACGGUCUACAAGGGUACGUAGAUCACUCAUCCCCUCUCGUAGAUGGACAUCACCAUGAUAGGUCUUUGUGCGCGUAGGAAAAUUUUUGUUUCCCAUGCGACGUUCCCCAACACUUUAUGCAACAAGUUGCAUGUCAGUCGAUGAAACCGGUCUCUCGUAAGCGUACGAGUAAAGUUGGUCUGGGCCGCUUCAAUCCCACAAUGAUGCUGAAUCAGGAAAAGACUAAGCAGGAAAGAAAAUUGAACAUCAACGCCCACAAACUCUUUUGUGUUCUACUCGAGAUAUCAUCUACGCUUGAACCUAGCUCAUGAUGCCACUCUUGGAGAACGUUGCAUGGGAANNNNNNNNNNNNNNNNNNNNNNNNNNNNNNNNNNNNNNNNNNNNNNNNNNNNNNNNNNNNNNNNNNNNNNNNNNNNNNNNNNNNNNNNNNNNNNNNNNNNNNNNNNNNNNNNNNNNNNNNNNNNNNNNNNNNNNNNNNNNNNNNNNNNNNNNNNNNNNNNNNNNNNNNUCAUCUACGAGAGGGAGAUCGGAUCCACAUACCCUUGUAGAUCACUAAGCGGGAAGCGUUAAGAAACGUGGUUGAUGUAGUGGAAUAUCUUCGUGAUCCAAAUCGCCGCCGUCCCACGAUCCGUCCCGAUCUAGCGCCGAACGGACGGCACCUCCGCGUUCAGCAAACGUACAGCUCGACGAUGAUCUCGGCCUUCUUGAUCUAGAGAGAGGGGCCGGUGAGGUAGAUGAGUUCUCCGGCAGUGCGACGGCGUGACGGUGAUGGUGGUGGAGCUAGUCCAGCAGGGCUUCGUCUAAGCACAGCUGAAACUAGACUAGAGGAGAAACGGAUCUACAGAUAGGGCAUCACGUGGCUAAUUGUUGUGUCAAACACCCUCAAAAAUCUCUAGUAUAUAUAGGAGGAGAGGAGAGGAGGCAGCCUUGGCCCCUACUCCAAGGAGAAGGGGUCGGUUGAACCAAAGGAAGAGUCCACCUUCCCUUGUGGGAAGGUGGACUACUUUGGGAGGACUCCUCCUUCCCUUCCUUUUAAAAGUACUUUACCUUUUAUCUCUUCUCCUAGCCGCAUGGGCCUUUGAGAGAGGCUUAGGCAAGCCCACUAGGGGCUAGUACACCUCUUCUCACAGCCCACGAGGCUCUUGGGUCGUCACACCCCUUCCGGUGGUUCCCCGGCACCCUCCCGAUACUCCCGGUACACUACCGAUGAGCCCGAAACUUUUCCGGUGACCAAAACAGGACUACCUAUAUAUCAAUCUUUACCUCCGGACCAUUCCAGAGCUCCUCGUGACGUCCAGGAUCUCAUACGGGACUCCGAAGAACCUUCGGUCACCAACACCUAUAACUCAACUAUACCAAAAUGUCAUCGAACCUUAAGUGUGCAGACCCUACGGGUCCGAGAACUAUGAAGACAUGACCGAGACACUUUCCGGUCAAUAUCCAAUAGCGGGACCUGAACGUCCAUAUUGGAUCCUACAUAUUCUACGAAGAUCUUAUCGGUUGAACCUUUAUGUCAAGGAUUCACACAAUCCCGUAUAUCAUUCCCUUUGUCCUUCGGUAUGUUACUUGCCCGAGAUUCGAUCAUCCAUAUUGAUACGUCUCCAACGUAUCUAUAAUUUUUUAUGGUUCCAUGUUAUUAUCUUGUCAACUUUGGAUGUUUUGUAUGCAUUUUAUAUCUUUUUUGGGACUAACCUAUUAACUCAGUGCCAGUUCCUGUUUUUUUCCCUGUUUUGACCUUUUUCAGAGGAGAAUAUUAAACGGAGUCCAAACGGAAUAAAACCUCCGAAAAGAUUUUUUCCGGAACAGAAGAUACGCAGGGAACUUGAGAACCAAGGCAAAGGGCUCCGGGGGAGGCCACAAGCCCCCUAGCCGCGGCCUGGGGGCCGCACUUAGCAGGCUUGUGGCCCCCCCGUGGCUCCUUUUCCCUACCUCUUUCACAUAUAAAUUCCCUAAAAAUCUGAAAUCACGGGAGAGAGCCAUGAAAAUACUUUUCCGCCACCGCAAGCUUCUGUCUCCGCAAGAUCCCAUCUGGGGCACGUUCUGGUGCCCUGCCGGAGGGGUGAAUCGGACAUGGAGGGCUACUUCAUCAACACCAUUGCCUCUCCGAUGAUGCGUGAGUAGUUCACCACAGACCUUUGGGUCCAUAGCUACUAGCUAGAUGGCUUCUUCUCUCUCUUGGAUCUUCAAUACAAAGUUCUUCAUGAUCUUCAUGGAGAUCGAUAUGAUGUAAUCUUCUUUUNGCAACUCCUACAACAACACUCAUGGAAAUUACAAUAAAUUACCCUCUGAUCUAGAUAGUAAUAUCAAAGAGUUCAUCAACUCUCAAAAGAUUUUCAAUGCGUCCAUAGAGGAAAAGCUACUCAAAAUUGACGAUUUGGCUAAGAGCGUUGUUAGAAUUUCUAGUGAUGUUGAUGCUUUGAAAGUUAGAUGUGCUCCUCCCAAAAUCAACAUGGAUGAAACUUUUAAAGCUAUGUGUGUUUCCAUGAUUGAGAGCCAAGAAAGAAUCGUCCAAAUUCGUGCUAGACAUGAAUGGCUUAAAAAGGCGUGUUCUCGUGAUAAGAAUCACGAAGAUCUUAAAGUGCUUGGUGUGACUCCACUGAAUCUUUGUUUUCUUGUGUCAAAUAUAAUGAUUAUGGGGCUGGAUAUGAAUCCACUUUGGUUGAAAAGUGCCCCAAUGAUUGGGAGUUCAUCUAUCUUGAUGCUAAAAGCAUUGAAAGUGGAGUAGAAGACGUUAAAACUUUGAGUAGUAAUGAAAUUACUAUUGUGGAUUUCAAGGAAUUCAAUUAUGAUAGUUGCUCCUUGAUUUAACGCAUUUCUUUGAUGCAAUCCAUGUUAAACUCUCCACACGCUUAUAGCCAAAACAAAGCCUUUACCGAUCAUAUCGUUGAAGCUAUGAUAAAAUCUCUUGAAGAGAAACUUGAAUUGGAAGUAUUCCCUAGAAAGCUUCAUGAUGAGUGGGAACCUACUAUCAAAAUCAAAAUCAAAAACUACCAAUGCAAUGCUUUGUGUGAUUUGGGUGCUAGUGUUUCUGCGAUUCCAAAGUCUUUAUGUGAUGCUCUGGGUUUUAAUGAGAUUGAAGAAUGUUCUCUUAAUUUGCAUCUUGCUAAUUCUACUGUCAAGAAACCUAUGGGAAGGAUCAAUGAUGUUCUUAUUAUUGCAAAUAGGAACUAUGUACCCGUGGAUUUCAUUGUGCUUGACAUUGAUUCCAAUCCUACAUGCCCUAUUAUUCUUGGUAGACCUUUCCUAAGGACUAACGGUGCUAUCAUCGAUAUGAAGGAAGGGAAUAUUAGAUUUUAAUUUCCUUUAAGGAAGGGCAUGGAACACUUUCCUAGAAAUAAAAUAAGAUUGCCUUAUGAAUCCAUGAAGAGGGCCACUUAUGGUUUGAGCACCAAAGACGACGAUACGUGAUUUUAUCGCUUUUCUGCCUAGCUAAGGGCAUUAAACAAUAGCCCUUGUUGGGAGGCAACCCAAUGAAUUUAUCUUUUUAUUUCUGUUUUGUUGCAUCCACACCUUCACAAUUCUGUUGUGAUUGUGUUUUUUGUGUCUAUUUUUGUGUUUGAGCCAAGAAAAACCUUUAUGACUAUGGUAAUGGUUGUUUGAUCCUGCUAGAAAAAGACAGAAAAUUUUCGCUCACGAGAUGAUUUUUCAUUUUUAUUCAGAAAGAUAUUUUGAGUUGAUUCUUUUUGCUGCUGGUUGAUAUGCUUUUUCCCCAGGCCAUCGUAAUAUUUCAGAUUGUUUGAGGUACCAGAAGUAUAAGAAGUAUACAUAUUGCUACAGACUGGUCUGUUGUUGACAGAUUCUGUUUUUGUUGAGUUGGUUGCUUGUUUUGAUGAAACUAUGGUGUAUCGGGGGGGUACUAGCCAUGGAAAAGUGAGAAUACAGUAUCCCAGCACCAAUAUAGAUAGAAUUCAAGUUUGCUACAGUACCAAAAGAAGUGGUAGUUUGUUUUCUUGUGCUAAUGUUAUCACGAGUUUCUGUUUAAGUUUUGUGUUAUGAAGUUUUCAAGUUUUGGGUGAUGUUCUCAUGGACAAAGAGAUAAAGAGUGGAAAGAGCUCAAGCUUGGGGAUGCCCAAGGCAUCCCAAGCCAAUUCAAGGACACCAAAAAGCCUAAGCUUGGGGAUGCCCCGGGAAGGCAUCCCCUCUUUCGUCUUCAAUCCAUCGGUAACAUUACUUGGAGCUAUAUUUUUGUUCACCACAUGAUAUGUGUUUUGCUUGGAGCAUCUUGUAUCUUAGGAGUCUUUUCCUUUUGUUGUGGCACAAUCAUCCUUGCUGUACACCUUUUUGAGAGAGAGAGACAUGCACUCAUCGUGAUUUUGCUAGAAUGCUCAUAGUGCUUCACUUAUAUNNNNNNNNNNNNNNNNNNNNNNNNNNNNNNNNNNNNNNNNNNNNNGUCACAAUCAUCCUUGUUGCACACCUUUUUGAGAGAGAGAGACAUGCACUCAUCGUGAUUUUGCUAGAAUGCUCAUAGUGCUUCACUUAUAUCUUUUGAGCUAGAUACUUUUGCUCUUAGUGCUUCACUUAUAUAUUUUGAGCUAGAUACUUUUGCUCUUUGUGCUUCACUUAUAUCUUUUUGAGCUAGAUACUUUUGCUCUAGUGCUUCACUUAGAUCUUUAGAGCACGGCGGUGCGUGAUUUGGUAGUUGGCUUAUGCUAUGAAAGUAGUCCCAAAUGUGAUAGGUACCCAAAGAGGAUGCAAAACCUCCAUCUUCAUGUGCAUUGAGUAGAAAGAGAAGUUUUGAUUCCUCUCAUUUAGUUUUGAGAUGUGGAUAUGGUAAUAUUAAGAGCUAUGUUAGUAGGGUGUUGUGAAUCUAGAAAUACUUGUGUUGAAGUUAGUGAUUCCCGUAGCAUGCACAUAUGGUGAACCGCUAUGUUAGGAAGUCGGAGCAUAAUUGAUCUAUUGAUUGUCACCCUUUCUGUUGAGGUAGGGAUCGUGCGAUGGUUAACACCUACCAACCCUUCCCCUCGGAGUAUGCGUUUAGCACUUUUUUUCGAUUACUAAUUAAAACUUUCGCAACAAGUAUGUGAGUUCUUCAUGACUAAUGUGAGUCCAUGGUAUAGAUGCACUUUCACCUUCCACCAUUGCUAGCCUCUCUAGUACCGCGCAAUUCUCGCCGGUGCACAAACCCACCAUGUUCCUUCCUCAAAACAACCACCAUACCUACCUGCUAUGGCACUUUCAUAGCCAUUCCGAGAUAUAUUGCCAUGCAACUCCCACCGUUCCGUCUCAUGACUUGUGCCGUCACUCUCAUAUUGCCAUUGCAUGAUCGUAAGAUAGCUAGCGAGAUGUUUCAACGUCAUACGGCAUGCUAGAUCGUUGCACAUCCCGGUACACUGCCGGAGGCAUUUCCUAUGGAGUCAUCAUUGUGAGUUUUGAGCUGUGAGUAAAUAAAAGUGUGAUGAUCAUCAUUAUUAGAGCAUUGUCCCAUGUGAGGAAAUAAAAAAAAGGAGGCCAAAGAGCCCAAAAAAAAGAGGCCUAAGAGCCCAAAUGAAAAAAAGAGAAAAGAGAGAAAAAGAGAGAAGGGACAAUGCUACUAUCUUUUUCCACACUUGUGCUUCAUAAUAGCACCAUGUUCUUCAUGAUUGAGAGCUUCUUGCUUUGUCACUACCAUAUGCUAGUGGUAAUCUUCAUUAUAUAACUUGGCUUGUAUAUUCCAAUGAUGGGCUUCCUCAAAAUUUCCCUAGGUCUUCGUGAGCAAGCAAGUUGGAUGCACACCCACUAGUUUUCCUUUUGAGCUUUCACAUACUUAUAGCUCUAGUGCAUAUCUUGUAUGGCAAUCCCUACUGAUUCACAUUGAUAUCUAUUAAUGGGCAUCUCCAUAGCCUUUUGAUACGCCGAGUCAAUGUGACCAUCUCCUCCUUUUUGUCUCACAACCACCACCACACUCUAUUCCACCUAUAGUGCUAUAUCCAUGGCUCACGCUCAUGUAUUGCGUGAUAGUUAUAAAAAGUUUGAGAAAGUAAGAGUGUGAAAACAAUUACUUGGCCAAUUCCGGGGUUGUGCAUGAUUUACAUUAGUUGUGUGAGGAUGUUGGAGCAUAGCCAGACUAUAUGAUUUUGUAGGGAUAACUUUCCUUGGCCUUGUUAUUUUGAAAGUUCAUGAUUACUUUGCUAGUUUGCUUGAAGUAUUAUUGUUUUCAUGUAAAUAGAAAACUAUUGUUUUGAAUCUUAUGGAUGUGAACAUUCAUGUCGCGUGAAAUAAGUUGCAAAGGACAACUAUGCUAGGUAGCAUUCCACAUCAGAAAUUCAUUCUUUAUCACUUCCCUACUCGAGGACGAGCAGGAGUUAAGCUUGGGGAUGCUUGAUACAUCUCCAACGUAUCUAUAAUUUUUGUUGGUUUCAUGCUAUUAUCUUGUCAAACUUUGGAUGUUUUGCAUGCCUUUGACAUAUUUUCUGGGACUAACUUAUUAACUCAGUGCCAAGUUCCAGUUCCUGUUUUUUCCAUGUUUUUGACCCCUUUCAGAGGAGAUUUUGAAACAGAGUCCAAACGGAAGAAAAUCCCCGAAAAGAUUUUUUUCCGUAACGGAAGAAGAUCGGGAAGCUUGAGAGCCAAGGUAGGGGGGCCUCACGGGCCCCACAAGCUCCCACCCCGCGGCCAGGGGGGUAGGCCGCGGCCCAUAGGCUUAUGGGCCCCCUGAGCGCCCUCUGCCCUAGGGGUUGCGCCUAUAUAUUCCCUAAAAAUCCCAAAAAAAAUCAGGAGAUCAUCGAAAGUACUUUUCCGCCGCCGCAAGCUUUUGUCUCCGCAAGGUCCCAUCUGGGCACGUUCUAGUGCCCUGCCGGAGGGGGGAUUCGUACACAGAGGGCUUCUUCAUCAACACCAUGACCUCUCCGAUGAUGCGUGAGUAGUUCACCANNNNNNNNNNNNNNNNNNNNNNNNNNNNNNNNNNNNNNNNNNNNNNNNNNNNNNNNNNNNNNNNNNNNNNNNNNNNNNNNNNNNNNNNNNNNNNNNNNNNNNNNNNNNNNNNNNNNNNNNNNNNNNNNNNNNNNNNNNNNNNNNNNNNNNNNNNNNNNNNNNNNNNNNNNNNNNNNNNNNNNNNNNNNNNNNNNNNNNNNNNNNNNNNNNNNNNNNNNNNNNNNNNNNNNNNNNNNNNNNNGUUUGUCGAGAUCCGAUGAAUUGUGGAUUUAUGAUCAGAUUAUCUAUGAAUCUUAUUUGAGUUUCUUCUGAUCUCUCUUAUGCAUGAUUUCAUAUCCUUGUAAUUCUCUUCGAGUUGUGGGUUUUGUGUGGCCAACUAGAUCUAUGAUUCUUGCAAUUGGAGAAGUGCCUGGUUUUGGGUUCAUACCGUGCGGUGACCACACCCGGUGACAGAAGGGGUAGCGAGGCACGCAUCAUGUUGUUGCCAUCAAGGGUAAAAAGAUGGGGAUUUCAUCAUUUGUUUGAGAUUAUCCCUCUACAUCAUGUCAUCUUGCUUAAAGCGUUACUUUGUUCGUCAUGAACUCAAUACACUAGAUGCAUGCUGGAUAGUGGUCAAUGUGUGGAGUAAUAGUAGUAGAUGCAGAAAGUAUUGGUCUACUUGUCUCGGACGUGAUGCCUAUAUGUAUGAUCAUUGCCUUAGAUAUCGUCAUGACUUUGCGCGGUUCUAUCAAUUGCUCGACAGUAAUUUGUUGACCCACCGUGAUAUUUGCUAUUUUGAGAGAAGCCUCUAGUGAACACUAUGGCCCCCGGGUCUACUCCACACCAUAUUUUCAGCCUUACACUUUUUACUUCGUUGCACUUUCCGCCUUCAAAUCUCACUUUGCAAACAAUCUUGAAGGGAUUGACAACCCCUUUGAAGUGUUGGGUGCAAGCUUGUUUGUGUUUGCGCAGGUACUCUGGACUUGAUGAGACCCUCCUUCUUGAUUGAUACCAUGGUUCUCAAACUGAGGGAAAUACUUACUCCUCCUAUGCUGCAUCACCCUUUUCUCUUCAAGGGAAAAACCGACGCAAACCAGAGAAGUAACAAGAAGAAUUUCUAGCGCUAGGGAAGGACUUUUGUUGCCGUAGCAAUUUCUCAUAUGCAUGAUUUCAUAUCCUUGUAAUUCUCUUCAAGUUGUGGGUUUCGUUUGGCCAACUUGAUCUACAAUUCUUGCAAUGGGAGAAGUGCUUGGUUUUCGGUCAUACAGUGCGGUGACCUCACCCAGUGACAGAAGGGGUAGCGAGGCACGCAUCGUGUUGUUGCCAUCAAGGGUAAAAAGAUGGGGUUUAUAUCUAUUACAUGAAUUUAUCCCUCUACAUCAUGUCAUCUUCCUUAAGGCGUUACUCUGUUUGUUAUGAACUCAAUACACUAUAUGCAUGUUCGAUAGCGGUCGAUGUGUGGAGUAAUAGUAGUAGAUGCAGAAAGUAUCGGUCUACUUGUCCCGGACGUGAUGCCUGUAUGUAUGAUCAUUGCCUUAGAUAUCGUCAUGACUUUGCGCGGUUCUAUCAAUUGCUCNUAGCGUUGGGUGCAAGUUUGCUGUUUUUGCGCAGGUACUUUGGAGACUUGCCUUGAUACUCCUACUGGAUUGAUACCUUGGUUCUCAAACUGAGGGAAAUACUUACUUCUACUCUGCUGCAUCACCAUUUCCUCUUCAAGGGAAAAACCAACGCAAGCUCAAGAGGUAGAAAGAAGAAUUUAUGGCGCCGUUGCCGGGGAGGAUCAAGUCAAGAAUAGUCUCCCGUCAACGUGCCAAUUUCUGGCGCCGUUGUCGGGGAGUAUCAAGUCAAGAAUAGUCUUCCUCCAACAUGUCAAUUUCUGGCACCGGGGAUUAUUCUAAGUGAAGCUUAUCCAAGUAACUAUCGCAAACUCAUCUCUUGCAUUUACUUUUUUUGCCUCUCGUUUUCCUCUCCCCCAUUUCUGAAAAACAAAAAUUUACAAAAAAAAUUACCUUUUUCGUUCGCCCUUUUCUUAGCUUGCUUUUUGUUUGCUUGUGUGGGAUAGUCUACCUAUCCUUAUGGCUAGACCUAUCGCUUUGAACGAUACUCCCGAGAGCGAAGUUCUUAAUUUCAAAAAAAUGAGGGAGAAAACUUAAAGGAUGCUUCGUAUAGGAUUUUCAAUGCUCAGAAUAGAUCUACUCAUAAGCAAUCUACUACUGUCCUACUUUGCAGCUUUUAUGUGGGUAUUUCCCCUUGGAAUAGGUAUGUUCUUGACACCAUCGUAGGUGGAAAUUUCUUGGGUAGCCGUACCGUUGAUUCUUACGGUGCUUUAAUAAAUUUAGUUGGCUCACCCCCACUCAUGGUUAAUGGAACUACCUUAACUUUGGAACAUGUGAUGCGUAGGUUGGAUAUCAUUGAAAAUAAAGUUGCUACGAUUGAACUCAUUGAAAAUUUGGAUAAAAAGAUCCACAAUCAAGUCACUCAGUAUGGAUCCAAGGUGCGAAUGACUUUGAAAAAUUUAAAGGAGAGGGAACCCACAGUUAACAAAAAACUAGGUCAUGAUUCCGCUAGAAUUGGCAAACUAGAGGAUGUUAUAACCAACUUGGGUUCCGCUUUUGCCGCUGUGCAGAACACUCCAAAUUUCGCCCACAAUAAGGCCACCAAGUCUGUUUUUGUUCCUAAAAACAAUGGUGAACCAUCUAGUAAGAUAGAUGAAGAUCUUAAGAUGAUGAGUGUUCACCCUACUUAUGGUUUGAGUACCAAAGACGACGAUACGUGAUUCUAUCGCCUUAUGCCUAGCUAAGGGCGUUAAACAAUAGCGCUUGUUGGGAGGCAAACCAAUGAAUUUAUCUUUGCUUUUUGCUUUCUGUUUUGUUGUGUCCACACCAUCAUAAUUCUGUUAUGAUUGUGUUUGUGUUUCUUUUUGUGUUUGAGCCAAGUAAAACCUUUAUGAUUAGUUUUGGUGAUGGUUGUUUGAUCUUGCUGACAAGACAGAAACUUUGCGCUCAUGAAGUUAUUUUUCAUUCCUAUCCAGAAAGAGAUUUUGAGUUGAUUCUUUUUGCUUCUGGUUGAUAUGCCAAUUGCCCAAAUUGUCAUAAUUUUUCAGAAUUUUUGAGAGAACAGAAGUAUACGAAGUAUACAGAUUGCUACAGACUGGUCUGUUUUUGACAGAUUAUGUUUUUGUUGUGUUGAUUGCUUAUUUUGAUGAAACUAUGGAUAGUAUCGGGGGGUACUAGCCAUGGAAAAGUGAGAAUACAGUAAUGUAACACCAAUAUAAAUAGAAAUCAAGUUUGCUACAGUACCUAAAGAUUUGGUAGUUUGUUUUCUUGUGCUAAUGAUAUCACGAGUUUGUGUUUAAGUUUUGUGUUGUGAAGUUUUCAAGUUUUGGAUGAUGUUCUCAUGGACAAUGGGAUAAAGAGUGGAAAGAGCUCAAGCUUGGGGAUGCCCAAGGCAUCCCAAGCCAAAUUCAAGGACACCAAAAAGCCUAAGCUUGGGGAUGCCCCGGGAAGGCAUCCCCUCAUUCGUCUUCAAUCCAUCAGUAACGUUACUUGGAGCUAUAUUUUUAUUCACCACAUGAUAUGUGUUUUUCUUGGAGCGUCUUGUAUCUUAGGAGUCUUUUCUUUUUGUUGUGUCACAAUCAUCCUUGCUGCACACCUUUUUGAUAGAGACAUGCACUCAUCGUGAAUUUGCUAGAAUACUCAUUGAGCUUCACUUAUAUCUUUUGAGUUAGGAAUUUUAGCUCGCGUGUGCUUCACUUAUAUCUUUUGAGAUAGAUAACUUUUCUCUAGUGCUUCACUUAGAUCUUUUUAGAGCACAGCGGUGUCAUAUUUUGGAUAAAUAAUAACUCUCAAUCUUCACUUAUAUAUUUUUGAGAGUGCUCUCUCUGAGUAACUUGGUAGUUGGCGUGUGCCAUGAAAGAAUCCUAAAGAUGAUAGGCAUCCAAAGAGGAUAUAAUAAAACUUCCACAUUCAUGUGCAUUGAUUAGUAAAGAGAAGUUUGAUUCCUCUCAAUUAGUUUUGAGACAUGGAUAUGGUAAUAUUAGAGUUAUAUUAGUAGGGUGUUGUGAAUCUAGAAAUACUUGUGUUGAAGUUUGUGAUUGUCGUAACAUGCACGUAUGGUGAACCGCUAUGUUAGGAAGUCGGAGCAUAAUUGAUUUAUUGAUUGUCAUCCUUUGUGUGGAGGUCGGUAUCGCGCGAUGGUUAACACCUACCAACCCUUNNNNNNNNNNNNNNNNNNNNNNNNNNNNNNNNNNNNNNNNNNNNNNNNNNNNNNNNNNNNNNNNNNNNNNNNNNNNNNNNNNNNNNNNNNNNNNNNNNNNNNNNNNNNNNNACACCUACCAACCCUUCCCCUAGUAGUAUGCGUUUAGCACUUUGUUUUGAUUACUAAUAAAACUUUUGCAAUAAGUAUAUGAGUUCUUCAUGACUAAUGUGAGUCCAUGGUAUAGAUGCACUUUCACCUUCCACUGUUGCUAGCCUCUCUAGUGCCGUGCAACUUUCGCCGGUGCACAAAACCACCAUAUACCUUCCUCAAAACAGCCACCAUACCUAACUAUCAUGGCCUUUUCAUAGCGAUUCCGAGAUAUAUUGCCAUGCAACUCCCACCGUUCCGUCUCAUGACUUGUGCCAUCACUUUCAUAUUGCCAUUGCAUGAUCGUAAGAUAGCUAGCAAGAUGUUUCAACGUCAUACGCUAAGCUAGAUCGUUGCACAUCCGGUACACUACCGGAGGCAUUUCCUAUAGAGUCAUCAUUGCUCUAAGUAUUGAGUUGUGAGUAAAUAGAAGUGUAAUGAUCAUCAUUAUUAGAGCAUCGUCCCAUGUGAGGAAAUAAAAAAAAAUAGGCCAAAUAUGCCCACCAAAAAAAUAUAUGAAAAGAGGCCAAAGAGCACAAACAAAAAAAGAGAGAAAAAGAGAGAAGGGACAAUGCUACUAUCUUUUUCCACACUUGUGCUUCAUAAUAGCACCAUGUUCUUCAUGAUUGAGAGUCUCUUGUUUUUUCACCACCAUAUACUAGUGGGAAUCUUCAUUAUAUAACUUGGCUUGUAUAUUCCAAUGAUGGACUUCCUCAAAAUUGCCCUAGGUCUUCGUGAGCAAGCAAGUUGGAUGCACACCCACUAGUUCUCCUUUUGAGCUUUCACACACUUAUAGCUCUAAGUGCAUCCGUUGCAUGGUAAUCCCUACUCAUUCACAUUGAUAUCUAUUGAUGGGCAUCUCCAUAGCCCAUUGAUACGCCGAGUCAAUGUGACCAUCUCCUCCUUUUUGCCUCACAACCUCCAUCACACUCUAUUCCACCUAUAGUGCUAUAUCCAUGGCUCACGCUCAUACAUUGCGUGAGAGUGGAAAAAGGAUUGAGAAAGUAAGAGUGCGAAAACAAUUACUUGGGCAAUACCGGGGUUGUGCAUGAUUUAAAUUCGUUGUGUGGGGAUGAUGGAGCAUAGCUAGACUAUAUGAUUUUGUAGGGAUAACUUUCUUUGGCCUUGUUAUUUCAAAAGUUCAUGAUUACCUUGCUAGUUUGCUUGAAGUAUUACUGUUUUCAUGUCAAUAGCAAACUAUUGUUUUGAAUCUUACGGAUCUGAACAUUCAUGUCACAUGAAAGAAGUUGCAAAGGACAAAUAUGUUAGGUAGCAUUCCACAUCAAAAAUUUAGUCUUUAUCACUUCCCUACUCGAGGACGAGCAGGAGUUAAGCUUGGGGAUGCUUGAUACGUCUCCAACGUAUCUAUAAUUUUUGAUGGUUCCAUGCUAUUAUCUUGUCAACUUUGGAUGUUUUGUAUGCAUUUUAUAUCUUUUUGGGGACUAACCUAUUAACUCAGUACCAAGUGCCAGUUCCUGUUUUUUUUCAUGUUUUCGACCUUUUUCAGAGGAGAAUAUUAAACGGAGUCCAAACGGAGUAAAACCUCCGGAAAGAUUUUUCCGAAACAGGAGAUACGCAGGGAACUUGAGAACCAAGGCAAAGGGAUCCGGGGGAGGACACAAGCCCCCUAGCCGCGGCCUGGGGGCGCGCCUAGCAGGCUUUUGGGCCCCCCGUGGCUCCUUUGCCCUACCUCUUCCGCCUAUAAUUUCCCUCAAAACCUGAAACCACGGGAGAGAGCCAUGAAAAUACUUUUCCGCCGCCGCAAGCUUCUGUCUUCGCAAGAUCCCAUCUGGGGCACAUUCUGGUGCCCUGCCGGAGGGGGGAUUCGGACAUGGAGGGCUUCUUCAUCAACACGAUUGCCUCUCUGAUGAUGCGUGAGUAGUUCACCACAGAACUUCGGGUCCAUAGCUAGUAGCUAGAUGGCUUCUUCUCUCUCUUGGAUCUUCAAUACAAAGUUCUCCAUGAUCUUCAUGGAGAUCUAUCCGAUGUAAUCUUCUUUUGCGGUGUGUUUCUCGAGAUCCGAUGAAUUGUGGAUUUAUGAUAUGAUUAGCUAUGAAUCUUAUUUGAGUUUCCUCUAAUCUCUCAUAUGCAUGAUUUCAUAUCCUUGUAAUUCUUUUCGAGUUGUGGGUUUCGUUUGGCCAACUUGAUCUACAAUUCUUGCAAUGGGAGAAGUGCUUGGUUUUGGGUUCAUACCAUGCGGUGACCUCACCCAGUGACAGAAGGGGUAGCGAGGCACGCAUCGUGUUGUUGCCAUCAAGGGUAAAAAGAUGGGGUUUAUAUCUAUUGCAUGAAUUUGUCCCUCUACAUCAUGUCAUCUUGCUUAAGGCGUUACUCUGUUUGUUAUGAACUCAAUACACUAGAUGCAUGUUGGAUAGCGGUCGAUGUGUAGAGUAAUAGUAGUAGAUGCAGAAAGUAUCGGUCUACUUGUCUAGGACGUGAUGCCUAUAUGUAUGAUCAUUGCCUUAGAUAUCGUCAUGACUUUGCGCUGUUCUAUCAAUUGCUCGACAGUAAUUCGUUCACCCACCGUAAUAUUUGCUAUCAUGAGAGAAGCCUAUAGUGAACACUAUGGCCCCCGGGUCUACUUCACAUCAUAUUUUCAGCCCUACACUUUUACUUUGUUGCACUUUCCACCUUCAGAUCUCACCUUGCAAUCAAUCGUGAAGGGAUUGACAACCCCUUUGUAGCGUUGGGUGCAAGUUUGCUGUUUUUGCGCAGGUACUUUGGAGACUUGCCUUGAUACUCCUACUGGAUUGAUACCUUGAUUCUCAAACUGAGGGAAAUACUUACUACUACUGUGUUGCAUCACCCUUUCCUCUUCAAGGGAAAAACCAACGCAAGCUCAAGAGGUAGCACGUAUCGACAUACCUAUUUCAAUCUUGUUACCGACAAGUCUCUUUACUCAUUCCGUAAUACAAGAUCCCGUGGCUAACCCUUUAGUCACAUUGCUUACAAGGCUUUUUGUGAUGUUGUGUUACCGAGUGGGCCUCGGGAUACCUCUCCGUCACACGGAGUGACAAAUCCCAGUCUUGAUCCAUGCUAACUCAACGGAUACCUCCAGAGAUACAUGUAGAGCACCUUUAUAGUCACCUAGUAACGUUGCGAUGUUUGAUACAUACAACGCAUUCCUCCGAUGUCAGUGAGUUACAUGAUCUUAUGGUCAUAGGAAUGUAUACUUGACAUGCAGAAAAAAUAGCAACAAAAUAACACAAUCAUAUGCUAGGUUUAUUGUUUGGGUCUUGUCCAUAACAUCAUUCUCCUAAUGAUGUGAUCCAGUCAUCAGGUGACAACACUUGUCUAUGGCUAGGAAACUUUAACCAUCUUUGAUCAACGAGCUAGUCAACUACAGGCUAACUAAGGACAUUGUUUUGUCUAUAUAUCCACACAUGCAUUUAUUUUUCCAUUCAAUACAAUUAUAGCAUGGAUAAUAAACGAUUUUCUUGAAAUAGGAAAUAUAAUAAUAACUAUUUAUUAUUGCCUCUAGGGCAUAUUUCCAACAUGGACCUCCCGUGAGGAAAAGUUGGGUUCCCAAAAGCUGAUUGGAAAAUCUUCACGUGAAUGUCCUCAUGACACCACCAGUGAUGAACUAGAACCCCACAUCAAAUUCCUCAGGUGGACCAAAGUCUUCACGAGGAUCAAAUUCCUCAAAUGGUCAAAAUUAUUCUUGUACUCACACUAAUGCUUGUGAUAUGCAGGGAAACUACAAUGGACAUGAAUAUGAGCACUAUUCCUCAAAUCAUUAUGUUCAUAAGUCCUCAAAGAAUUUCUCUGCCUAUUCAUUUGAGUACUCUAACCCCCUUACUGUGAAAAGAAGUGCAUUAGCUUCAAUGCCUCCAUUUUCAUAUGGUGCUCGCAGGAUGAUGAAUUCUUUGCCACCCCUUCAGAUGUGGGUGGUGAACAAAUCGAACUAAUCACUUUUGCACGUCAGGUCUCCAGAUGAAAGUCAUCGUGUGAAGAAUUUUCUGGAGACCUCAGGAAAUUGCUUGAUUGGAUGUAAGCUAAAAUGUGAUGAAAUGAUCUAACAUUUCACUCGUCAUCAAAUUUACUGUUUGUGAUGAAAUUCAAGUCUGAUGAAAUUGAUAUCGUAUUAUUCAAAUCUGAAGCAUAUGAGAUGGUAAGUUGUACUAAUUCAUCUGUAGGAUGGUAAACCCAAGAACACAGAGUGGGUUCUUGAUAGUGGAUGUACAAAUCACAUGACUGAUGAUAAAAGCACAGCGGUACCACUGAAGCAAAUCACUUACGCUGAUAAAGGUAAAAGCAAGGUAUUGGGACUUGGUAAAGUGGCUAUCUCCAAGGACCGACACAUGGACAAAGUUAUGAUUGACGAAUCCCUUGGGUUUAACCUCAUGUCAGUCUCAAUGCUUUGUGAUCUUGAUAUGAUUGUCAUCUUUGGAAAAUAUACAUGUGUAGUCAUCAUGGAACCUGACAAAUCCAAAGUCUUCGAAGGCUUUAGGAGAGGAGACUUUUAUAUUGUUGAUUUUUCUACACGUCCUCAAUGUUAGGGCAUAUUUUAUGCCUAAGUAAUUUUGGUGAUUGAUGAUAGUACCGCAAAGGACUAAUCGUGUGUGUUAAGAUUUCAGAUAACACAUGUCAACGACACAAGACGACUCGUCCCCUCUUUCCAUGGAACAGAAGCACNCAUAUGUUGCUUACCCAAACUUGUUAAGAUUAAUUAAAAAGUGGUCGUUGCCUACUCACACCCCCCCCUCUAGUCAACCAUAUCGAUCCUUUCAAUUGGUAUCAGAGCCACAUCUCUUUAUUAAGGGUUUAACCACCUGAAGAGUAUGAAAGAUGAUGAGGGAGUUCCCCGUGCACAAACCGAGGGCAUGGACUUGACUUCGAUCACAAGGGACGACUUGAAUAUGGCUAUGGCCGCACUCAAGACGUCCAUGAUGAACGAGGUCAAGACCAUGCUUAACGAGUUAAUUGAGGGAAUUAAAAACUCUCCCGAACCGGCAUUGGUGGUUAAACCCACCACCACGGAUUCGGAGGCCAAUUCCGUUAGGGAAACGGCUAAAGGUAUGCAACCUCCCCCUCCUCUCGAAAAUGAUGGGAAUGGGACGUAUGCAUCUGUCCCACCACCCUUAGUCUAUGGAGGACCGGUUCCUACACCGCGUCUUAAUCCUGCUGGUCCUCCUCCUAAGCUUGUAAAAGGUGAUUUUGCUAACUGGGUAUUUUCUAUUAAGUCUCAUUUGAAUCACAGCUCAACAAAUUUGUGGAGAAUCAUCGAGCAAGGCUAUUAUCCCCAUGAUCCAAGCAACCUCACUCCAAGAGAAGAAGCGGACAAUCAAUAUAAUCACUCUGCUUUGUUUAUUCUCUAGUCCGUAGUGCCACCUGAAGAUCUUCCUCACUUCCAUCCCUUCACUUUUGCCAAGGACUGUUGGGAGCACAUUAUGGUGUUGUACAAGGGAAGCUCAAGCAUUCAAUAGUCCAACUAUGAAGUCGUACUUGAUAAGGCCGAUGAGUUUGUGAUGAAGGAAGACGAGGACCCUCGUGAUCUCUAUCGGAGGGUGACUGCUAUUGCUGUGGCACUCAAGGACCAUGGGAGCAAGGAUGUGGAUGAUACAUGGGUCAAGCGCAAGUUUCUCAAAGCCAUCAUGCCUUUCAAUAAAGCCAUGUCAUUUGUCAUUCGUCAGCGACCAGACUUCCACUCCUUGUCUUCCAGUGAGGUGUUGGAUGAAUUCAUUGCAAUGUCAAUCAUGAACGAGACAGCUGACAAUGCACUUGCUCGUGUUCGCUCAAAGACAGCUUCACCCAACCUUGCGUUAAAGGCAAAAGCAACUUUUGAAGAAGAAGAAGAGGAUGAGGAAGAGGAGAGCUGCCUUGAAGACAUGAAGUAUGCUUAUCAUGAGCACAUGGCUCUUGCGUCAAGGCAAUUCUGGGGUAGCAAGAGGAACUCAAGACCCACCUUCACCAAGAACAACUCAAGUGGGUUCAAACCCAAGCAACGAGUGAGGACAUGCUAUAACUGUGGUAACGUGAGUCACUUCAUGGCCGAAUGUCCCUAUGAGAAAAGGGAAGACAACGGGGGCAAGCUCAUUCGCAAAGACAGAACUAAGUCAUUCCCAAUCAAGAACAACUUUGUGAAGAAACCCCACCCAAAGGGCAUGGUGGCCCUUGAAGAGUACCCUUCCGAUGAUGAUGAUGAUAAUGAUAUGGUGGCAACGGCAACUGUUGCUAUUGCCACCCUCUCUCCCAAGAAGGUGUCUCUCUUCAACGCCCCCAACGAGAACCACAUCGCCAAGUGCCUCAUGGCAAAAGGUAUCAAUCAGGUAACCCCCAUCAUUAAUACCAACAUCGCUACUGCUCCUUCAUUGUUAAAUUGUGUUGAUCAUAGUGCUGUUGGGGAACUUAAUGAGCAUGAUCUUGACAAGUUUCUGUGCACUAUUAAGGGAGAAUCCAAGAAGCAUUUUGUUGCUCUCCUGGAACAACUGGGUGAGGCCAAUGACCUCAUCGAGACUCAUGAGGAGACCAUCUCCGAGCUUCAGGGACAUAGUCGUGACUAUGCCGAUGAAAUUGUUGAAUUAUCUAUUGCACUAGAAAAAGAGUGCACUCUUCGUUUGGCUCUUGAGGAGUCAUACAACGAUGACUGCGCUAAAAUGCAAAAGAAACUAGAUCAUGAUACUGUUCUUACUCGUAUGCUUAAGUCUGAAAAGUAUGCUCUUGGGGUUGGCCAUGAUAGACUCAAAGUGGAGUUUGACACAAUUGACAAGGCUCACAAGGUCUUGAAAGGUGUUCAUUUCUCUCUGAAAGAGUCUCAUGAUCAACUCCAAGCAAAGCUUACCAAGGAGAUCUCUACUUGUCCUCCCUUUGUGUUAAUUGAUAAUGCUUGUACAACUAAUCCUUGUUGUGAGCAUGUACAUCUUGUGGAGGAAAAUGCCAAGUUAAAGGAGAAACUUGAGAAGGGCCUUGUGGCAUACAUACAAGGUGAGAAGAGCCUGAAUGACCUCUUGAGCAAUCAAAAGGGUGUUGUAGGAAAGGAGGUACUUGGACUUACCUCCAAGUCAAAAGGAAAAAGGAGGAACAAAAACAAACGAUCCUCUACCCUCAUGGACAUCUUUGUCAAAGAGGGCGAAGGGACUCAGGAGGUGAACAGGAACAAGGUGGACGAUGGUAAUGUCAAGAAGGGCAAAACCAUUCCUACUAACACAGCCGGCAAACUCAAUCCUUCCUAUGUCUUAUGUUGUGCUGGUGAUGGGCAUGUUUAUGCCAGAUUUGUUGGUUCUUACCAUGAGUCCAUUGAAUGGGCUAUCUGGGUUCCUAAGACCCUUGUCUCUAACAUUAAAGGACCCAUUAAAAAAUGGGUACCUAAAACCAAGCCUUGAUCUAUUGCAGGAGUUUUCUUCCGGUGGGGUGUCAUGGUUGCUCGAUAGUGGAGCAACAAAUCAUAUGACCGGAAGCAAGGACUUAGUGGUGGAUGUGCAUCCUUCUGCAUCUAUGCCCACCCGUGUCCAAUACGCCGAUGCAUCCUCGUCAAAGGUAUUGGGAUUUGGUAAGGUGGUCAUCUCUCAAGAGUUAUAUAUUGAGAAGGUCAUGCUUUUGAUUCUCUUGCCUACAAUUUACUUUCGGUUCGUCAACUUGCAAUUAUGGGGUUUUCCACUUUCUUUAAUCUUGAUACUGUGGUCCUCCUCUGGAGCAAGACUCUUAAAGUAGCCUAUGUUGGAUAUGUCGAAAAUGGUCUUUAUGUGGUGAACUUCUCAAAGCGACCCACUAAGACUGCGACAUGUUUAAUGGCUAAAGUUGAUGUGGGCUGGCUUUGGCAUCGCCGACUAGCUCAUGUCAAUAUGAGGUCUUUGCAAAGUCUUCUCAAAGGGGACCAUAUUCGUGGACUAACAAAUGUGAGUUUUGCUAGAGAUCGUGCUUGCAGUGCCUGCAUUGAAGGAAAGAUUCAUGAAAUUGCACAUCGUCCAAUGACUCUCAUUUACACUAAGACGCCAUUGGAGCUCCUCCAUAUGGAUCUUUUCGGUCCUCCAUCAUUUGAUAGUCUUGGAGUCAGAAAGUACUGCUUGGUGAUUGUUGAUGACUACUCAAGAUACACCUGGGUAUAUUUCUUCAAAAGGAAGAGUGAGACUCAACAAACUGUCAUCAACUUUGCUAAUGAAGCUCAACAUCAACAUGAAGCAAAGAUCUUGAUGAUUAGAAGUGACAACGGCACCGAGUUCAAGAACUACACCUUGGAUGAGUUUCUAGGUGAUGAGGGAAUAAAGCAUCAAUAUUCAACACCAUAUACCCCUCAACAAAAUGGCAUGGCAGAAAGGAAGAACCAGACUUUGAUGGAUGCUGCAAGAACAAUGAUGGCGGAAUUCAAAUCUCCAUAUAACUUUUGGGCUCAGGCCAUCAACACAGCAUGUCAUGCGUCCAGUCGACUCUAUAUCCGCAAAGGCUUGAACAAGACUCCAUAUGAGAUUCUCACUAGAAACAAACCCAAUCUCAAGUACUUCCGGGUAUUCGGUUGUACUCAAGAAAGGUGCACGUUUAGCUAAAUUUGAUCCUAGAGCACAAGAGGGCAUCUUUGUUGGUUAUGCUACAAACUCUCAUGCUUACCGUGUCCUCAACAAGUCCACCGGACUCAUUGAGGAGACGUGUAACGUGGAGUUUGAUGAAAAUAAUGGCACCCAAGUGGAGCAAAGUGGUCUUUGUGAUGUAGGUGAUGAAAUUCCUCCCCAAGCCAUAAGAAGAAUGGGGAUUGGUCAAAUACUCCCCAUUGAGGAACCCCUUGUGGCCGAAGCAUAAGGACAAUGCUCUACUCAAGUGGAGCCAUCACCCCCACAAGCCCCACAUGCUUCCGAUGAACAAAGAGAAGACUCACAACAAGUUGAACAAGCUCAAGGUCAAGAUCAAUUGCCCAACAAUGGUGAUGUGUCCCAUGAUAUUCAAGCACUUACCCAAGGUUCCGAACCUGCUCAAGAUCAAGAUCAAGUGCAACCACAAGAUCCAGACCAAAUAGAAGCACAAGAUCAAGAUCAAGAGAAACCACAAGUACAAGGACAAACAAGUGAACCUGCUCAAGUCAAAAAUCAAGAUGAUCAGGAUACUGUCUCGCAAUUCCCUUCUGCAGCACCAACAGCCGGUGCCAAGGGAAGUUCAAGACCAAGGGCAAGCAAAGUAAAAAAGUCGAUGCUCCCCAGUUAUCCAAUGAAGAACUCUUGGAGCGUCGAGCAGCCAAGAUUGCGAACAAGCUGAAAGUCAAGUCACAUCUUAUGAAGAAUGUACUUGACAGUUUAAAAAAGGGAGUAUCCACCCGUCAACAGAUUUUGAAUUAGUGUGAGCAUCACGCGUUUGUUUCGUAUUGUGAACCUCAACAGGUACAGGAAGCGCUUGAUGAUGAGGAUUGUCUUAUGGCCAUGCAUGAAGAACUUAACAACUUCGAGCGUAAUCAAGUCUGGGAUUUAGUACCAAGACCAAAGGAGGAUCAUAAUGUCAUCGGGACCAAAUGGAUUUUCAAAAACAAGCAAGAUGCCAAUGGGAUUGUGAUUCGAAACAAGGCAAGAUUGGUGGCUCAAGGCUACUCCCAAGUCGAGGGUAUCGACUACGGUGAAACCUUUGCCCCUGUUGCUCGUCUAGAAUCUAUUUGCAUGCUGCAUGCAUUUGCUUCUCAUCAUAACUUCAAAUUACAGCAAAUGGAUAUGAAAAGUGCCUUUCUUAAUGGUCCUUUAAAUGAAUUGGUCUAUGUCAAACAACCCCCGGGAUUCGAACAUCCCAAGCUCCCAAAUCAUGUGUACAAACUUAAUAAGGCACUCUAUGUCCUUAAACAAGCCCCACGUGCGUGGUAUGAGUAUCUUACUGAGUUAUUACACGAUCGUGGGUUUGAAAUUGGGAAGAUAGAUCCCACUCUUUUUACUAAGAGGGUUAAAGGGGAUUUGUUCAUAUGCCAACUAUAUGUUGAUGAUAUCAUUUUUGGUUCUCCUAACAUUUCCUUCAAUGAAGAAUUUGCUGCACUAAUGACCAAGAAAUUUGAGAUGUCCAUGAUGGGAGAGUUGAAGUUCUUCCUAAGAUUCGAGAUUAAAUAGGGUCUAGAAGGGACCUUCAUCAAACAAGCCAAGUACACUCAAGACAUGCUCAAACGGUUCGAGCUUGAAGAUGUCAAGCCGGUCAAGUUCCCCAUUCCAACAAGAUGCAAACUUGAUAGUGAUCCCAAUGGUAAAGCAGUGGAUCAAAAGGUAUAUCGCACCAUGAUUGGAUCCCUCCUUUACCUUUGUGCAUCUAGACCAGAUAUUAUGUUGAGUGUAGGGAUAUGUGCACGGUUUCAAUCCGCACCAAAAGAAAGUCAUUAUAUGGCUGUUAAGCGAAUCUUUCGAUAUUUGGCUCAUACCCCAAACUUUGGUCUAUGGUAUCCCAAAGGAGCAAACUUCAACCUAGUGGGCUAUUCUGACUCAGAUUGGGCAGGAGAUUGUGUGGACAGGAAAUCAACUUCUGGAGGACGCCAAUUCCUUGGUCGCUCACUGGUAAGUUAGUCUUCAAAGAAGCAGAAUUGUGUCUCGCUAUCAUCCACCGAAGCUGAGUAUGUGGCAGCUGCAAGUUGUUGUGCACAAUUGCUAUGGAUGAGGCAAACUUUAAAGGAUUACGGUGUCACUUGUGACAAAGUGCCGCUUCUAUGUGACAAUCAAAGUGCUAUCAAGAUUUCCCUCAACCCAGUGCAACAUAGCAAGACCAAGCAUAUUGGCAUUCGCCAUCACUUCAUUCGUGAACAUAUCAAGCUUGGUGAUAUUGAGGUUCACUUCAUCCACACCGAAGAGCAACUUGCAGAUAUUUUCACUAAGCCCCUAGAUGAAUCAAGGUUCCGGGAGUUAAGGCAUGAGCUAAAUAUCAUUGAUUCAAGUAAUGCGGAUUGAAGCUAGGCACUUUGCUCCUCACUAGGCAUUCGAUCGUGUUCUAGAUGUAGGCAUGGACAUAGGGGGGAGUGUUGUUCUCUCAAUAAACUUUUCCUCCCCCCAUUAUGCAUAAAUUGAUCAAGUCUUUCACUUUAGCCAGUACCAAAUGGCACUUGUGCUUCAAAGACGAGAAUUUGUCAUGAACCCAAGGAUAAAUCUUUGUGGUGUCAUACCUUUGUCUCAAACAUAGGUGGCCUCGGCCACCGCCCCCACCUUUCUCUCAUAUGGAAGAAAGGAUACAACAUGACGAGUCAGUAUAUAUUGCUGGUGCUAUCUUCUUAUUCACUGGCUUGUCGUUUGCCCACGUCUUUCUCAUGCAAUCAUAUGUCUCGUUGUGCCAUUUGGAGCGGUACUACCGCUAGGGGUAGCGGUACUACCGCCAGGACCCCAGCGGUACUACCGCCAGGGGUAGUGGUACUACCGCCAGAACCCGAGCGGUACUACCGCUCGGGAUAGCGGUACUACCGCCAGGACCCGAGCCUACCACGACCUGACUAGGGCUUUUAGGGCUGUCUCAAGGGGGAGCGGUACUACCACCAGGGGGAGCGGUAGUACCGCCAGGACCCCAGCGGUACUACCGCUACAAGCAGCGGUACUACCGCCAGGACCCCAGCGGUACUACCGCUGGCCCGUACCACUUGGACUAUAUAAAGGAGGGGGAACCCGUUUUUCCUGCCCUCUUUCUUCUUCCUCGUGGCUCUCCCUUCCCCAACCCCGAACUCCCCCUAUUUGGAUCUCUAUCUGUGGAGCCCCUUCUCUCCGUUGAGUUGGAGGGUUUGCUCCACUCCUCCUUCCUCCACCAAGUGCCAUGGACUCCGGUAAAGCUCCUCCCUUUAUUCUCUUGAUUGGUAUUUUGUUGUUCUAGGGGUAGGAGCAUUGGUGAUUUGGAUCCAUGACUAUGGUUUUGUGCUUCGUUUUUGGAUGGAACGAAGGAGAUAUUCUAGGGGAGUGUAGGUCCUAUGAUUCAUUGCGUUUAUAUUGACAUGUUCAAGGUUCUUCAUGGUUCAGAUCAAGCACUUUUUCUCUUAUUUUGGAUUAGAUCUAAAACUUGGAUCCUCUUGACUAGGCAUGUCUUUAUCUAGAUGAUUCGUGAGAUCCUCAUGUGUUUAGGGCUAUGGUGGUUUUUGUAGCGAUUCUAUGCAGUACCCAUGGCCCUCGUAAAUCCAAUCUAGCCGUUCCUAUGGGUCUUUUUCUAUUUCAGAUCUGAAAGUCAACCCCCUAGCGGUACUACCGCCCGGCUGGCGGUACUACCGCUAGGACCCCAGCGGUACUACCGCUAGGGGUAGAGGUACUACCGCUAGGACCCCAGCGGUACUACCGCCAGGUGUAGCGGUACUACCGCCACGAGGAUAUAUUUUCUUCUUUUCCAUUUUCUUGGCAAUGUGAGUUUACUUUUAUGCCUCUUUUUGUUCAUUGCCUUGACUCCUCCUGUCGCUCUUUUUCGGUGUGUGUCUUGUGUGUCACAGGUGGUGCUCGCCGCUCGAAUCCCCCACGGGACACCCAGCCGAAGCAGUAUCGCACUCCAGAUGCUCUAGAGGGCUACGCCACUUCCGGUCUGAAUCCCAAAAAGAAGUCUUUCAAGAAGACAGCUCACAAGACCAAGGGGAUCAACGUUCGCAAUAUGCCCCCUAAGGAUUUUCUGCGGUUCCGCACCCGCAGUCACUAUCUAGAAGAGAAGGCUCAGAUCAAGAAUGUCGAGCAUGUUUGGUCACGGGAUCACUGCAUGAUGUAUCGCGACAUCAUCAAGCACUUCAAGAAGAUGUUUGUUCCAGUUCAGUGGAUUGACUUGGCUCACCUUCAGCGGAACCCGGAUUACUUUGGUGAGGCUCUCUCUUUGAUUGACAAGCUUGGCAUUAAGGAGAUCAUCACCUUCAAAUGCGACUUUGAUCCAGAUGUUGUGGCCCAAUUCUAUGUCACUGUUCACUUCUCACCUGAUGAAGAGCGCACCAUGACUUGGAUGACUGGUACUCAGAAGAUGGCAGGUUCCUGGUCAGAAUUCAUGAAGUUUCUCAAGGUCGACUUUCAGGGAGCUGACAAUCCUCUUGGGUUGCGUCCUCAUGCUCCAUCUUCAUCUAUUGCCACCCCCAAGGACAGGCUGCAACAACUUUAUGUGAAGAAAGGUGUGCUCCCCAAGCAUCUGGAUAUCAUGCAUCGGAUCUUCCGCAACACUCUCUUUCCUCGCAUUGGCAACUUUGACGAGGUGCAUGGUUAUCUAGCUGAGAUGCUUCUUCUUUGUGAGGAGGCUAGGACUAAGGAAUCUGUCCCUCUCGAUAUUUCUGACGUGAUGUUCAAUGAGCUCUGGAAUUGCAUCAUGAACUGCAAGGUUCCCAUCUAUGGGCCCUACUUGUUUGCCUAUAUUCGCCAGAGGUGGCACGACGUCUAUUUGAUUGAGGAGUUCCACCUUCAGGCUGAUUACUUUGUGCACGAUCAUAUGAGGCUCCGCAUCAAAGACAAAUGGGCCAACCCAUCCACUUCGUAUCAGCACAUGGACACUGACACAGAGACUACUGCUGACAGAGGCCCCGCUUCUCAGUCCCACUCUUCUGCUAUGCCAUCUUGGGCAGUGAAACUGAAGGAUAAAAUGAAGACUCUCUUCUGUAUGCAGGCCAAGGGACAGUAUCAGACUCAUGUGGCCCAGAAGGAGAACCGUCAGAGGCACAAGCAUGUCCUGAGGACACUUGAUGUUGAUAUCUCCAGCGGCUCAGAGGACAACAUCACUCCAGAGUCUGAUUGGAUGCGGGCUCAAGGUUAUCAGUGGUCUGAUGCAUAGGAGGAGGCGUCUGAGGAGGACAAUGAGGAGGAGCAGGACGAUCCGGAUGCCACGGACGAGUCUGGGGCUGAUGAGGGUUAGGAGUGACCACCUGUGUCAUUAGGUGUGCCCCUCUUUGGUGUCUUGUGCCAAAGGGGGAGAGAGUCUAGGAGCUGGAUUUGAGAUUUGAGCUUUUCUUAUCUUAUCGUGUUUGCUUUGAACUUGGUUUGCUCUUAUUUGCUAUCUUUGCUUUGUGUGAUGUGAGACUUGAACUAGUGUGAGAUUUAUUUCUACCAUAUGUUGUGAGUCAUAUGCUCCUUAAUUUUCUAUACCACUAUCUUUAUGUUCACAUGCUAUUCACUCUGCAGAUCCGGUAUUGUCAUCAAUCCGCCAAAAAGGGGGAGAUUGUUAGGGCAUAUUUUAUGCCUAAGUAAUUUUGGUGAUUGAUGACAGUACCGUAAAGGACUAAUCAUGUGUGUUAAGAUUUCAGAUAACACAUGUCAACGGCACAUGGAACAGAAGCACNCAUAUGUUGCUUACCCUAACUUCUUAAGAUUAAUUAAAAAGUGGUCGUUGCCUAUUCACCCCCUCCCUCUAGUCAACCAUAUCGAUCCUUUCACUCAACCAGCCACGUGUUUACUAGCAAAAACCUCAGAAGGCUGGCUAUGGCAUCAACAACUUGGUCAUGCAGGCAUGAGGAAUUUGCACACACUAGCGAAGAAGAAGCACGUCAUUGGCAUCAAAACUGUCAAAUUCCUCAAGGACCAUCUCUACGGUGCUUGUGAGUCUGGAAAAAUGACCAAAUCCAAACACCCCUCGAAGACUAUCAUGACUACGUCCGUUUGAAUUGCUUCACAUGGAUCUCUUUGGACCUACUCAUUAUGCUACUCUAACCAAUGCAGCAUCUUUAUAUGUCUUUGUCAUCGUUGAUGGCUAUUAUCGUUAUACUUGGGUACACAUCAUUGCUUACAAAAAUGAAAUGCAUGAAGUUCAAACGAUUUUCCUCAAGGGCCUCAACAAACUUCGACGUCACGAUCAAACACAUCACGAGUGAUGAUGGGACAUAAUUCAAAAAUACUGGUCUUGAUGAUUACCUUGAUGAACUUGGUAUUACUCACGAAUUGUCUGCUCCUUAUACUCCUCAACAGAAUGGCGUCGUUGAACGCAAGAACAUGACUCUGGUUGAAAUGGCACGAACUAUGCUUGAAGAAUAUCAGACUCCUCGUUGCUUCUGGCCUGAAGCAAUCAACACUGCUUGCCACAUCAUCAACAUGGUAUAUCUUCACAAAUUCCACAAGAAAACAUCAUACGAACUCCUCACUGACAAGAAACCCAAUGUAAGUUAUUUCAGAGUCUUCGGUGCAAGAUGUUGGAUUAGAGAUCCUCACCAUACCUCAAAGUUUGCACCUAAAGCACAUGAGGGUUUUAUGCUUGGUUAUGGAAAUGUUUCGCACACCUAUAGAGUCUUCAACACCUAUCGCAACAAGGUUGUUGAAACUGUAGAUGUGUGGUUUGAUGAACCUAAUGGCUCGGAAAGAGAGCAAUUGCCUCCCGUGCCAGAUAAAUUGACUCCUGAGGAAGCUAUUAAGUACAAGGCUACUGAAGAUAUCAUUCAUACCGAGGAACAACCCCUUGUUGAAGAAAUUGUCCCCAACACUGAGGAAAUUCAAGAAGGUGCACCUCAGGAAAAUGUUACAGAUCAAAUUCCUCAGCCUAACCAAAGUCUUCAACCAACUCAUCCAAGGAUUGCAAAUGAAGUGGAAAUUUACAAAAUCAUCGAUGACAUCAAUGCGCCAGGUCCUCUCACUCGCUCAAAAUCUUCACAUUUCGUUAACUUUUGUGGGCAUUCCUCUUUUGUAUCUAUCACAGAACCCUCAAAAGUUGUUGAAGCCUUCAUGGAACCUGAGUGGAUUCAAGCCAUGCAAGAUGAACUUCAGUUCAAGCUAAAUCACGUAUGGGAACUCGUUAAAAGACGAGAUCCUCGCAAGCACAAUAUCAUAGACACUAAGUGGAUCUACCAAAACAAGCAAGAUGAGGAUGGUCAGGUUGUGAGAAACAAGGCGGCUUGUAGCCCAAGGCUACACACACGUUGAAGGAAUUGACUUUGAUGAAACUUUUGCACCUUUUGCUAGACUUGAAGCUAUUCGAAUAUUGCUUGCUUAUGCUAACCAUCACAAUAUUACUCUAUAUCAAAUGGAUAUGGAAAGUGCAUUCCUCAAUGGUAAGCUUGAGGAAGAAGUAUAUGUUGCUCAGACCCCAAGUUUUGAAGACCCUAAGCAUCCACACAAAGUCUUCAGACUAAAAAAGGCAUUAUAUGGCCUCAAGCAAGCCCCUCGGGCGUGGUAUGAUACACUGAAGGAAAUCCUCAUGAAGAAAGGCUUCAAACCCGUUCACUUUAUCCUACCCUUUUCACAAAAUCCUAUGACAAUGAACUAUUCAUGUGCCAAAUAUAUGUCGACGACAUUAUUUUUGGUUGUACUGACAAACGUUACAGUGAUGAAUUUGCCUACAUGAUGGGUGAAGAAUAUCAAAUGUCCAUGAUGGGGGAGCUGAAAUUCUUCUUAGGUCUGCAAAUUCGUCAACAACGCAAUGGCAUCUUCAUAUCUCAAGAGAAAUACCUCAAGGAUGUCCUGAGGAAAUUCGGCAUGCAUGAAUGCAAAGGCAUCAAGAUUCCUAUGCCUACCAACGGCCAACCUCUCAAGUGACGAAAAUGGUAUAGAUUUCGGUGAGCAGGUAUAUAGUUGUAUAAUUGUCUCUUUAUUGUACCUAUGUGCAUUUAGUCCAGACAUUAAGCUUAGUGUUUGCAUGUGUGCAUGUUUUCAAGCAAAACCGAAGGAAUCACACCAUAAGGGUGUGAAACAUAUUCUUCAAUAUCUAGCUCACACACCAACACUAAGAUUAUCGUACCUCAAGGGCUAAAAUCUUCAUGUUGUUGGAUAUUCUGAUUCUGAUUAUGCUGGUGACCGUGUGGAUCACAAGUCAACGUCAGGCACAUGUCAUUUCCUCGGACGAUCCUUAGUCUGCUGGUCCUCAAAGAAGCAGAACUGUGUAUCACUCUCCACUACUGAAGUUGAAUGCGUUGAUGCUGGAUCUUGCUGUGCUCAACUGUUAUGGAUGAAUCAAACCCCGAGAGAUUAAGGCAUCAACAUGAAGAAUGUGCCUCUCUACUGUGACAAUGGGAGUGCAAUCCAGAUCGCCUACAACCCAGUACAACGCUCGAAGACCAAGCACAUCUAGAUUCGUCGUCAUUUUCUUCGUGAUCAUGUACUCAAGGGCAAUAUCAUCAUCGAUCAUGUGAAGACUGAUGACCAGCUAGCAGAUAUCUUCACAAAGCCCUUGGAUGAGAAAAGGUUUUGCAAGUUGCGGUGUGAGCUAAAUAUCCUAGAAUCUUAAAAUGUUCUGUAAACAUGCACACAUCCUAACACUUAUGAAAUUGAUGACUUUGAUGCGCAACACAGGAAGUAACGUUUUUCUUCAACCAAUGAAAAAUGACACUCUAAGUGUGAAGACAUUACUGAAGAAUUUGAUUCUCAGGACCCUACGACAAUUGUACACGGCACCUAAAAUCAUCAUUCUUAUACGGUGGGUAACGCCACCACCAAACUUUGAAAUUCUUCAUAGUUGAAAUUCUUCAAAUCUGAGGUUUUUCAAAAAUUUCUCAAAAUUUUCAAAGUCUUCAAACUUUUUCAAAUUCUUCAAAAUUUUCUGUGAUGAUCUUCAUUGACUAUAUAUUAUAUAACGAGCUUUCAAUGUCCUCAUAGGCAUUCACGUAUUGCUAAGUCUUCAAUUUGGUAUUUCUUCUAAGUGAAAGUGAAUCGGACCCGUCUUCCCUCUAUGCUAAGCUCAACCAAGUCUAUUCUCAAAUCUUCGCAUGCGUUCUAUUUGACACUUGUUCAAAGUCCUCUCUAAGUCCUUGUCAGCUCAUGACUUUGCAACAAAAUCCUCAAAAUUCAAAAAAAAAAUCGUUACCAUUGUAACUGCACCCACUACUCACGAUAGGAUAACCACUAUCUCCACCGCUUCGUUCGUGGGUAGCGCGUGUCAUGUUGAGACGAAAGGGCAGGGAUAGUUUCAUCCGAAGAAUUCGCUUAGGACCGUUUUCACUUGAGCUAUAAAUAGCCCCUUACCCCCUCCAGUCAAAAACUCUUCUCUCCCUCUCAUCUUCUCCGCCCAAGCUAAAAACCUAGCGCCGCCGCUAGCAAUUCUCGUCGCCGGUGAGGAACAGCUUCAGUACCUCGACCUCGCCGUCGCCGGACUCAUGCCGACUGCGGAUCAUCUCCCUCCGUCGCUGCCGUAGCUAUCUUCCGUCACCAUGUUAGGGCACUCAAGAUCCGAACCAAAGAGCUUCUGCUUUUACUUCCCUAGUUCAUCGUGUUCUUCAUUCAGGGUAAUUGAAAUCCUAUUUUACUACCCUUGUUGAUUCAUUUAUUUUCUUUAGAUUCGUGAAAUCAGUUGUUCCUCACAAUAUAUUUCAGCUGUGCACAACCAUGUCUAGAACACUUGAUGAAUUUCACUAAGUCCCUAAAUUCUUCACGAGAUUCCUCAAUUGUAUAAAUUUUCGAAUCUGCACAACUUUGGAACCCAAGAUCAGAAGACAUUAGUCAAAUUCCUCAACUUAAGUCAUUUUUCAAUUUCCCCAAAUCUGAGAACGCAUAUGACCUCUCCAAACUCUCCGCACCUAUACUUUGUUCACAGGUACAAAAUGACAGCUAACGAAUCACUAGGUUCUCAUCAACUUAACUCAUUUGUAGCAUUUGUUGAAGAAACAUUAUCUCUGUCCUAGGAUUCCUCAAGAAUACAAAUUCAUCAGCAAAAACCUUAGCUGAAGAAAAUGGAGGAAGACAGAAACAAAAGGGUGGCAAGAAGCUAGAGCAGAACAUUGCUUUUGAAAUCCCAGAGGAAAUAUAUGCUGAUUACUGCACGCUAGAUGAAGAAAUUCAUGGGAAAGAAACCACUGCAAAAGGCAAGAUCAGGCUUCAAAAGAUUGAGCGCAGAUGGGCAAAAGAGUGGAAAUAAUAUAGGUAUGUCACUCCAAAGUAUGCCAAGAAGUUUGCCCUAAAACCUCCCCGCAAAAGAUUGCCUCAGGGAGACCAACAAACUGCACAUUCCUCUAGUGUAGCUACAAUUGAAGACUAUCCUGAUGAAAAAGACAAGUAUUUGUCCAAGCUACAGAAAAAGGAAGACAUUGAUGUAACAAAGUUUAAUGAGGAUUAUGUCGCUGUAGGUGCUGCUGCCACCUCCUUUGUUGCCGAGGCUUCUACUAUAGAACAACCUCCGAAGAAGGCUGCUACUGCAACAAAUGACCUUCCAACGGCGCCAGAAAUAAGCGUGUUGACGGGAGACUAUUCUUGUCUUGAUACUCCUCAGCAACGGCGCGAGGAAUCCUUCUGCUACGGCUACGCCUUUAGGGACUUCCUUGGCAAAUAUGCAAAUGAUUCCCCCGUGGCCUUGGAGCCUUGCGUUGGUGUUCCCUCGAAGCGGAAAAGGUGAUGUAGCACAGCGGCGGUAAGUAUUUCCCUCAGUUUUGAGAACCAAGGUAUCGAUCCAGUGGAAGGAUUGCGUCAAGUCACAAGUACCUGCACAAACACAAAGAGCUUGCACCCAACGCCAUGAAGGGAUUGUCAAUCCCUUAUAGAUUAUUUGCAAAGUGAGAACCGAAAGCAAAAAAGGAAACAAAGCAAAGUAAAAGUGAAAGUGGAAACGAUAGUUGUGAAUAGACCCGGGGGCCGUAGUGUUCACUAGUGGCUUCUCUCAUGAAAGCAAGUAGACGGUGGGUGAACGAAUUACUGUCGAGCAAUUGAUUGAACCGCGCAAAGUCGUGACGUUAUCUAUGUCAAUGAUUAUAUCUAUAGGCAUCACGUCCAAAACAAGUAGACCGAUACUUUCUGCAUCUACUACUAUUACUCCACACGUCGACCGCUAUCCAUCAUGCAUCUAGUGUAUUAAGUUCAUGAGAACAGAGUAACGCCUUAAGCAAGAUGACAUGAUGUAGAUGGACAAUCUCAUAUCUACGAUAAACGCCCAUCUUGUUACCCUUGAUGGCAACAACACGAUGCGUGCCUUGCUGCCCCUUCUGUCACUCGAACUGGCACUUGGCACUGAAUUAAUAAGUUAGUCCCAAAAAAGAUAUGAAAGGUAUAUAAAACAUCCAAAGUUGACAAGAUAACAGCUUGAAACCAUCAAAAAUUAUAGAUACGUUUGAGACGUAUCAAGCAUCCCCAAGCUUAACUCUUGCUCGUCCUCGAGUAGGGAAGUGAUAAAGAAUGAAUUUUUGAUGCUGUCAUGCUACCUAGCAUAGAUGUCCUUUGUAACUCCUCUUAUGUGACGUAAAUGUUCAGAUCCAUUAGAUUCAAGACAAUAGUUUGCUAUUGACGUGGAGACAAUAAUAAUUCAAGCAAACUAGCAAAGUAAUCAUGAACUUUCAAAAUAACUAGGCCAAAAGAAAGUUAUCCCUACAAAAUCAUAUAGUCUGGCUAUGCUCUAUCAUCCUUGCACAACGAAUUUAAAUCAUGCACAACCUCGGUAUUCGCCAAGUAAUUGUUUUCACAUUUUUACUUUCUCAAACUUUUUCUACUCUCACGCAAUACAUGAGCGUGAGCCAUGGUUUUAGCACUAUAAGUGGAAUGUAGUGUGGUGGAGGUUGCAAGACAAACAAGGAGAAGAUGGUCACAUUGACUAAGCAUAUCAAUAAGCUAUGGAGAUCCUCAUCAAUAGAUAUCAACGUGAAUGAGUAGGGAUUGCCAUACAAUUGAUGCACUAGAGCUAAGAGUAUGUGAAAGCUCUUAAAGAAAACUAGUGGGUGUGCAUCCAACUUGCUAGCUCACGAAGACCUAAGGCAAUUUUGAGGAAGCCUAUCAUUGGAAUAUACAAACCAAGUUAUAUAAUGAAAAUUUCCCACUAGCUAUAUGGUGGUGACAAAACGAGAGACUCUCAAUCAUGAAGAUCAUGGUGCUUAAUAAGCACAAGUGUGGAAGGAUAGUAGCAUUGUCCCUUCUCUCAUUUUUUUGGUGGGCUCUUUGGCCUCUCUUUUUUUGGUGGGCAUCUUUGGCCUCUUUUUGUAUAUGGCCUUCGCUGGCCUCUUUUAUUUCCUCACAUGGGACAAUGCUCCAUCAAUGAUGAUCAUCACACUUUCAACUCAAAACUUAGAGCAAUGAUGACUCUGUAUGGAAUGCCUUCGGUAGUGUAUCGUGACAAUGAUCUAGCAUGGCAUAGACAUCAAUGGAAACAUCAUGCUAGCUAUCUUAUGAUCAUGCAAUGGCAAUGUAGAAGUGGUGGCACAUAUCAUGGUGGUAGUUGCAUGGUAAUAUAUCUCGUAAUUUCUUUGAAAAAACCAUAGUAGGUAGGUAUGGUGGCUGUUUUGAGGGAGGCUAAUGGUGGGUUUUGUGCACCGGCGGAAGUUGCACAGCACUAAAGAAGAAAAUGAUGGUGGAAGGUGAAAGUGCAUCUAAACCAUGGACUCAACAUUAGUCAUGAAGAACUCAUAUACUUGUUGCCAAAGUUUUAGUAGUACUCGAAACAAAGCAUUCAACGCAUACUCCUAGGGGAAGGGUUGUUAGGUAUAAACCAUCGCGCGAUCCCGACCGUUACACAAAGGAUGACAAUCAAUAGACUAAUCAUGCUCAGGCUUCAUCACAUAGCGGUUCACCAUACGUGCAUGCUACGGGAAUCACUAACUUCAACACAAGUAUUUCUAGAUCCACAACACCUUACUAGCAUAACUUCAAUAUUACCACAACCACAACUCAAAACUAAUUGAGAUGAAUCAAACUUCUCUAACUACUCAAUGCACAUGAAGGUGGAAGUUUUCAUAUCCCUUUGGAUAACUACCCCUUUUGAGAAUAAUUUCAUAGCAUAGAUCAACUACCAAGCCACGCACCGCCGUGCUCUAAAAGAUAUAAGUGAAGCACAUAGAGCAAAAUCAACUAGCUCAAAAGAUAUAAGUGAACCACAUGUGAGCUGAAUUGUCUAACCAAAGGAUAUAAGUGAAGCUCGACAAAAUCACGGUGAGUGCAUGUCUCUCUCUCUAGGUGUGCAGAAAGGAAGAUUUUGACACAACAAAAAUAAAAGACUCCUAUGAUACAAUACGCUCCAAGAAAAACACAUAACAUGUGGUGAAUAAAAAUAUAGCCCCAAGUAACAUUAUCGAUGGAUUGAAGACGAAAGAGGGGAUGCCUUCCCGGGGCAUCCCCAAGAUUAGGCUUUUAUGGCAUCCUUGAAUCAACUUGGGGUGCCUUGGGCAUCCCCAAGCUUGAGCUCUUGCCACUCCUUAUAUCUUUGUCCAUAAGAACUUCACCCAAAACUUGAAAACUUCACAACACAAAACUUAAACAGAAACUCGUGAUAUCAUUAGUAUAAGAAAGCAAACCACCACUUCCUUAGGUACUGUAGCAAACUUAAAUUCUACUUAUGUUGAUGUUGGGUUACUGUAUUUUUAAUCUUCCAUGGCUAGUACCCCCCGAUACUAUCCAUAGUUUCAUCAAAAUAAGCAACCAACUCGACAAAAACAGAAUCUGUUAACAGCAGACCAGUCUGUAGCAAUCUGUAUACUUUGUAUUCUUCUGGUACUUCCAAAAUUCUGAACAAUAACGACAGUCUGAAGAAUUUGCGUAGCAAUCAGCAGAAAAAAGAAUCAACUCAAAAGCUCUUACGAAAAAAAACGAACAGAAAGUUUCUGUCUNUUGCACCCAACGCUAUGAAGGGAUUGUCAAUCCCUUAUAGAUUAUUUGCAAAGUGAGAACUGAAAGCAAAAAGGAAACAAAGCAAAGUAAAAGUGAAAGUGGAAACGAUAGUUGUGAAUAGACACGGGGGCCGUAGUGUUCACUAGUGGCUUCUCUCAUGAAAGCAAGUAGACGGUGGGUGAACGAAUUACUGUCGAGCAAUUGAUUGAACCGCGCAAAGUCGUGACGUUAUCUAUGUCAAUGAUUAUAUCUAUAGGCAUCACGUCCAAAACAAGUAGACCGAUACUUUCUGCAUCUACUACUAUUCCUCCACACGUCAACCGCUAUCCUUCAUGCAUCUAGUGUAUUAAGUUCAUGAGAACAGAGUAACGCCUUAAGCAAGAUGACAUGAUGUAGAUGGACUAUCUCACAUCUACGAUAAAAGCCCAUCUUGUUACCCUUGAUGGCAACAACACGAUGUGUGCCUUGCUGCCCCUUCUGUCAUUGGAAAAGGUCACCACACGGUAUGAACCCAAAACCAAGCACUUCUCCCAUUUCAAGAAUCAUAUAUCUAGUUGGCCAAGCAAAACCCAAGACUCGGAGAGACUUACAAGGAUAUCAAAUCAUGCAUAUAAGAAAUCAACAAAGACUCAAAUAUAAUUCAUAGAUAAUUUGAUCACAAAUCCACAACUCAUCGGAUCUCGAAAAACACACCGCCAAAGAGGAUUACAUCGGAUAGAUCUCCAUGAAGAUCAUGGAUAACUUUGUAUUGAAGAUCCAAGAGAGAGAAGAAGCCAUCUAGCUACUAACUACGGACCCGUAGGUUUGAAGUGAACUACUCACGAGUCAUUGGAGAGGUGAUGAUGUUGAUGUAGAAGCCCUCCAACUCCAAAGUCCCCUCCGACAGGGCACCGGGAAGGGUCUCUAGAUGAGAUCUCGCGGAAACGGAAGCUUGCGGUGGCGGAAAAGUGUUUUCAUGGAUGCCCUGAUUUUUUCUGGGAUUUUAGGGAAUAUAUAGGCGAAAGAGCUAGGGCAGAGGAGCUCCACAGGGGCCACAAGCCUGGUAGCCACCGGCCCCCCUGGUGGCGGCUACAGGGCUUCUGGGCCCCCUGUGGCUCUCCUGCCUUGGCCCUCAAGUCCCCCGAUCUUCUGUUCUGGAAAAUUUUAUUUCGGGGAUUUUAUUCCGUUUGGACUCCGUUCCAAAAUCAGAUCCGGAAAGAGUCAAAAACACACAAAAAACAGGAACUGGCACUUAGCACUUAAUUAAUAAGUUAGUCCCGAAAAAGAUAUAAAAGGUAUAUAAAAAAUCCAAAGUUGACAAGAUAACAACAUGAAACCAUCAAAAAUUAUAGAUACGUUUGAGACGUAUCAAAGGCCCUGAUGAAGAAAUCACGUGCAAAGUCAAAACCAUCAACAUCAUUAUCUAAAGAGCAAAUUCCUCACAAAGAAUCAACAAUGGAUGAAAAGUCCACAACUGCAGCACAGUCUUCACUUCCUCCAUAGCCACAGCUCACGCAACAUCAAACAUGAAAUCUAAAUUCCUCAGUACCAUCAGCCUCUCGCUCAGCUCUCAAAUCAUCACCUUGCAUAAUGAAGACAAAGAUGACUGCUGGAAGAGGAACAAGGCCGAGCCCAAGCAAUGUUGUCAAUGUCCCUUGUGCAUCAGAGGGAAGUCGGGAAUAUGAUGAUGAAACUCUUCAAGCCAUCACCAGGAACAAACAAGAAACGGUUGCACAAGCUACUGGCAACACCAUUCCCCUCGCACUGGAUCCGAAAGUGGUGCUGAACUUCAUCGAUCUUUGGUAUGAGGAUCCAAACACACCCAUUGAUGAUUUGAAACUUCCACCUGGACUCAGCCACAUGGUUAUUUCAUUCAUCAAUGAAGCAAAGUGGAAGGACCAGCAAACCAAGCAAGCACGGGCUGCAAAGAUUAAAAAGGAGAAGUACUUGAAACAAAACAUCCUUAACCUGACGCCUGAGAAACUUGUCUCUACUCAAGCCAAAUUGAAAACCCUCGCUGACAAAUACACUAGUCUUCAUGCAGACUGAAAGGGUGUCAAAGUGAGGUUUGUGAAGGCCGCAAUUGAAGCAAUUGAUGUAUACAACGGUAGGGUUGCAACCCCAAAGCAACCAACAAAUCCUCAGGCCAGCUACACUAUACAACUGGCUGAUUCUGCUGAAGAUGAAGAACGAGCUGCUGAUGAAACUACUCAGAAUGUUCCAGCUGAAGAAUUUGCCACGCCUGAAACUGCUCAUGUAAUGCCUGAUGAAAAUGCUCCUUCAUCAAUGUCUUCAAAAGUGAAGAAAAUGACUCUUCCGUAUGCAUCAGACACGAAGAAAACAAAAGCUGCUGAGAAGAAGGCCAAGAAGAGAAAGGCAUCAACACCUUCAAAGUCUUCAGAGGCAAAAUGCGUGACGACUAUGCCUACUACAUCAUCAGCUCCAGUUGAUGCAACUCCCCUCAGUGUUGCACCAUCAUACAUGAUUGUACCAUUUGGUGAAGAGCAUAUCAUUCCAGAACAGGAUGAGGAAAUGCAUGACAAUCGCUCUGCUGCAUCCACACCAAUAGAUGAGGAAAUUCAAGUUAAUCAAAUUCCUCACGUCUCAACACCUCCUCCUCAAAACCCAGAAAUGACUGUUGAAGAAAAGGAGGCCGAUGAUGACAUUGGCAGCAGCACACCUGUUAUCCAUGAUGAUUUUUGGGAAAAAGAUCAUCCAAACUCGCCAAUAGCUUCAAAAAUUCCUCGAACUAUUGUAUCUCCUUAAGCAACAAAAAUUCUAACUGGCUCUCAAGAAAAGAGCUCACGUGGGAAAUCAGUGCUAGACAAAGAAUCAGCCACAUCAGCUGAUGAAACUGAGAAGGAAACUGUUGUACCAGAAACUGCAUGUGCUCCUCCGGCACAACAAAUUCCUCAAACUGAAGAACAAGCCUCUGAUGAAAAUGCCUCUGCAUAGGAUAAAGAUACAACUGAUGAACCACAUGUUGCAAAUCCUGGCACUGUAAUUGUGGUGGCCAAAAAUCCUCAAGGUGAUGAAAUUCAACAUCAAAAUCUUCAACCAAAGCCUCAUCAGCCCUACUCGAAGAGGCCAAAGUUUCUGAAAGCAGACUUCUAUGAUGAACAUCAUUUCUUCACGGGAGAAAAUCCAUACGAUAAGCCUCGUAUCACGCACAGGAAGUUCUGGACCAAAACUCAACUCAAUUACUAUGCUACUGUGCUUUGUAGGAAACGGAAGAUAUUUCAUCACACGCACAUUCCUCAUUGUGAUAUGGAAGAAAUUCCUUGCUUCAUCCCCGUUCUGAGUGUUCUUCACGACAUAGGACUACUGCCAUUCUGCACAGAUAUUGGUGACUGGAAUACAAAUAUCAUUCUUCAGUUCUAUGCCACACUGCAUAUCUGAGGUGGCCCCAAAAACAUCAACUUUUGGGUCUUGGACUGGAUGACUCAGCACACUCACUUAACAGCUCCAGCCACAGAAUUUCUUCGAGCUCUACCAAUCUCAAUUCCUUUAGAUGAAGCAAUUAACAUAUACGAUGAAAGAGAGUUACAAAAUCAGCUAAUGGAGGCCCUCACGAAGCCUUUAGCUCAGGGCCAACCUCCAAGGACUAGAUUCCCGGUGAAGGAAUUGAAGUAUGUGCCUAGAACUGUCUACAGAAUAUUGGCCUAUUCCUUCGCACCUAUCAAAGGGCAUGAUAAGGAAGAAGAUGUUGUUGGAAUCAUGAAGAACAUCCUGUUCAAUGUCAUUCAUGGAAUCAAAAUGAACCUUCACAACUUCUUCCUGAGGACUUUGGCCAACAAUGCCUUGUCGCCAUUUGAGCUAAAGAUUUAUGCGCCUUGGAUCAUGAGAUUCAUCAAAACCAGAUCCUCCAUCAACUAUCAAGGUGACUAUUUGAAUCACCUCAGCUAUCUGCCUCCUCUCAAAGUCAUCAAGAAAUAUUUUGAACCAGUUGAGGGCAAAGGCAAGUCAGUGAUUGAUGAAGGAAAUCGGCCACUGGAUGGUCAAUUUCGGAAGGAUGCAUCCUACUCCUCAUAUGAUGACACUUCCACACAAGAAUCUGAUGGCAGAGCAAAACCUCCAAGUCCAACUACCCCACGGGUGAUGACUAACAGAGAGCUUCUCCUCAGUCUUCAUUAGAAAGUUGAUCAAAACCAUAAGUGGGUGAAAUGUCAGUUUGGCUCUAUUGUGAAAACCCUCAAUGCUACUGGAAAUGCAGUGAAGAAAAAUCACUGUUAUAUUCAUGAAGUAUUUGAUUGCACCUAGGCCAUACUGUCCCAUCUCAAGACUCCCGAGGAACUCAAAGAACUGGAAUUCACUCAAGACUUUGAUUGGUCGUGGCCACCAAAGAAGAAAUGCAAGAAGAUCCCAGUUCCUGACCUGGUGGACAGCUCUUAUUCUUCAUUCCGCACUGCUGAUUCAGAUGAAGAACAUGCUGAUACUGCAAUCGGCCCAACUAUGAAGACUAGCAUGAAGAGCACGGGCGCCUCUCCUCCAACACAGAAGUGAAAUUCUUCAUGGGCGUUAGUCAUCAGUUUCGUCCCUUUUCGUCACUUGAUGGCAAAGGGGGAGAAAUCUGAGAGUUAGUCUUCAAACGGGUUAAAUUUAUUGGCUUAUAAACUUUAUUAAGUUAGAAACUCUUGGUUCUUCUAAAGUGUUUGUUGUAAUGAGUUGUAACUUAAGCCCGUUGGUGUUCUAACACUUUUGAACAUUUUUCCUCGCAUGCUUAUUCCUCAAGUUAAUUAAUGCAUGCAUGCUGACAUUCGUGAGACACCAUUUUUUCAUCAUGCAUUUCAAAUUCCUCAUACUAUAUGUCAAAUGCAUGCAUGAAUUAAAAGAUACACGGGAGAUCUCCAUGAUAUAUAUCAUCAAUGUGCAUUUGCUGUUCAACGAAAAUUCCUCAAAACAUGCACAUCUUCACGGGGAAUUUCUCUAUAUCUUGCCUUCAAAUUCCUCAAACUCAGUAAUUCCAUUUCAUAUUAUUGUCCCCGUUGAAAACUUAACCUAUUUGUCAUCAACCACAAAAAAGGGGGAGAUUGUAAUUGCAUCUAGUGCCCCUUAGUGAUUUUGGUGGUUUGAGGACUUAUAGGUCAAGAGACUAAUAUGUUUGUAAGUGUACACACGAUGUGAAAGUCACUAAGGAGUUUGGGUUAUUCGAUGAAUAUCGACCCCUAAAAUGUAUGUCUUCGGGUGAAGACUUUGGUCAUUCCUUGAAGACUUUGAUCGCGAAGAAAAUGCGAAGAAAUGGUUAUUCCUCACGAAGAUAUUGAAAAUGAGGAAUUCGGUGUGUCCCAAAGAAAAUACUUUGAAGACUUUGAAGCUUGAAGAUUUACUCCUUUUGUUUCAUUUUCUUUAUGCUUGAGUCAUAGGAACCCCAUACUGUUAAAGAGGGCGAGGUAAAACUAUGGAACGAAUUUCCUCAUGAUGCUCAACCCAAACCUACACCUACCAAAUCCUCAAAGUGAGGAACAUGAAAAACAUGAGGACUUUCAUAGUUGAAAGUUCCAACCGUUGUCGCGCUAUGCACCACCUGUCCCAAGUCUUAUCCACCCAACGGUCAUAUCAUUAAGAGCAUUUAGGUCAAAUUAUGUCAGGAUGCUCCGAGGCUAUAAAUAGACACCCCCACAACCACUAGCUGGUUGGAUGCUUCGAGAGAAACUGACACUAGUAAUUUAGUGCAACCCAAAUUCCUCAAAGUCUUUGAGAGAAAAUCAUCAAGUGAGGAAAUACCCCAAACAUCCAAACCCAAACCAAAACCCAAGUCAUUGAGCAUCACUAAAGAAGUUAUUCCUGUGUGGAACCAACGCUUGUUACCUUUGAGGACUGUGCAUCCUCCAUACGGCUAGGCGUCAUGGUCUACAACAUCCAACAGUAAAUUGUGGAUCGCCAGGUGACCGAGAUUGUGAGGGUUUGAAAGUUUGCCCUGAAGACUUACCACCAGUGUUGGGUGAGGAUUGUGUGUCCUUAGCUCAAGGAGAAUACGGUAGGGACUGUGUGCCCCGGGACUGUGUGUCCUCUGGUUUCAAUACCAAGCCGCUCCAAACCAGACGUACAACUGUCACAUCAAUUGGAACUAGGUCAUCAACAAUUGUAUUCAUUGAGCUACUAUUUCUAUUUCCUCAACUCCUUUCAUUUCCUCAAUUGCAUGUUGAAGACUUUCAUCUAUACUGUUUGAAGAAUUUGACUGAAGACUUUCUCUGAAUUCCUCACCUCAAAUUGUUCACCUGAGUUAUUCUUCACCUGCCUAUCCUGAACUCUAGACCUGUGUAAACCGAUUCUCUUAAAUCAUGCUCAGUACUUUGUUGUAGACAUUUUUGCACUUCUGACUUAGUACUAUUUCUGCUGCACUCAGUUCAUAACUGAGGAUUUUCCUCACUAGGAUUUUCCUCAGUGAUGAAAUUGUAAAAUUGCCUAUUCACCCCCCCCUCUAGUCGAUAUAACGCACUUUCAAGAGUGUUUUGGAUCCUAUCUUGUAAGUCGUAGUCACCUAUUACGUGUCAUGAUCCACAUCCCCCAAGUUGACAGAAAUUGGGAUUCUUUUCAGUGAUUGUCAUAGUUUGAGGAGUUCAUGUAUUCACCAUGUGUUAGUGCUUUGUUCUAGUUCUCUAUUAAAAGGAGGCCUUAAUAUCCCUUAGUUUCCAAUAGGACCCCACUGCCACGGGGGGGUAGGACAAAAGAUGUCAUGCAAGUUCUUAUCGCAAGCACGUAUGACUAUAUACGAAAUACAUGCCUGCAUUAUAUUGAUGAACUGGAGCUAGUUCUAUGUCGCCCUAGUGUGUAACUAUUACAUGGUCAAUGUAAUCUAAAUCAUUAUCCAUCACCGAUCCACGUGCCUAUGCUUUUCAUAUACUGAAUCUUGCUAAGUUACUACAGCUGCGGCUACUGUCACACUUGCUACUAAAUUGAUAUUGUUACUUUUGCUACUAAAACUGCUAGUGUCACUACUACUAUUUGCCGUGCUACUAAAUCCUUAUUCCAGAGAGAUACCACAAGUGCGGUUGAAUUUACAACUCAUCUGUCAAGGACAGUAAAUACUCUUGUGUCAAACCAAUAAAUUAGGGUAAAAUAUUACCUGUGAAGACUGUCGCGAUCCCCUACACUUGUGGGUUAUCAGGCAACACCCUGUUCAGUGAUGACAUGUUCCAAGUACGCAAUCUGCCCAAAAGCACAUUUAGAUUGUUUAACUUGCCAAUGGUCCCUUCUGAGUAGUUGCAGCACUUGACGGAUGUGCUCCACAUGUUGUUCAAAUGUUUUAUUGUAAACCAAUAUGCCAUCGAAGAAGAGAAUGACACACUCCCGCAGCAGUGGUCGCAGAGUGCAAGUAAUUGCUCCAAUGAAAGUUGGGGUGCAGUAGCGAGGACGAACGACAUGACCAAGAAUUCACAGGUGACCUAUGUGGGUUGUGAAGGCUGUUUUGUACUCUUCCUCUUGUGCCAUUCUUAUCUGAUGAUAGCCAGCACGCGGAUCCAUUUUGGAGAACCAUUUUGCUCCCACCAAUUCAUCGAGAAGCACAUCUAUAAUUGGAACUGGAUACUUACUGACGAUUUUCAUUGCAUUCAGCGUCUAGCAGCUCCUUAACUUGUCGCUCAAUCUCAUUUUUGAGCUCAGGUUUGUGUCGGUAAGGACGUUGGUUGACAGGUUGUGCUCCUUCCAUGAGCGGAAUUAUGUGAUCACAAGCACGUGUGGGAAGCAGCCCUUUUGGUUCUUCAAAGACAUCUGUGUAUUGCUCCAGAACCCUGAGAAUCUCUACGGGAAUAGCUUCUUCUUGUAAACCUUCUUCAUUUAUUGCAUUGAGGUGGACUACAAAAGCUACGGACCCUUGCUUGCAUGCAUUCAAUAGUUCUUGAGAUGAUAUAGCAGAACACCGUUGAUGGUUGCUACGAGCAGCUUGUAGUUCAAUCAAUCCCCCUUCAGAUAUAACUUUCAUAUGUUCUGGCUCCCAGUCAAUAUGCAUAGGGAUGUGCUUCCUGAGCUAGUCCAUCCCUAGGAUAGCAUCGUAUGCUCCAAGGAAAAGAAGCUUGAAAUCUGUGAUAAACUCAUGCCCCUGAGACGUCCAUUGGCACUGUAGUAUGAAGCUGUCACAAUUCAACACAGCACCGUCGACCACUUUAACUCUGCAUGUCCUUGGCAGUUUGCAAACUCCCUUCAAUUUAGCUAUGAGGCAAUGGUCAACGAACAAGGAAGAACUACCUGAGUCAACCAGCAAAGACAUUUCCUCCCCUUAAAUCCACGCAUGCAGCUGCAGCACUCCCGGUCCAGCCGACCCAUCAAUCGCUUGCUUGGAGAUGGUACACAGAUUGUCUUCGUCCAACUCGUUUGAUUCAGGUUUGCUGGCACUGUGCACCUCCUCUGCUGCGAAGAGCUCCCAUAGUUCCUCGACCACAUGCAUCUGCACUAUCGUUGGACAUGUGUGAUAUUUGCCCCAGCAUUCACCACACUUAAAACACAGUCCCCGAGCGCGUCUGAAAGAGCGUAAUGCUGCAAUUUUACUGCUCUCUGCUCCCACUCGCGCUGCAUCUGUGCCCUUGCACUCCUGUGCUUUGGUUGUAGACGCUGAUAGUUUUGCAGUUCCCAACAGCAAAGUUGGAGUGUUGGCCCUCAUCACGCGCGGCAUUGGUGCACGGUUGGGUACAACGCGCAAGGUGUUCUCCCCAUCUGCAUCUUCCUCCUGGAGUAGUGAAAGGGAACAUGUCGUGUCAAGGUCGGACGGCCUCUGAAUGAGAACCACAUCAUGAAUAUCCGCUCGCAGUCCCUCGAUGAAUCGUGUAAGAAAGAAAUACUGGCGUGUCAGUUCCGAGUAAGAGAUCAUAUCAUUCAUCAAAGUCACAAAAUGUUUAAUGAAAUCGGCAACAGAUUCAGUCUGACGAAUAGCAUAAAAUUGACGAAUGAGCAAUUGGUGUUUGUCACGCCCAAAUCAAGUGCAAAGCACAGCCGUGAAUGAUUCCCACGCAAGACCAGAGAUCUUGCGAUGACGGACUGUAGCCAAAUGGCAGUCAGACCCAAAAAAUUCAAGACCGCCAUGGGUACCCAGUAUGAUUCAUGAAUGACAAACUCUGAAAAUACUGCUCUGCCAGAGUUUUCCAGAGCUGUGGAUUCUCACCAGCGAAGCUGGGAAAUGAGAUCGGGGGUGGAACUUACCCCAUCAUGGCGAGCACUUGUGAUGGAAGUGGAGAGGAAUUCGAGGGAGGGAACAAGGUCGUACCCGUGACCGGGGAAGCCGUCGGUGACUCCAUGGUCAGCGUCGGAGGUCCCCCGGGAUGUAGUGACGCGUCGUGGCUUGGUUGCUCUUGGAUCUUGCGCGCGACGAGGGGAGAGGUCGCAGGCGGCAGAGAUUCACUGGUAGGCGUGACCGAGGUGGACGUGGCUUGAAGGUUCUCGAAGGAGAGCUCCAACUGCGUGAAUUGCGCCUCCAACUCUGGCUUCGAGGAGACGAGGGCGUCGAUCCAUGUGGAUUGCGUCGCCAUGGCCUCGAGGAUGGCCUUGUUGUUUACCUCCUUCCUGGCAGCGCGGGCAACCGCGUCGUCGUUCAUCUUGUCGAGGUGCGCCUUCAGCACCGGAUCCAGGGUGGCGAAGAAGGCGUCGCCCGUGUGCUCCUUGCUGCGGGUUUCCAGUGCGGAGACGGAAUACGGUGCAGACGGCGAGGCGUAGGGUGGUAGGUGGCUAGCUAAUACCAUGAUGUUAGGCAUCGAAUCUAGAUCUAGUAUUUCUCUUCACAGUUUCAUCUCAAGUACAUAAUGGUGUUACAGAGAGAAGGAAGAAGGACAGAAAAGAAAGCCACCAUUGCCGUGCCUUUGCCUGAUCCUCAUGGAUGCCUAGCGAGUCGCAUGAGAGAGCCUAAGUAGCGUUCCACCAUUUCGGGCCCACGAACCUGCGGUUGAGCUGCUUGAUCCUAGGUGGCCUUGCGAUGGCGUGCUUGUGUCCCUGAUUGGUGGAAGGGGAUUUCUCUUCUGCCAUGUCAUUCGCUCGCCCCGACUUGGCGAGGUUGUUGUGCGCUGGGACUGAGACUGGGUCGUUGAUAGAUGAAUCGUCAGAUUUUAUUUGUAAUUCCGCUCAUCUUUGAGAAUUACUAGGUGCCAUAAAAUUGCUCCCAAUGAAAUAUUGAAGUUCACGCAAGAAAAGUUGCGCAUGGUGCACCUCCAGUUCAUCAUCGAUAGAGUGCGUUCGCGCCUGGCAGGAUGGAAGGGCAAGCUCCUCAAUUUGGUCGCCCGUGGGGUGCUCGUGCGAGCAGUUCUCACUGCUCUGCCCACCUUUGCUCUGACAGACCUCAAGGUGCCCAAGAAAAUUCUAAAAGAGGUGGACAAGGCGUGACGAUAGUUCCUCUGGGCUCAGGACGAAGAUCUGACUGGUGCUGAAUGCAAAAUGGCUUGGAGCACAGUGUGCUUGCCAGUCGCCAAAGGAGGGCUCGGGGUCCUGGACCUUCAUCGUUUCAGCGCUGCUCUACGUUUACGCUGGUUGUGUCUUGCGUGGCAGCAGCCGCGGCGGUCCUGGACGGACUUCCCUACGUCCUACGACCAACGAGACCCGGAGCUGUUCGCAAGGGCAAGCAAUGACUGUGAAGAUUGACUACGGCAUAUUGACAAGUUUCCGGUGAAGUACGUGGUAGGGGCAGAGUGAAUUGCAAAAAACCAUCACAUUUGGUCCAUCGAUUGCAGAAAACCACCAGGUGGCUAAUCUUUUGCAAAAAACAUUGUGUAUUCUGUAAACUUUUGCAAUAUGUACUGAUCGGGCGAUUUCCUGUUUUUGACCAUUUUGUCGACAACUGGGGCCCUUUUUCACCCCACCUGGCCUAACGGCUGGGCAACGACGCCGUCAGGUGGAAUCCCUUUGCCCCCCUCGCUUCAGACAGACCGACCGACCAGGCCACGCCACUCCACACUCCUCUCCCUUGGGAUCCCUUAAUGGUGAAACCUCGCGGCGCAGCGGCUGCGCUUCCGUUGGAGAUGCUCCAGGCUAUGCUGAUGGAGAUCCACCGGAGUUUUAUGGGAGCUCAAAUCCUUCUUAGCCGCUGCCUCCCCCCGAAUCUUCGGAGUACGCAGGGGCUAGGGAAUUCACCCCGACUGUGAAGGCAAAUCCAACGGGCAGCCAGGGUAAGACAGUGUGGUGUAAGACAUCCAUCCACUCUCACUCAUUUCUCUUUUCCCUGAUUUGGUUUCUAGUGUUAGGGUGCUAGGGUUAGGAAUUAAUUGUUCAAGAGUUGUAAGUAUUGGGUUGAACUGAAUGUUUAACACUAUUUUUAACUAAAUGUAGGUUGGAUGGUGAAGAAUUGAAAGUGAGGUACCAUUUCUUGGACAAAGAUAAUUUGGAAAGAAUGGUUUUCUUAUCGAACAUAACCUAUUGGAAUGUGAUUGCACUAAUAGAGAUAGCAGGCUGUAGUUCAAGAUAUUUUAUGUAUUAUGUUAGAGAUCCACGAGUUGGGGUGUCAGGAAUGGAAGAAUUAACUAAUGUUGACAAGGUGGGAGAAAUAUUGGAUGACAUAAUUAGUAAAGGAAAUAAUAUGGUUAACAUUACAGUUACGAGAAGUGAUGCACCAACAGUAGGUGACCUUAACAUUGGUCAUCUUUAUGAAGAGCAAGUCCCUUUGUCUGAAUUUGGUGUACCACUUUUCUAUGAGGUAGAUACUAGAGGAGUUCUUUUCCCUAGUCCUAUGAAGCCCCAACCACAUCCAGCCCAGGUCAUGAACACCGAGGAGAGUUCAUGUUUGUUGAAGAGUUGACUAGCGGUGAUAGUGAGAAUGAAAUUUUAGUAGACGAUGACAUAAUAGCUAGGCUGGAGGCAAUGAAGAGGCAUAGAGCCGACCCUCUCAAUCACUAUGAAGGAGACGCUUAUAUAGAAGAGUAUGAACCAGAUGAGGAGGAGGGGGAGGAUGAAGCAGGAGAGAAGGAGUCAGGACAGAGGAGCAAGCAGAGGAGGGCAGGAGAGGUGGAAGCAUUGUAGGAGGAAGUAAUGCAGGAGGAAGCAGCAUCACAAGAGGAAGUCAGGGGAAGGGGCCAACAACCAGAUCACAUGGAUGUCUGGAUCAAACCAUAGAGAAAUAUUGGAUACAUUUAUCUGAUGGGGAGAGCAACCUUGGUGACUUAUGUCAGGAUGAUAAUGAUGGUGCUCAACUUCCAACAUUUAGGCUUAGUAAGAUACCCAAAUAGACAUGGGCUAGACAUGCCAUGGACAAAAAUUGUAAAACCUACUUAGAAUGUUUAGAAAAAACAGUUUAGAGUCUUUCUUCACAAGACGCAAGGAAGCAUUUGUGCACCUUUACAGAGCUUUGCGAUAUGACUCACAUAAAAUAUGUUUAUCAUGAUGAAGUUAAAGUAUGUUAAUUCCUUUUCUCUUUGAGAGGAAAAGAUGAGAAUGCUUGAUAGCUUUUAUUAAAGUAGACAUUACAUCUUGGAAUAGUUGUUGCAAUAUGUUCAUGACUAAAUAUUUUCCACAUGUGAAAACAAUGCAAUUGUUUAACAUUACAAGUAUUAAACAUGAAGACCAUGAGCCGCUAGCGCUUGCGUGGAAUCGUACAAAAGAAGUUGUUAGGAAAUGCCCUAACCAUGGCAUGAAACAAUGGUUAAUUCUAUAUUUGUUUUAAAGUGGUUUAAAUCAUUUAUAUAAAACAUCAUUAACACUACUACAGGGGAACUAUUAUAGGACAACCACUUGGUGAAGCAAAGAAGCUCGUAUAAGAUAUGCAAGAAAAUUAUACUCACUCACACGUUGAAAACUUCACAUCUAGGUAAAUUCUAUUAAUGAGGAAAGUAAUGAAUAGAUUUCAACAAAAAUUGGUGAGCUCCAAAGAAUGAUAAAGGUAAAGAAGAAAUUUCUAUGAACUCUAAUAUGGAAGUUGACAUCAAUUUCAUUCCUUGCAAGAGUUAUAAUCCUGGGCGGAAGAAUAUAAUAUUUUUUUCAAAUUAUUGGAGACCACUCAUACGUCUCAAACGUAUCUAUAAUUUUUGAUGGUUUCACGCUGUUGUCUUGCCUUCUUUGUAUGUUUUAUGUACCUUUUUAUAUCUUUUUGGGACUAACUUAUUAAUUCAGUGCCAAGUGCCAGUCCCUGUUUUUUCCGUAUUUUUGACUCUUUUCAGAUCUGAUUUUGGAACGGAGUCCAAAUGGAAGAAAAACCCCGAAAUGAUUUUUUUCCCGAAUGGAAGAAGUCCAGGGGGCUUUUGGGCCAAGCCAGGUGGGCUCCACGGAGCCCACAAACCCCCACUCCGCCACCAAGGGGGAGGCGGCAGUGGGCAGGCUUGUGGCCUCCCUGGCCGCCCCCUGACCUAGGUCUUUGGCCUAUAAAUUCCCAAAUAUUCCGCAAAAAAUCAAGGGAGCCUCGAAAAUACUUUUCCGGCGCCGCAAGCUUCCGUUUCCGCGAGAUCUCAUCUUGAGACCCUUCCCGGCGCCCUACCGGAGGGGACUUUGGAGUUGGAGCGCUUCUUCAUCAUCAUCAUCGCCCCUCCAAUGACUCGUGAGUAGUUCACUUCAGACCUACGGGUCUGUAGUUAGUAGCUAGAUGGCUUCUUCUNNNNNNNNNNNNNNNNNNNNNNNNNNNNNNNNNNNNNNNNNNNNNNNNNNNNNNNNNNNCGAUGUAAUCUUCUUUGGCGGUGUGUUUGUCGAGAUCCGAUGAAUUAUGGACUUGUGAUCAGAUUAUCUAUGAUAUAUAUUUGAGUCUUUGCUGAUUUCUUAUAUGCAUGAUUUGAUAUCCUUGUAAGUCUCUCUGAGUCUUGGGUUUUGUUUGGCCNNNNNNNNNNNNNNNNNNNNNNNNNNNNNNNNNNNNNNNNNNNNNNNNNNNNNNNNNNNNNNNNNNNNNNNNNNNNNNNNNNNNNNNNNNNNNNNNNNNNNNNNNNNNNNNNNNNNNNNNNNNNNNNNNNNNNNNNNNNNNNNNNNNNNNNNNNNNNNNNNNNNNNNNNNNNNNNNNNNNNNNNNNNNNNNNNNNNNNNNNNNNNNAGGGGCAGCAAGGCACACAUCAAGCAGUUGCCAUCAAGGAUAAAAAGAUGGGGGUUUUAUCAUUGGUUUGAGAUUAUCCCUCUACAUCAUGUCAUCUUGCUUAAGGCGUUACUCUGUUCUUAUGGACUUAAUACACUAGGUGCAUGCUCGAUAGCGAUCGACGUGUGGAGUAAUAGUAGUAGAUGCAGAAAGUGUUGGUCUACUUGUUUUGGACGUGAUGCAUAUAGAAAUAAUCAUUGCAUAGAUAUCGUCACGACUCUGCACAGUUCUAUCAAUUGCUCGACAGUAAUUUGUUCACCCACCGUCUACUUGCUUUCAUGAGAGAAGCCACCAGUAAACACUACGGCCCCCGGGUCUAUUCACAUCCAUCGUUUACAUCUCCGCUUUUACUUUGCUUUGUUACUUCGUUGCUUUCAGUUCUCACUUGGCAAACAAUCUAUAAGAGAUUGACAACCCCUUCAUAGCGUUGGGUGCAAGCUUUUGUGUUUGUGCAGGAUCUUGAGAUACUCUUCUGCCGGAUUGAUACCUUGGUUCUCAAACUGAGGGAAAUAAUUACCGUCGCUGUGGUACAUCACCCUUUCCGCUUCGAGGGAACACCAACGCAAGGCUCCAAGGCCAUGGGGGAAAUCCUUUGCGUACUUGCCUAGGAAGUCCCUUAAGGCGUAGUCAUAGCUGAAGGAUUCCUGGUGCCGUCGACACAACUAUUUCUGGCGUCAUUGCAAGGGAUACACAACAAACAUCAGAAGUAUUUCUGGCACCGUUGCCAGGGAGGAGGAUCGUCAAGAAUAUUCUCCCGACAACGUGCCCAUUUCUGGCGCCGUUGCCGGGGAGGAGAAAUAAAGAUCUAUCCAAGUAGGUCUCACAAACUCUUCUCUUGCAUUUACUUUUGUUGCCAGUUGCCUCUCGUUUUCCUCUCCCCCAAUUCACAUUUGCCGUUUUCAUUUGCCUUUCUCCUUUGCCGUUUUCCUUUGCCUUUGCCGGUUUUCUUGCUCGCUCGUGUGCCAUGUGCCAUCAAUAUGCUUGCAUCUUCGCUUGCUGAAAAUCUAGUGAUAUGGAUCCUCAUCCACUUGCUAGUCUCUUUAAGAGACCCACUCGUGUGGAACAAAUUGCUAGUGAGUUGAGGGCAAUUGACUAUUUCUUUGGAGUUUUGCGUAAGAUGCGUGAAUCUGAAAAUUGUGAGGAAGAAAUUCAUGAAGUGAUUCACGAGGGCUCCUUGGAUGAAAAGCAUGAUUGCAAUGAUUUCACUAUAAAUCCUAUUAGUGACAAUCAUGCUAAAAAUAUGCAAAACCCUAAGCUUGGGGAUGCUAGUUUUGCUUUGUCCACUACUUGUUGCAAUAAUCAUGAUUGGGGUGAUGAUCUUUCUUAUGAUCUUGAAAAUUUGUUCAAACCUCAUGAUGAAUAUGAUAUUUGCAACAAUACUGAAAGUGGGAUUGGAGAAGUCAUGACUUUAUUUGAUGAUAAUCCCACUAUUUUUUAAGAGCGUCAACUUUGCAUGCAUGUGGAUCAUGAAAAGAAUAUCCUAUGGGAUAGCUUUAUUGUUGAAUUUGAAUAUGAUCCCACAUGUAAUUGUUAUGAGAGAGGAAAAUAUUUUGGUAGAAACUUUCAUGUUACCAAAUUACCUCUCGUUAUGUUGAGAUUGCUAUUGUCUCUUUCUUCUUCCUUGCAUAUGGCAACUAUUAGUUGUCUUGACAAUUUGUUUUCCUACAAAAUGCCUAUGCAUAGGAAGUAUUUUAGACUUAGAUGUGAUUUUCACAUGCUUUAGGAUGCUCUCCUUGUGCUUCAAUUCUUGUCUUUUGUGUGAGCAUCAUUGAAUGCCUAGCUAAGGGCGUUAAACAAAAGCGCUUGUUGGGAGGCAACCCAACGAAUCUAUCCUUUUUCUUUUUGUUUUGUGUUUUCCAAACUUUCAUAAUUCUAUUAUGAUUGUGUUUUUUGUGUUUCUUUUUGCGUUUGUGCCAAGCAAAACCGUUAUGAUUAGUCUUGGGGAUGAUCGUUUGGUCACGCUGGAAAAGACAGAAACUUUCUGCUCACGAAAAGAAUUUUAUUAUUUUUUCUGUAAGAGCUUUUGAGUUGAUUCUUUUUUCUGCUGAUUGCGACGCAAAUUCUUCAGACUUUAGUAAAGUUUCAGAAUUUCUAAAGUACGAGAGGUAUACGAAACAUACAGAUUGCUACAGACUGGUCUGCUGUUAACAGAUUCUGUUUUUGUUGUGUUGGUUGCUUAUUUUGAUGAAACUAUGGAUAGUAUCGGGGGGUAUUAGCCAUGGAAUAUUUAAAGUACAGUAACCCAACAUCAGCACAAGUAGAAUUUAAGUUUUCUACAGUACCUAAGGUAGUGGUGGUUUGCUUUCUUGUACUAAUGUUAUCACGAGUUUCUGUUUAAGUUUCGUGUUGUGAAGUUUUCAAGUUUUGGGUGAAGUUCUUAUGGACAAAAAGAUAAAGAGUGGCAAGAGCUCAAGCUUGGGGAUGCCCAAGGCACCCCAAUAGAUUCAAGGAUGCCGUAAAAGUCUAAGCAUGGGGAUGUCCCGGGAAGGCAUCCCCUCUCUCGUCUUCAAUCCAUCGGUAACGUUACUUGGGGCUAUAUUUUUAUUCACCACAUGUUAUGUGUUUUUGCUUGGAGCGUCUUGUAUCGUAGGAGUCUUCUAUUUUUUUUUGUGUCACAAUCAUCCUUGCUGCACACCUAGAGAGAGAGACAUGCACUCACCAUGAUUUUGUCGAGCUUCACUUAUAUCUUUUGGUAGACAAUUCAGCUCACAUGUGCUUCACUUAUAUCUUUUGAGCUAGAUACUUUUGCUCUAUGUGCUUCACUUAUAUCUUUUAGAGCACAUUGGUGCGUGGCUUGGUAGUGGAUCUAUGCUUUGAAAGUAGUCUCAAAAGGGGUAGUUAUCCAAAGGGAUACGAAAACUUCCACCUUCAUGUGCAUUGAAUAGUUAGAGAAGUUUGAUUCAUCUCAAUUAGUUUUGAGUUGUGGUUAUGGUAAUAUUGAAAGUCAUGCUAGUAAGGUGUUGUGGAUCUAGAAAUACUUGUGUUGUGGAUCUAGAAAUGCUAGUAAGUCAUGCUAUUUAGCGCGUAGGGCGAUGUAGCGCGUACACCCUCCAACCUUCGAUCCUCUAUUGGGCCGACCCAUCAACGGAUUUCUACCCCUCUGGUUUAGAACCUUACCUAAACAUAAUUUUCUUUUUUUCUUUAUGUAUCUUUUUUUCUCUUUUCUUCUUCAAUUUGCAAACAUGUUCCAAAUUCGUGUUUGUUAGGGAAAUCCUGGACAGUUUUUGUAAUACGUAAAUAUUUUUUUUAAAAUUACUAACAUUUUUAAAUUUGUGACCAUUUUUUACAAAUUUGUGACCAUUUUUUGAAAUUGUGUACCUUACACUUUUCGUUAUUUGAUUUCAGAAAAUGUGCAUCAAUGUAAAAAAAUGUUCAUCGAAUUCAAAUUUUCUUCAUCGUAUCUAAAAAUGCUCAUUGAAUUAAAAAAUGUUUAUCUUUCUUCAUUGAUUUUCAGAAAAUGAUCAUCAAAAUUCAAAAAAUAUUCUUUCUUUUGAAAUCGCGAGCAUUUUGUGAAUUCAAGAGCUGUUUUUGAAUUCGGUGAACAUUUUUUGAAUCCGUGAGCCUUUAUCAUUUCCGAACAUUUUUUUCAUAUCAUGAACAAGUUUCUGAAUUCACGAACAUUUCAAAAAUUGUAACUUGUUUUUUGAAAUCCCGAAUUAGUUUUAUAAUGGAAAACAGUUAAAACAGAAAAAAGCAAAAAAAAAAAAAAGAUGCUUCCCGCUUUGCUGCCCCCACACAUGGGCCGGUCCACGAGGGCGUCGGGGGUAAACUAAACAAGAGGUCCCUGAAUAAAGCUCUUCAGUUCCCAGAAAAAAGGGUAAACUAAAAGCAGAGCUCGGACCGACACGUUCUUGCCACACGAAGACAGCUCCGAACCAUUUUCCACCUGCAUGGACUAACCCCACAGACCAGCUCGUCCCCAACCCAUUACUGCGGUGCAGACAACACCCUUCCACCUUUCUCCGGUCCACUGGACCAGGAGCGCGGAGGAGCGCACAGGACAUCCACCAUUCACCGAGGAUGAGGGGAGGCGGAGGAAAUGGGUCGAGUCGCUCUCGCGAAAGGGACCCCCGCUCUGCCCCUCCUCCGCGUGGCGAAAUUCUCUCCUAUAGUCUACGACCGUGCGCUGCAGCUGCCGCCCCGCCGUGCCUCAGCGUCGCCGCCGACGCCUCAAUCCCCGCCGUACCUCGCCGUCCCCGUCCUCCCUCGCCGGGACGUCGCGUCCCCGCCGUGUCCACCCCGUCCCAGGCGAUUGGGUUUUGAGGUAUGGGCUUGUUUCGCCUAGCGAUUUGUUAAAUCACACCGAGCUCCACGAUUUUUGGGUGUGCCGGUGCGCCCACGCGGCACGCCAUCUUGAUCCGCUCCUGUUGUUGGAGAGGAGUGAUAUUGAGCAGAAUCGUAGAUGUUCUCUGAUAGGAUUAUAUCAGCCUCGGAAUAAAGAGUCAGGCUCUUAUUAAUUGUGCACAAAAAAACUUAUUGCUCAAUACUUCCGUACUAUCCUAUUCAGCAAGCUGUACAAAAAAUGGCUGGGGGGAACAAAAUUUGACUUAAGAUGCAGAUUGAAAUCCAUCAGGCACUUUGACUUUUAGGGAGCGUUCAUGUGUUGCGCUGAUGCCCAUGGUCUGUUAAACAUCAUGAUAUUCCUGUCUAAUGGAAUAAACAGGAUAGUAUUCUUGAACAAAUGCUAUAAGCAGACUCAUUGUAUGCCUCAUAUGCUUCACCUUUACUGCUUUAUUUCUCACAGGUGACCUCCACUGCUCAUUCUUUUACCUACUUAAUGCAUGUGUAAGCCUACAAUUCUUUGUGUAUAUGUUGAAAUGCGUGUAUGACAGGUUCUUCGUUUUCAAUUUUGUAGCCUAGGCACUGGGAUCUUCUUUGAAGUAAUUGAAGCUAUCCUAAUUGACAAACUAAAUUCAGUGGAUUAUACUGAGAAUCGAUAUUCUGCUCAGCUGUAUUUUCACCGAAACACAACCAUUUUGUAGUCCCUUGUCAAAAAAUAUGGGGAUUGAGAUAUGGUUACCCAUGAUGAGUAUGCGCUUGCUCCUGUGUGAUUAGAGCUAAUCCGGAAAUCUAUAAAUCCAAGCUAUUGAUGGAGCAUGCUAACUGCGAUGCGCACGAGCAUGUUAUAAAUGUAGCACAUGGGGAAACCGCAUCAACAUCAACCAGUCAUCAAGAUCUGCACAGUGAUACGGAUGAACCACAUCAGGAAGAUCGGCCUUCAACAAGCACGAGGACGCCAUCGCCACAAUCUUCAGCAUCAACAUCACCAACUGCUUACAGCUCCAGAAAUUUAUCAUUUCCUAGAAGAGAUAGUUUCUAUGGUCGUGGAACAAGUCUUUGGAAUUCUGGUUUAUGGAUCUCGUUUGAAUUUGUCAUGUAUGUAGCACAGAUUACAGCUGCUAUUGUCAUCCUCAUCUUGUCAAGACAUGAACUUCCCCAUGCCCCUUUAGUUGCAUGGAUAAUUGGUUAUACAGUUGGCUGCACUGCAAGUCUUCCUCUUGUAUAUUGGCGCUAUGUCCAUCGAAACAGACCUUCGGAGGAAGAACCUGAACAGCCACCUACAACUUAUCCUACUUUGACUUCAUCUUCAUCAGAAGGACGCAAUCAGCGUACCAGUGGUUCUGUCUUGCAUCUUGGGUGCAUCACAAUUGCUUGUCCAAGGUGAUUUUUAACUCCGUGCUAAUCUUGAUUUUGAGUUCCCUAAGCUUCUACAUGUUGAGGAAUCCUUCUAUGCAGUCACACUCCUACGCAUUUUAAAUCUUAUGGUCUUAUAUGUGUUUUCCAGAAAUCUGGAACGGUGAAAGGAAGAAGUUAAUGGUUAAGCUGAAUGAAAUUGCAACCUUUAGAGCAUCACACAAUUAGCUUCGUUGUGAAUAAUCUUACACUUGUUUGUGUAAAAUUCUGUAGUAGGUAUAUAAAACUGUAUAGUAUGAAAACAAAUCUGAGAUAAGAGUUGAGUAAAAAUUAUAACAGCUUAAGCAAAACCUUUAAAAUAAGCAAAUGCAGUUAUCAGUUUGUAUAGAUAAGAUAAUAUAUGUGCAGUUUUAUUUUACAGUAUAGCAUUGUGAAAUGAUUUCAAGGUCUUCUUUUCAGAACUUCUCCCUUUCUAUGCUUAACUCUCAAUGAUAUGUUCUUUUUUCGGUUUGCCAGUUUAAGCCUGUCAGCCCUAAGAACUCAGCAAUAGAAACACCUUUUGAUGGCUUUCCAAGAUUUGUGAAUUUGGAAAGGAGAACUUUAUAGGUUUUUUAGUCUGCGUGGCAAAUAGUUGUAGGACUGUUCACUUUUGUGAGCAAAAUCUUGUUGAUAUCUUUACUUGAUAUGGACCAAUGUAAUUACUAUGUAUGCCACUCGAAUGACGAGUCCAGUGUCAAUCUUAGUGUGCCACAUCACUUCAAAGUUAAAUAAUAUAGCGGCACAGCAGAUUAUUAUGCGUUCACAUCUUUUACUCCCUCCGUUUGACAAUAUAAGACGUUUUGACAGGCUGUUUUAGCUUGCAAAAUUUUAUAUUAUGGGACAGAGGGAGUAGCAUAUAACUACCACAUAAAGCCUCGCCAAAAAAAACUAGAAAUAUACUUAUAUACAGGAAAUGUUCUACAACUUAGUUAUCAUGUAUCCUCAUUUUCUUUUUCAUUUGCUCAUUUCCUGUGGAAGUAAGACAGAAAUUUGUUCCAUGGACUAGCGGAAGUCCCUAAGUCAUAGCAUAAUAUUACCAUGCUUUCUUCACAUGUCUGACUAGACUGGUUUGAUGAUGGUCCCUUAAGUAUGCAGCUAUGCGGAUCAUAAGUUUAUAACAUAUCCUCUUUAAAUAGAGUGAAACUGGUGCUAUUUUACUCUAGUCUAAAGUAUUCUUAUCUGAUUAGUAACUUGUAGAACUUGGUGAUGUAGGGUCUUAUAGUACUUGGUUGUAUGUUAAAUUUGAAGUGAAUGAAUGCUGUUAUUUGAUGUGAUUAUGUCUUAUAGGCCUAGCAUACUGGCUUAUCAUUCCAAGACAGCCGUAGACUGUUUCUUUGCUAUAUGGUUUGUUGUUGGCAAUGUGUGGAUUUUUGGUGGGCGUGGCACUUCAUCAGAUGCUCAGGACGCUCCAAAUAUGUAUAGGUAAUUGUACUGCUUUGUGUUUAUUCCAUUAUAUUUGUUGAACUCCCAACUGACCUUGCUGUGCCUUUAUAGGCUAUGUUUAGCGUUCCUUGCACUUAGUUGUGUUGGGUAUGCCAUUCCAUUCAUCAUGUGUGCAGCGAUAUGCUGCUGCUUUCCAUGCUUAAUUUCCGUUUUGCGCCUUCAAGAGGAUUUGGGUCAAAGCAGAGGAGCUACUCAAGAGCUAAUCGAUGCAUUGCCAACCUACAAAUUUAAACCAAAACGAAGCAAAAACUGGGUUCUUGAUCAUGCUUCGAGCUCAGAGAAUCUUAGCGAGGGCGGCAUCCUGGGCCCAGGAACUAAAAAGGAAAGGAUUGUUUCGGCUGAAGAUGCUGUGAGUAUUCCGCAUCCUUUUCCUGUGUCAUGAUAUUCAACAAAUACUGCAAGGAUUUGCUAUUGACCUUCAUAUGCUCCAUGAUUUAGUAAGAUAGCUUCAUUCAAUACAAGUGCAUUGUAAGCACUCAAUGUUAUGCUGCAACGUUUAUUGUUUUUUACCUUCAGAUUUUUUUUUUUUUUUGAGAAAACGCAAAAGCCUUGCGUUUCUUUGCAUUGAAAAGGGAGAUAGUACAGCCUCCGAAGAGGAAGUUACAGCACGGUUACAUGUAGGUCUAGUGGACAUCCCAGGUUGGGGGCAAAGCUACCCUAAGCCCUUUGUCCCCAGCCCGAGCCCAGCACCUAAUCUCAUCUUGAAUCCUAUCUAAGAGCUCGCUCAGCGACGGAGGUAUGUGAUCGAACACACACGCGUUCCUAUGCUUCCAUAUCAUCCAGGGGACCAGCAGCGCGACAGAACGCAGUGUCUUGCGGAGCGGUGCGGGGGUGGCGUUUCGCGCCCUACUCCACCAGUCCUGGAUGGAAGCGUCGUGCAUCGGCAGAGGGGCCGGGAGGUGCAGCCAGGACAACGUCUCAUGCCAUGCCUGCCGCGCGAAGGAGCAGGAGAUCAGCAGGUGCCGGAUAGUCUCGGGCUCCUGGUCGCAUAGGAGGCAGCGAGUGUGGUGAGGGAGCCCUCGGCGCGCAAGCCUGGCUGCGGUCCAACAGCGGUCCAGAUCCGCAAGCCAGUGGAAGAACUUGACUUUCGGGGGAGCCCAACCUUUCCAAAUGAGCUGCCAAGAGUGGCAUAUUAAUGAUCCAUGGAAGGUUGCCCUGUAGCAAGACCUCGCCGAGUAGAUGCCGUUGGCCGUCCACUUCCAGAUGAGCUUGUCCGGCUCCGAGGACAGAUUGAUCCGAGCGACGAGCUGCCAUGUCCUCAAGUAUUGGCCUAUCUCCUGCAGGCCCACCACACCUCUGAUGUCACGGGCCCAGGCAUUGCCGGCGAUGCCUUCCGCCACCGUCCUCACUUCUCUUCUGUUCUUGGGGAUGCAUAGGUAUAGGAGUGGCGCAAGCUCGCGAAUUGACUGCCCAUGCAGCCAUCGGUCCUCCCAGAACAGUGCGGUGAGGCCAUCACCUACUAGCAUGAGGGUGGAUGCAUGGAAUAGGCCGCGCUCCUCAGGGGAGAACUCUAAGUCAAGGCCUUGCCAUGCACGGUCGGCAUCCGUCCUCGAUAGCCAGAGCCAGCGGAGCCUGAGCGCUAGCCCCGUGCGCUCCAGGUCUCGAAUGCCCAACCCACCGUAGGCGAGCGGCCGGCAGACAGUGCGCCAGUUGACGUGACAGUGCCCUCCCUUUGCAGCCUCACGACCCGCCCAGAGGAAGCCGCGCUGAAUCUUCUCAAGCUGUUUCAGGGUCUUCUUCGGGGGCGAGAGAGCCAGCAUCUGGUGAAUCGGAAUCGCGCUGAGAACAGAUUUGACCAAUGCCAGCCGUCUUGCCUUGUUCAUGAGCCAUGCCUUCCAGGACGGGAGGCGGCCUGCGACGGCGUCUACCAGUGGCUGCAUCUGUGCCGCUGAGGGCCGGCGAGAAGAGAGCGGGAUGCCCAGGUACAUGAUGGGCAGCGCCGCGGGCUGGCAGCCCAGCGCCUCCAGCAGGGCGUCGGCGUCCUCACCCCCAUGCAGGGUCGUGGCCGAGCUUUUGCCGUAGUUCACCCGCAGGCCAGAUGCGGUCUCGAAGAUGCCCAAGAUGCUCUUCACGGCAAUAACCUCCUCCAUCUCGGCGUGGCAAAACAUCAUCACGUCGUCGGCAUAUAGAGAAAUUGCCGGAAUGUUGCGACGGGGGUGCAGGCGCCUGAGGAUGCCGGUGUGGAGCGCCCUGUGCAUGAGGCGGGCCAGCGCAUCGGCCGCCAGGACAAAGAGCAGCGGCGAUGUGGAGUCGCCCUGGCGCAGCCCGCGCCUGUGCCAGAUCGGUGGGCCGGGUACUCCAUUGAGCAUAACUAGCGUGCUGGCCGAAGAGAGCAGGAUGGACAGCCAUUCCCUGAUCCUGUCACCGAAGCCAUAUUGGCGCAGGACCUCGAAGAGGAACGGCCAGGAUAUGGAGUCGAAAGCCCGUGUGAGGUCGAGCUUGAGCAUGAUGCACGGCGCGCCCAGGUGCUGGAGCAUCUGCAGAGACUGCCUGACGAGCACGAAGUUGUCGUGGAGCGUGCGACCGGCGAUGAAGGCGUUCUGGUUGCGGCUCACCAAGCUAUCGAGCUUGGGGGCGAUGCGCAACGACAGAACCUUGGCGAAUAUCUUGGCGACUAUGUGGAUCAGGCAAAUGGGCCGAUAGUCUCCCAGCUUGUGUGCAUCCGCUCGCUUGGGCAGCAGGGUGAGCAGGGCUUGGUUGAGCUUACCAAACCCUCUUCCUUGGAGCGCAUACAGCUGCUCGAAGGCGUCCAGGAUGUCUUGCCUGAUGAUGCACCAGCAAGCGCGCAGGAAUUCGGCGGUAAACCCGUCCGGCCCCGGUGCCUUGUGGGGCGGCAUGCGGCACACCGCAGCCCAGAUCUCCUCGGAAGUGAAAGGCUCGUCCAGGUUGCCCAGCUGGCCGGGCGUGAUGAGCUGCGCCAGGUCAAGCGUGUGCUCUCGGUCCACCGCAGUGCCCAGGAGUCCGUCAAAGUGCUCAAAUGCGGCCUGGGCCAUCUCCUCGUGAUCAGUCCGAACCUGUCCAUCAACUAGGAGGCUAUGCACGCGGUUCUUCUGGCGGCGGUAGGUGCACUGCCGGUGGAAGAAGCUCGUGUUAGCAUCGCCCUCCGCGAGGGAGGUAAUACGGGCGCGCUGCCGCGCGAUGGUGCGCUCCAGGGAGGCAAGCCCGAGGUAUGACUGCUUGAGCUGCCUGCGCAACCAAUCCUCUGAUGGGGUGAGCGGGCGAGUCUCCAUCGCGAGGUCGAAGCGGGCAAUCAGCUCGCGGGAGAUGGCCAGCUUGUCCCGGAUACUGCCCGUGGAGCGGGCGCUCCAGCUCGUAAGGGCGAGGGCAGUGGCCUGCAGGCGCCGGACCAGCCGCUGGAAGGGGUCGGGGUCAUGUACCGAGCUCCAGGCUGUGGCGACGGUGUCGUGGAAUCCGUCGAGGCGUAGCCAGAAAUUCAGAAUAUUUAUAAUAGAUGGUAUUUUUUUCUUGAUAUUUGCGCACUACUUCACCAGACAAUUCAUUGAAAUAUAUUUUUUAUUCUCAAUGUAUAGCACAGAUUGAUCUACAAGUGCUUUUGAGAUAUAUUCUUGGUUUGCAAGGAACAUUUUACUAGUUGUCUUGCUAGCAUGUGAACCUCUUCCAUGCGUUGGUAUCUCUUUAUUCAGCAGCAUAUCCCCUCAUUGGUUAUUAUUCUAUACUCCACGUGUCUAGGUUAAUAGUACCUCCGUCCCAAAAUAAGUGUCGCAGAUUUAGUACUAAAUUAGUACAAUUUUUGUACUAGAUCAACGACACUUAUUUUGAGACGGAGGGAGUAUUUGUUAGCGUGUUCACUCUUUGCAAUUUGGCCAAUAUUAAAUCAUGACCUAGCUUUCCAAAUACUCUACCAUAUUUCCAAUGUUCACCAUCUGGGCUACAUUUGCUCUCUUUCUCAGCAUGAUUCACAAGUUAUCUCCUUAUUUAACAGCAUGUCAGCAUGUCCCUUCUUAGAGCAUCAGCAAGGUUUGGAACAUCCUGCAUAUAAUAAGCUGGGCCCCACCACUCUGUCUGAUCUAGCAAGUAGUAGUGGACUGUAUGGUGCUGGUUCUAGUUAACCAACCUUGGACUCCAGAAAUUCUGCAUUCAUUUCUCCACUCCCCAUGCUCGCGGACUGCCGUUUUGGCUACCACCAGUGACACGUGGGGCCCAAAAAGUGAUUCCUUUACCCUAGAACCGGUACUUGAGCUGGUAGCCGUGCCUAGCUUGGAAUUAUUUUGGACAUCCUUACAGUGUUUGGGACCGGUACUAUGCGAUUCUUUUGGACCUCCUCUUGUCACAAUACUGUGGAUGCUGUUAGAUUAUUCCAAGCUACAUUAUGUACUGCACAUGGCUAGGUUAAUAUUUGCUAGUGUGUUCACUAUUUGUAUUUUGCCACUAUUAGUUUAUAUUUUGGCCAAGUUCUCCGGAUAUUGAAAGUUGAGCCCAGCUCACCUACACCUGGUUGGGAAAAAAAUAAUCAAUUUUCUUUGCAAACCAUUUAAAAAAACUUAUUGUUUGGCAGGUCACAUAUGUGUGUGUUCUAUCUACCUACACAUUCUCAUCAACAAUCGACAUUCGUGGUGCUCUGUGCCUAAAAAAAACCAGUGCUCUUAUAUGCUUCAAAAAUGGCAUUUUUUUUAGCCACCGAUAUUUUUGUUUUGCACAGAGCACAUGUUACUUAUUUGUCAUGAAAAUUUGCUCGUGGUUCAAAUACACACACAUGCUUGCUGGACAAAAAAUUCAUAACUUUUUGAAGUGUUUUGCUAAAUUGUUUUCUUCAAAAGAAAGUCUAGCCAGGCGUAGGUGAGUCCGGGAGCCUAGUUACUGCCCCCCAAGUUCUCCAAAUACUUUACCAUAUCAGUUUUUAAUACACUCAUAUGGGGCACAUUUGCUCUUUCUCAGCAUGAUUUACAAGUUAUAACUGUCAAAGUUUCUAAUAUUGGUGCAGGUGUGCUGCAUCUGCCUUACUAAGUACGGAGAUGACGAUGAGCUUCGCGAGCUUCCUUGCAACCAUUUGUUUCAUGUGCAAUGUGUCGAUAAAUGGCUCAAGAUAAAUGCAGUAUGCCCACUCUGCAAGACAGAGAUUGGAGGCGUGGUUCGAUCAUUCUUUGGAUUGCCCUUUGGCCGCCGCCGUGUUGAUAGGAUGGCAGGAAGAGGUGUAGCUAGCUCAAGAUUUAGUGUAUAGAACACGUCCUUUUGCUCCGAUAUAUGCUUGCUAUGUUGUUUGUUGUAUGCCUAGUGUUGCUCAUGGGAUUCAGUGUGCUGAUUCUCAAGGAAAGAGGUAAACUGCUUUCUGUCGGACUGUUAGGCUUGUUUCACCAAACGGAGGACAGCAAGUGGAGACCGGAUGCUUGUAAUGGCAUGUUUGUGGUACAGUGGAGGUGAUGUUAUAUUCGGAUUUAUCAUUUGACGUCAAGCUUGUAAAUAAAGAGAUGAAGUUCACUUCUGAGCGUAGGGAAGGAUGAUAUAUUUCGUCGAAGGAAGAAUGAUAUAACUUAGAGGGCAUUCUGUUUUGUGCUAUCAUUGUGCUUGGUAUUUGUUUUACAGCCAGUACUGUGAGUUUCUCUUUGUUGGCACCAUGCACCAAAUGCGCAGGACGAGUCUCAUGUUUUUGUUGCCUUGGAGAUGCUAUAUUUGCUAUAAUGUCUUCUUUCCUGCAAACCUAUUGUUGCUGCUAUAUUUCAGAAUUCGCUGGAGUCAAGUUAACAUAAGAACAUGUACAUUUGCAGCAGGAAAAAUGAUGUUUUUGUUCAUGUAUGACCAGAAGUUGAAUAGUCGAAAACCUAUGUGAAAGCAGGCUGAAAAGUAUACUGGAGGAAGAGGUUGGUAUGGAAUCAGCAUGCCCUUGGUUCAAUGAAAUUUGUAGGAUUCCAGUUGACACGGAAUUCGAAUCCAUUUAGUUCAAAGGAAUGAAUUCUCCAAAAAUUAUGUGCAUUGUUUUCCUACAUGGGCUUCUUUGGUUCAAAGAAAUUUUAAAGCAACUUUGUUGAUUUCAAUCCAUAAAAUUUCUAGCAAGUUAUGGUCUCAUAUCUCAAUAGGAAGUUGAUGUGCCUUUCCUGGUUCAUGUAUGAUUCAAAAUGUCAGGAUAUCUAUUCCUAUAUUUUUUUCAUGUUCCUAUGUUCUUCAGACCCUGCGGAGCGAAGAAGGUUCUACUAUUCCAUAAGAUUGAUUGGAAAAUUUCCAUAUAUCUUGACAAGCAUGACAUGCACUCAAUGUCUACGAAAAGUUCUUACGGUUUUUCCUUCGAUGCAACCAAACAACUUCCGGUACUGGUGUUUUCAAUCUCAGAAUUCCAAGUGUCAUGAUACCAUAUUGUCAUGUUUUUCAUAUUACGAUGUUUUUAAAAUCCUAGAGGCCGUCAGUUUCUGGUACCAUUCUCACAUUAUUUUAUCAGCCUCCUUUUUUUUAAUAACUCUAGAUGAUGUAAGGUAAGCAUGUUCAGGAGGCAGAAGCUGCAAUUUUUUAGAUAGUCAAAGCCAUAAUUCAGCAAGCACAAAGGAGGUGACGACUUAUAGCUGCCCCUCCCAUGUAUGUGUGGAUGUACUGGGUGGCAUGUUGCAUAUGGCCGGCAGCUGCAAAUAUGCUCACAAUAAUUCAAGGCCGGAAAGUCUGCAGUCCACACCGCUAGAGAACAACCCCCUAUUCCAGCUGCUGUCAUUGCGGUUAGCUCGUUGUCCUGAUGACUGAUUAGUUUAAGAAACACGAGCGAUGUUAUGCAGGGAAAUUCUUUGUCUGAUGCGAAGACGUCCAUGUCAUGGAGAAGUUUCAUGGAAUGUUGCCAUCCUGCUGCUGGCCUAGCUUUGGGAAUCCCUCGUGUGGGGUGGGUGGCAGCUCGCCAGGCCAGGACAGAAUAUUUCCCUCUCGUGAUCUCGUCUAUUUCCAAAGAUGCCAGGGCUGUGUACUCUGGCAGACUGGUGGCCACAAUGUGGCAUGCGACACCAGCGGCGUUUCCCUUGUGACUGACUACUUCAUUUAAUUUUUACUUCAUCCGUUCCUAAGUACUCCCUCCGUUCCUAAAUAUAAAUCUUUUUAGACAUUUCAUUAGUAGACUACAUACGGAUGUAUAUAGACAUAUUUUAAAAUAUAGAUUCAUUCAUUUUGCUCCGUAUGCAGACUCCUAGUGAAAUCUUUUAAAAGACUUAUAUUUAGGAACGGAGGGAGUAUAAGACUUUAUAGAAAUUUUAUUAUAAAAUAGAUACGAAGUAAAAUAAAUGAACCUAUACUUUAAAAUAAGUCUAUGUAUAUCUGUAUGUACUUCCUCUGUACCUAAAUAAUUGUAGUUGGGGAGAUUAGUUCUCCUCAUCUAUAGUUAUUUCGAUAUAGGAGAAGUAGUCUAUAUUUAAAAAAUGUCUUAUAUUUAGAAACAGAUGGAGUAUUAUGUUGUAUGGUUUGUUUUCGGUGUUUGUGGUCAAAACGAGGCUAUUAUACUGAAACUAGGGCUUCCUCUUGGUUUCCUCUGGGUAAUUCUACCUAUAGUUUUUUGAAAAAUAAAUAUUAAGUUGUUGGAGUAUAGAAUAUGGUAGGCUAGUACUGAUGGGGCUGGGGUAGGCCCACGGACCUGCAUUCUAAGGUCCAUCUAAGGCCUCACAUGGACAUCAAUGUCCUCAAAGCUACCAGUACAGUCACGGUCUCAUUCGGGCAAACAUGUUCUCACUCGGUUUGCACAAGGUCAUUCGGUUUAUCUUCUAUCAGUCGGACGUGCCCCGACACUCGGACUACAACGAGGCAUGGACGACGAAGAGACUGCAACGGCCAUAGACUUAAACUACCACAUGAAGUGCAGUGAAGACAAACGUUACUAGUAAUGCUGGAGUUAGAGCUGCUUUACUAGUAACUUUCAUAGUUAUUACCAUGAACUCAUCCUUGUAAUGGCGCUUGGCCGGUCGUGGCACACUCUAUAUAAGACGCACCCGAGCUCCUGGACAAGGGUUGAGCAUUCUGUAAUCGCACACCCCUCAUAAGGAAACACUAGCCUCCGGGCUCGAGACGUAGGGUCGUUACCACUCUAGAGUGGGGCAAGAACUCGUACAUCCGAGUGCAACCACUGCGCUGUAGCUAGGCUUAGCCCCUCGUUCGUACCCCUCGUACUAUUGUGAGGAUCAUUCCCACGACAGUUGGCGCCUACCGUGGGGCAGCGCGUUUAGCAAAAUCCUAUGUAGUUGGAAUUUCCAUCCUUUCCAUCAUCAUGAUGACACUCCGCGGUGAGAUCCUCUUCGGUUCCCUCAGCUUCGUCAUCGACGACUCGGCAUGGCUGCAGAACUCGCGCUCGACACUGAUACGUCCCAAAAGUAUCUAUAAUUUAUGCUUGUUCCAUGAUCUUUUGGGUGACAUUGGUAUAUGUUUUGCUACACAUUUAUAUCAUUCCACACAUAUUUGGACUAACCUACUAACUCAGUGCACCCAGUGACAGUUUCUGUCUCCUGAUGUCUAUUUUGCAGAAAAAAUUAUAACAAAUCAGUGAAACGGUAGCUUCCGGAUCACCGAAGAUGGGCGAGAGGGGGGCCAGGGGCCUCCCAGGCGGCCUGCUGGCGCGACCAGGCCCUAGGCCGCGCCAGGAGGUCGCCUGGGUAGGUCCCACCUCCUCCGGUGCCCUCCUUUGGCCUAUAUUUAGAGUCCCGAGAGGAAACCCUUGCAGACUUUCGGGAAUCGCGAAUUUCUCCAUCGUUCCGCCGCCGCAGCGCUUCUCAGAUCGGGAGCGUCAGGAGACCUCUUCCCGGCACCCUGACGGAGGGAGGACUGACCUCCGGGAGCUUCUCCACCGCCAUGGACGCUUCCCGGACGUGCCGUGAGUAGUCCUCCUUGGACCAUGAGUCUAUGACCAGUAGCUAUGUGAUGUCUUCUCUCCAAUCUUGUGCUUCAAUGGUUAGUCCUUGUGAGCUGCCCUACAUGAUCAAGGCAUCUAUGUAAUUUCUUGCUUUUGCUAUGCUCGGUUUGUUGGGAUCCGAAGGAUUAUGAGAUUAUGUUCAGAUUGUUAUGAGUUAUAUAUUUGAUUAUCCUUUUAUAUUAUGUUCCUUAGUGAUUCAUGCAUGUUCUCCNCGUUAAUGCAGUUGUCUGUUGCUUUGAGUUUACACUUUGGGUGGGGCUCGCAAUUUAAUACCGGCGAGAUGUUCUGAAUAGAUAUCUCAAGGUGUAUGAUUAGUAAGUAGAUACUGAUGAAUAAACGGUCUACUUGUCUUGGCGUACUGCCCAUUACUAUUGAACCUCUAACUAUCAAGUAGCAUAAUUAGCAUUGCGGUGCGAUCAUAAUUCUGUCAAUUUCCCAACUGUGAUUUGUUUACCCAAGCAUAGUUGUUUAUCUCUUUUGGGAGAGAGACAUCACUAGUGAACAUCAUGCGACUCUGGUCCAUAUCAUCAUCAUUGUAUACACCUCCAUCAUUUAUCAAUUUCAUUUGCUUUUCCGUUGCAAUCACUAGUACCUUCCCGCUUGUGUUUUGAUCCUUUGCAAACUACAAGGCCGGAGAGAUUGACAACCUCUCUGUACUCGUUGGGAGCAAAGUUAUUUGUUGUGUGUGCAGGUCCACGUCUUCUGCUAGCGCCAGGGUGGAAGACACCUACUUGUUGAGCCUAGGAGUCCUCUUGGUUCGAUAAACCUUACAAUCUCCGUGUAAGAGAAAUCUGUUGUUGACUACAUCUCCACCUUCCACUUGGGGUAACCAACGAGGGGCGAGAAGUAUAUCCAUCAACUCGUCAUCAAGCAAAUUUAUGGCGCCGUUGCUGGGGAUUCCAGUCUUCAAGAUAGGGGAGUUGCACGCUAUCCUUUACCUUUGCUUUUUAGUCUUGUUAGUUUUCUUUUUAGUCUUUGCUUUAGAGUCUUAUACCAAAAACCACAAAAAAAUAGUUGCUUUGUUCUUGCUUGUUGCUGCUUCUAUAGGUUCCACUGAGAAUACUAAGUUGUGUGGCUCCACUAGUUAGGCUUAUGGAAAACUGCACUCUUAGUUCGUUGCUUGGGGAAGGCCGCUUUACCACACCCGUGGUAAUGAAGUCUCCUCCACCUACUGAAUGUAUCCCAUUCAAAAUACCACUUGGGAUAAUUGAAAUAAUUAGGAAUGAUUGUUAUGCAGGAGAUGGAACAGUCAAUCCUAGUAUUGAUUUGUUGAAACUUACAGAACUUUAUGAUUUGUUUAAGAUUUCAGGUUUGACAAGAGAUGGAGUCAUGAGGAAAUUAUUUGCCUUGUCACUAAAAGGAAAAUCAUUGGAAUGGUAUAGGCUACUAGAUGAUUCUCACCUACGGGAUUGGGAAGAGAUUCAAUCUCUCUUUUACUCCAAGUUUUAUCCUCUUCAUGAAGUCCAUGUGGAUCAUGGUAACAAUGCUUUAUGUGAUACUUAUAUUGUUGAGUUUAUUCAUGAUCUCACUGAAAAUUAUUAUGAGAAGGGAACAUAUGCUUAUAGAUGUUUCAGUAAUAUCAAGUUCCCUCUCUUUAUGUUGAAGGUUUUGAAGUUGCACUUGUUUUGCCUUCCUAUGCUUAUUGCUUUGUGCUUCAAUGAAUUAUUCUAUUGCAAUAUUCCUAUGCAUAGGAAGCAUGUCAUACUUAAAUGUGUUAGGUAUUUUCUUCUUGAUGCUCUCUUUUGUUCUACAAUUCUUAUUCCUAAGAGAGCAUCAUUAAAAUCUUAAGCCUAUCUUUAUGGCUAUAAAGAAAGAGCUCUAGGUAGACAACCCUAGUUAUCUUUACUUUGAGUUUUUACUUUUAGUUUUAGUGGUCUUGAUACUUGUUACUACUAUAGCAACAUCAUUGUAUCUUUAUUUUAAAGCUUUGUGCCAAGUUAUAGCCUCCGAUUGCAAGAAAGUUCAAAAAUUGUGACAUGCUGUCCAGAAACAGAUUAUGUUUGCUUGACGGAAAAAUUUGCCAAACAUCACCAGAUCAUCUUUUUGAUCUGAAUGUUUUUGUCAGCAUGCUAUAUAUAAUUGCCUUUCUGGCAUCUGUUCUGAGUUUUUUGAUUUGAGUUGCAGAAGUGCCCCGAAUAAAUUAUUUACUACGUGAUGUUCUGUUUUUCACAGAUUCUGCCAUGUUUUGCGUUUUCAUUGUUUUGCGAAUCCUAAGCUUGCUUUUUAUUUGCAAAAACCUUUUGGCAUUCAUAAGAAGCAGUAGAUUUUCAUGAAAAUCUUUAUUUCCAGAAGGUAAUCAAUUAUUUUAUUAAGGGAACUAACUACUCUAAUCAGCUUAUGAUGAGUUUCGUAUGAAGGGAGUUUUCAAGUAUGCGAUGUGAGAUGAUGAAAUAAGAUACAGGAGUGUCAAGCGCUCAAGCUUGGGGAUGCCCCCAUGCACCCCCAUAAAUAUUCAAAGGAUACUCAAGCGUCUAAGCUUGGGGAUGCCCCCGUGCACCCCUUUCUCUAUCAACAAUCAUCAGUUCGUUCAUCUCCAUGCUAUAUUUUUAUCACUUCAUAUGGUAUGUGCUAUGCUUGGAGCGUCUCGCUCUUCACUUUUUAGUUUGUUUUAGUUUUUCUUGUUGUUCAUAACAAGUCGGAACCUAGAUUACCUUGUUUGGUAGAGAGACACGCUCCAUUCCACUCUAGAACACAACAUAGGUUUUCAUGCUUAUCUUUUUCGUGUGUUCGUCAUCUUUUCAUAGCUACUGUCAUGCUUAGCUCUUAGUUUUCAUGCUUAUCUUUUUAAGAGAUAUUAUUUAGGUUGCUUCUAGAACUCUCUUGAGUUAUCAUGCUUAUCUUGUUUAGAGAGUUGGCUCGUUGCUGUGAGUUGUGUGUCUUGCAUGAGUAGGUAAUUGAGGCUGCUAUUUAAGUAUAGUAGUAACUUGCAAUAGUUUUGAGGUAUUGAUUUGAGUAAUGUUUGGACUAUUGGUGCCAAGAGCUUGAGGCUAUUAGUGAUAGGUAUCGUAUUUUUGGAAAUUCGUGUGUUUUUCAAAAACUAAAAUUAGUUGAGAACUCUAGCUACUAAAUUGAUCGCUAACCUCUGGAGGGGUUUGAAUAUAUAGAGUACCCUCACGUUGCCAUGGUCGAGGAUGCGCAAGGAUAACCAAACCCCCAAACACUCCUCCUCGGGGUACUUGUCUCUUUGUGAAUUUCCUAACAAGAUAGAGAGUUACCGAUAAUAAGUGUAUGAUUUCUUGGACUAAUGUGAGUAUUCGAUUGUUGGCACUUCCACCAUCCAUAUUUUGCUACCCUCUUCAGUACCGUGCAUUGCCCUUUCUCACAUUGAGAGUUGGUGCAAACUCCGCCGGUGCAUCCAAACCCAUGACAUGGUACGCUCUGUCAUACAUAAGCCUCAUUAUAUCUUUCCUCAAAACAGCCACCAUACCUACCUACUAAGGCAUUUUCAUAGCCUUCCCGAGAUACAUUGCCAUGCAACAUCCACCAUCUCAUGACUUGAUCUUCAUGUCAUACAUGCUUUUGCUUGAUCGUAGAGCCGCAUGCUAAUUGGGCCUUGCCCUUAUUACUGCUACAUGACGCACUAGUAUCAUUGCAAAUCCUGCCACACUGGCAGAGGCAUACAUUUGCAUAGAUCAUGAUAGUUUUCACUUGCCUUUAUAUUGAGUACUUCUUAUAAAGUGUGAUGAUUUUUCUUUUAUUCAUGUAAAAUAUAGAGUGUUGCCCUUAAGUGAGGAAAAGAUCUCAAAGAGGACAAAACAAAAGAUCCCAAAGUGAACAAAUGAGAGAUAAAAAGAAAGAGCCAAAGAGGCCACAAAAAAAUAGAAAAAGGAGAAAAAGAGAAAGAAAAAAAGAGAAGGGGGCACCACUAUUAUUCCUUUUGAAAGAUCCACACUCGUACUCCAUUGUUAUAUUUGUACUACAUAGAGAUUAUCAUUCAUGCAUAACUAUGUGGGGACCCUUACACUAUAGAACUUGGUUUUCUUAUUCCAAUGAUGAGCCUCCUCAAAUGAGCAAACAAGUUGGAUGCACCCCCACUAGUUCCAUUGGAGAGCUUACCUUAGCUCGUAUGUGCAUCCGUUACAUGUCAAUCCCUACUCCUCACAUCAUAUCUAUCAUUUGGCUUUCUCUCGCCUAUGGUUGUCCUAAUUGAUGUGAGCCUAUCACACCUUUUUGUCUUCCUUCCCCAUCAUUAUUCUAUUUGCCAUCCUAAGUGCCAACAUAUCUUGCUUACGCUCAUCCAUUGCAUGAGUGCUCAAAAUCGAAAGGGAGAGGAUCAUUUUGAUUUGUGCCUCACUAGUGGUCUCGGGAUGAGUCAAAAUAAGAUUUCGAAGGAGACCAAGUGUGAAAUUUUAGUAGAUUGAGUUCUCAAUUAAAAAUAUAUUUUAUGAUAUAAACCCAUCUCCCAUUUCUUGCAUGCAAACACCAUUUGGAGACAUUCGAGUCACGGACAGCGAGAGCUCUUGCACCUUUAUGUUCUUACUUUGCUGAACUCAAUAGAUAUAGACUCUUGCUUGUUAUUGUCUUGACUUGAAUUGCAUAUCUCACUUGCUUUACUUUGAAGUUCUUAUAUGUGUGUUAGCAUGUCACCACAGAAAUUAUUGUGUUAUCAUUUAUCUACUCGAGGAUGAGCAGAAAUUAGGCUUGGGGAUGUUGAUACGUCCCAAACGUAUCUAGAAUUUCUGCUUGUUCCAUGAUCUUUUGGGUGACAUUGUUAUAUGUUUUUCUACACUUUUAUAUCAUUUUACACAUAUUUGGACUAACUUACUAAGUCAGUGCACCCAAUGCCAGUUUCUGUCUGCUCAUGUCUAUUUUGCAGGGGCUUUUACCCAAUUUUCCGAAGCCCGAAAAAUUCCAGAAAAUAUAUAUAAAAAAUCAGCGAAACNCGUUAAUGCAGUUGUCCGUUGCUUUGAGUUUACACUUUGGGUGGGGCUCGCAACUUAAUACCGGCUAGAUGUUCUGAAUAGAUAUCUCAAGGUGUAUGAUUAGUAAGUAGAUGCUGAUGAAUAAACAGUCUACUUGUCUUGGCGUACUGCCCAUUACUAUUGAACCUCUAACUAUCAAGUAGCAUAAUUAGCAUUUCGGUGCGAUCAUAAUUCUGUCAAUUUCCCAACUGUGAUUUGUUUACCCAAGCAUAGUUGUGCAGGUCCACGUCUUCUGCUAGCGCCAGGGUGGAAGACACCUACUUCUUGAGCCUAGGAGUCCUCUUGGUUCGAAAAAUGUUACAGUCUCCGUGUAAGGGAAAUCUGUUGCUGACUACAUCUCCACCUUUCACUUGGGGUAACCAACAAGGGGCGAGAAGUAUAUCCAUCAACUCGUCAUCAGAUACCGAUGCCCUACCCGCACGAGGUGCGUUGCAAACCGUUGGUGGUGGUGCAUGGGGUCCUGAUCCGACAACCGUUGGUACCGUAUCAUUCGGUGCCCCAGGUCCUGCUGCGGUUCAUCGCAAGUGCUCCAAGCGCUCACGUCUGCAGCGGUGGAUCAAGCAUGCGGUGGCCCUUCAGGCCACAUCAGGGCAGGUGGCUAUGCUCGAUUCACACGAGCCCCCCCGUCAGUUUCUUCCCUUUAUCGAGCAACGAUUUGUUCGAUGAUUCCGACCGCGAAAGCUGUGGCGGUGCCACAGAGAUCUUGAUGGCCGACACGGCCAGGGGGAGGAGCCCCUGGUUUUUUCGUGGAGAACUCUCACUCACACGAUGGCGGCGAGCGUCAUCACGGCGACGACAGCCAUCACGUUCCUCAACAUCUCACCGAGCAACGGGAGGAACUUUGGCGGAGGAGCGAUCAGGCUCUUCAUACUCCCAUCACCAGGAACACCCCGAAGGAAAUAUCACUUGAUAAAGCGCUUCAGGCCACUCUGGUCGAGCACGAGCGACUCAAGCGGCUUCAGCGCUCACUCGACACCCGAGCCACAAGGGAUCACCCCAAUUCCAAUCGCAACCACCGGCAGUUGUUUUUGAACGAUCGCCAGCGUAACAUCAAGGUUAUGUGAACACCUUUGCAGAACCUGGCCGCGGCCACUCAAAUCGUUGAUUCCAUUCUACUGAGUGAUUCAGCGACCGGGGAAGGCAUUCGGCAGAUCCCGACUCUGCUGAGUUCCUAACUCUGCUGAAGACCGCCUUGCAGUAGAACUGCACGGUAUCACAAUCAUGAUAUCACAUCCACAGCAGGUCUGUCCAAGUGGACUCGGUGCAGUCGGCACACAACCCUCAUGCAUCUGGAAGACGCCAAANNNNNNNNNNNNNNNNNNNNNNNNNNNNNNNNNNNNNNNNNNNNNNNNNNNNNNNNNNNNNNNNNNNNNNNNNNNNNNNNNNNNNNNNNNNNNNNNNNNNUUUCUUUCUCUUUGAUUUCUUAUCCUUUGGCGCAUAGGGCCUUCUUGGGCUGUCCCACCAGCCCACUAAGGGCUGGUGCGCCACCCCCAAGGCCUAUGGGCUUCCCCGGGGUGGGUCCCCCCCCGGUGAACACCCGGAACCCAUUCGUCAUUCCCGGUACAUUCCCGGUAACUCCGAAAACCUUCCGGUAAUCAAAUGAGGUCAUCCUAUAUAUCAAUCUUCGUUUCCGGACCAUUCCGGAAACCCUCGUGACGUGUGUGAUCUCAUACGGGACUCCGAACAACAUUCGAUGACCAACCAUAUAACUCAAAUACGCAUAAAACAACGUCGAACCUUAAGUGUGCAGACCGUGCGGGUUCAAGAACUAUGCAGACAUGACCCGAGUGACUCCUCGGUCAAUAUCCAAUAGCGGGACCUGGAUGCCCAUAUUGGAUCCCACAUAUUCUACGAAGAUCUUAUCGUUUUAACCUCAGUGCUAAGGAUUCAUAUAAUCUCGUAUGUCAUUCCCUUUGUCCUUCGGUAUGUUACUUGCCCGAGAUUCGAUCGUCAGUAUCCGCAUACCUAUUUCAAUCUCGUUUACCGGCAAGUCUCUUUACUCGUUCCGUAAUACAAGAUCCCGCAACUUACACUAAGUCACAUUGCUUGCAAGGCUUGUGUGUGAUGUUGUAUUACCGAGUGGGCCCCGAGAUACCUCUCCGUCACACGGAGUGACAAAUCCCAGUCUCGAUCAAUACUAACUCAACGAACACCUUCGGAGAUACCUGUAGAUCAUCUUUAUUGUCACCCAGUUACGUUGCGACGUUUGAUACACAGAAAGCAUUCCUCCGGUGUUAGUGAGUUAUAUGAUCNNNNNNNNNNNNNNNNNNNNNNNNNNNNNNNNNNNNNNNNNNNNNNNNNNNNNNNNNNNNNNNNNNNNNNNNNNNNNNNNNNNNNNNNNNNNNNNNNNNNNNNNNNNNNNNNNNNNNNNNNNNNNNNNNNNNNNNNNNNNNNNNNNNNNNNNNNNNNNNNNNNNNNNNNNNNNNNNNNNNNNNNNNNNNNNNNNNNNNNNNNNNNNNNNNNNNNNNNNNNNNNNNNNNNNNNNNNNNNGUGAUCCCGUUAUCAACUGACAACACUUGCCUAUGGUCAGGAAACCUUGACCAUCUCUGAUCAACGAGCUAGUCAACUAGAGGCUUACUAGGGACAGUGUUUUGUCUAUGUAUCCACACAUGCACUGUGUNNNNNNNNNNNNNNNNNNNNNNNNNNNNNNNNNNNNNNNNNNNNNNNNNNNNNNNNNNNNNNNNNNNNNNNNNNNNNNNNNNNGGCAUAUUUCCAACAGAAAAGUGCCCGAGUGAUUCGAAGUCCAUCUAUCUUGAUGCUAAAAGCAUUAAAAGUGGGGUAGAAGACGUUAAAACUUUGAUUAGUAAUGAAAUUACUACCAUGGAUUUCAAGGAAUUCAAUUAUGAUAGUUGCUCCUUGAUUGAAUGCAUUUCUUUGAUGCAAUCCAUGUUGAACUCUCCACACGCUUAUAGCCAAAACAAAGCCUUUACCGAUCAUAUCGUCGAAGCUAUGAUGAAAGCUCUUGAAGAGAAACUGGAAUUGGAAGUCUCUAUUCCUAGAAAGCUUCAUGAUGAGUGGGAACCUACCAUCAAAAUUAGAAUCAAAAACUAUGAGUGCAAUGCUUUGUGUGAUUUGGGUGCUAGUGUUUCUACGAUUCCAAAGUCUUUAUGUGAUGUUCUAGAUUUUAAUGAGAUUGAAGAGUGUUCUCUUAAUUUGCAUCUUGCUGAUUCUACUGUCAAGAAACCCAUGGGAAGGAUUGAUAAUGUUCUUAUUAUUGCAAAUAGGAACUAUGUACCCGUGGAUUUCAUUGUGGUUGACAUUGAUUGCAAUCCUACAUGCCCUAUUAUUCUUGGUAGACCUUUCCUAAGGACUAUUGGUAGUAUCAGCGAUAUGAAGGAAGGGAAUAUUAGAUUUCAAUUUCCUUUAAGGAAGGGUAUGGAACACUUUCCUAGAAAUAAAAUAAGAUUGCCUUAUGAAUCCAUGAUGAGGGCCACUUAUGGUUUGAGCACCAAAGACGACGAUACGUGAUUCUAUCGCUUCUAUGCCUAGCUAAGGGCGUUAAACAAUAGCGCUUGUUGGGAGGCAACCCAAUGAAUUUAUCUUUUUUCUUUCUGUUUUGUUGCGUCCACACUUUCAUAAUUCUGUUGUGAUUGUGUUUUUGUGUUUCUUUUUGUGUUUGAGCCAAGCAAAGCCUUUAUGAUUAGUCUUGGUAAUGGUUGUUUGAUCCUGCUGGAAAAAGACAGAAACUUUUCGCUCACGAGAUGAUUUUUCAUUUUUAUUAAGAAAGAUCUUUUGAGUUGAUUAUUUUUGCUUCUGAUUGAUAUUCUUUUUCCCCAGACGUCGUAAGUUUUCAGAUUUUUUGAGGUACCAGAAGUAUACGAAGAAUACAGAUUGCUACAGACUGGUCUGUUUUUGACAGAUUCUGUUUUUGUUGGGUUGGUUGCUUGUUUUGAUGAAACCAUGGUUAGUAUUGGUGGGUACUAGCCAUGGAAAGUGAGAAUACAGUAUCCCAUCAUCAAUAUAUAUAGAAUUCAAGUUUGCUGCAGUACCAAAAGAAGUGGUAGUUUGUUUUCUUGUACUAAUGUUAUCACAAGUUUCUGUUUAAGUUUUGUGUUGUGAAGUUUUCAAGUUUUGGGUCAUGUUCUCAUGGACAAAGAGAUAAGGUGUGGAAAGAGCUCAAGCUUGGGGAUGCCCAAGGCACCCCAAGCCAAAUUCAAGGACACCAAAAAGCCUAAGCUUGAGGAUGCCCGGGAAGGCAUCCCCUCUUUCGUCUUUAAUCCAUCGGUAACAUUACUUGGAGCUAUAUUUUUAUUCACCACAUGAUAUGUGUUUUUCUUGGAGCGUCUUGUAUCUUAGGAGUCUUUUCUUUUUGUUGUGUCACAAUCAUCCUUGNNNNNNNNNNNNNNNNNNNNNNNNNNNNNNNNNNNNNNNNNNNNNNNNNNNNNNNNNNNNNNNNNNNNNNNNNNNNNNNNNNNNNNNNNNNNNNNNNNNNGAAUAAUCAUCCAAAGACUCAAGCCAUGAGCGAGACAAUUUCUAAUCAUUAAUUUCAUUCUCUCCCAAGAUUGUGCAACAUGUUCAUUAUCAAGUUGCUUGAAAUUCAUGAUAUCAUUACGGAGAGAGAUGAUCUUAGCCGGCAGAAAAUACUUGGAUAUAUAAGCAUCUUUGCACUUAUCUCAAGAAUCGAUACUAUUUUGGGGCAAAUAAGAAAACCAAGUUUUUGCACGAUCUCGCAAGAGAAAGGAAAAAGCUUCAAUUUAAUCACGUCAUUAUCCACAUAUUUCUUCUUUUGCAUAUCGCAAAGCUCAAUGAAGGUAUUGAGAUGGGAUGCGGCAUCUUCACUAGGAAGGCAGAGAAUUGCUCUUUCAUAACAAGAUUCAGCAAGGCGACAUUGAUUUCGUAUGACUCCGCACUAGUGGCGGGAGCAAUCGGAGUACUAAAAAAAUCAUUAUUAUUAGUAUACGAGAAGUCACAAAGUUUGGUGUUUUCAUUCAUGGUGACUUCGGCAAGCAGGCAAGCACACAAGCAAACAAAGAGCAAGCGAGGAAAAAGGGCGAACAAAAAGGCGAACGAAAAAGGCAAACAAAAAAGGCAAAUUGGUGAAGUGGGGGAGAGGAAAACGAGAGGCAACUGGCAAACAAAGUAAAUGCAAGAGAUGAGUUUGUGACACCUACUUGGAUGAGUUCUUUACUUGAUCUUCCUCCCUGGCAACGGCGCCAGAAAUUCUUCUGCUACGGCAACAAAAGUCCUUCCCUGGCGCUAGGAAUUCUUCUUGUUACUUCUCUGGUUUGCGUCGGUUUUUCCCUUGAAGAGGAAAGGGUGAUGUAGCACAGGAGCAGUAANNNNNNNNNNNNNNNNNNNNNNNNNNNNNNNNNNNNNNNNNNNNNNNNNNNNNNNNNNNNNNNNNNNNNNNNNNNNNNNNNNNNNNNNNNNNNNNNNNNNNNNNNNNNNNNNNNNNNNNNNNNNNNNNNNNNNNNNNNNNNNNNNNNNNNNNNNNNNNNNNNNNNNNNNNNNNNNNNNNNNNNNNNNNNNNNNNNNNNNNNNNNNNNNNNNNNNNNNNNNNNNNNNNNNNNNNNNNNNNNNNNNNNNNNNNNNNNNNNNNNNNNNNNNNNNNNNNNNNNNNNNNNNNNNNNNNNNNNNNNNNNNNNNNNNNNNNNNNNNNNNNNNNNNNNNNNNNNNNNNNNNNNNNNNNNNNNNNNNNNNNNNNNNNNNNNNNNNNNNNNNNNNNNNNNNNNNNNNNNNNNNNNNNNNNNNNNNNNNNNNNNNNNNNNNNNNNNNNNNNNNNNNNNNNNNNNNNNNNNNNNNNNNNNNNNNNNNNNNNNNNNNNNNNNNNNNNNNNNNNNNNAGUAGACCGAUACUUUUUGCAUCUACUACUAUUACUCCACACAUCGACCGCUAUCUAGCAUGCAUCUAGUGUAUUGAGUUCAUGACGAAUAGAGUAACGCCUUAAGAAAGAUGACAUGAUGUAGAGGGAUAAUCUCAAACCAAUGAUGAAAACCCCAUCUUUUUAACCUUGAUGGCAACAACAUGACGCGUGCCUCGCUACCCCUUCUGUCACCGGGUGAGGUCACCGCACGGUAUGAACCCAAAACCAAGCACUUCUCCCAUUGCAAGAAUCAUAGAUCUAGUUGGCCACACGAAACCCACAACUCGAANNNNNNNNNNNNNNNNNNNNNNNNNNNNNNNNNNNNNNNNNNNNNNNNNNNNNNNNNNNNNNNNNNNNNNNNNNNNNNNNNNNNNNNNNNNNNNNNNNNNCAUGGAACAGAAGCACGGUGUACUCCACGAUUCUCUUUCUUUGAGUCAUAGGAACGUCGUACUAUUAAGAGGGGACCCGUAGUGGAAAGGUUUGGGUGGAAUCAAUUUUGCACGCACACACUUUAUCUCAUUUCCCUUUACGUGCAACUUUGGAGUGGCUCCUGCCUCUGUUUUUAUCUCAUCUAAGCAAAAGGUCUCUCAGCGGUAGUACCGCUGUGCCUAGCGGUAGUACCGCUGGGCCUAGCGGUGGUACCACUGGAACUGGUGGUAGUACCGCUCGCCCUAGCGGUAGUACCGCUGGUGCUGGCGGUAGUACCGCUAUGCUGGCGGUAGUACCGCCCCUGGUCAGCGGUAGUACCGCUCCAGUAGCUUAGUACCGCGUUCCUAGAGGCUGUACUUCGUCGGACCUUUUUGCGAAGACUUUCUUUGCGGUGGUUGGCCCGGUAGUGCUUCUGCACUACCAUGGGCCCAGCGGUAGUACCGUUGGAGUGCCAACGGUAGUACUGUUGCAGCCAGCGGUAGUACCGCUGGAGUGCUAGCGGUAGUACCGCUGCAGCCAGCGGUAGUACCGCUAGGCUCGGGCUGUGAGUGGGAAAACGGUUGGAUUCCCCCCCCCCACUAUAUAAGGGGUUCUUCUUGCUGUAGAACCCUACCUUUUACCCUACCAAGCUCCAUUGUUGCUCCCUAAGCUCAAAAGUGCCCGAUCUCUCUCCCUAGCCAAUCAAACUUGUUGAUUCUUUAGGGAUUGGUUGAGAAGGCCUAGAUCUACACUUCCACCAAGAGAAAAGUUGAUUCCCCCACCAAUCCCUUGCGGAUCUUGUUACUCUUGGGUGUUUGAGAACCCUAGACGGUUGAGGUCACCUCGGAGCCACAUUCCAUUGUGGUGAAGCUUAGUGGUCUUGUUGGGAGCCUCCAAGCUUUGUGUGAAGUUUGCCCCAACCUUGUUUGUAAAGGUUCGGUUGCCGCCUUCAAGGGCACCUAUAGUGGAAUCACGGUACCUUGCAUCGUGUGAGGGCGUGAGGAGAAUACGGUGGCCCUAGUGGCUUAUUGGGGAGCAUUGUGCCUCCACACCGCUCCAACGGAGACGUACUUCCUGUCAAAGGGAAGGAACUUCGGUAACACAUCAUCGUCUUCAUUGGUUCCACUUGUGGUUAUCUCUAACCUUUACUUCGUGUAUGCUUAUGUUGUUGUCUAUCUCUUACUUGUCUUAGUUGGUCUUGUUGUUAGCAUCAUAUAGGUUCACCUCGUUGUUGCUAUUUUAGUGAACCCAUAUGUUGCUUACCCNNNNNNNNNNNNNNNNNNNNNNNNNNNNNNNNNNNNNNNNNNNNNNNNNNNNNNNNNNNNNNNNNNNNNNNNNNNNNNNNNNNNNNNNNNNNNNNNNNNNGGCAGCCCGACCACAUACCUCCACGGUUUUUCCUCUAGAUCGCGUUUCUGCGGAGCUCGGGCGGAGCCCUGCCGAGAUCAGAUCACCACCAACCUCCAGAGCGCCGUCACGCUGCCGGAGAACUCAUCUACGUCUCCGUCUCUCUUGCUGGAUCAAGAAGGCCGAGAUCAUCGUCGAGCUGUACGUGUGCUGAACGCGGAGGUGCCGUCCGUUCGGCACUAGAUCGUGGGACGGAUUGUGAGACGGUUCGUGGGACGGUUCGCGGGGUGGAUCGAGGGAUGUGAGGACGUUCCACUACAUCAACCGUGUUCACUAACGCUUCUGCUGUGCGAUCUACAAGGGUACGUAGAUCAAAAAUCCCCUCUCGUAGAUGGACAUCACCAUGAUAGGUCUUCGUGUGCGUAGGAAAUUUUUUGUUUCCCAUGCGACGUUCCCAACAUAUUCAACCAAAGUGGAUUCAUAUCCAGCACCAUAAUCAUUAGGUUUGACACAAGAAAACAAAGAUUCAAUGGGAGUCACACCAAGCACUUUAAGAUCUUCGUGAUUCUCAUCACGAGAACACGCCUUUUUCAGCCAUUCAUGUCUAGCACGAAUUUGGGCGGUUCUUUCUUGGCUCUCAAUCAUGGAAACACGCAUAUCUUUCAAAGUUUAAUCCAUGUUGAUUUUGGGAGGAGUAAAUCUAACUUUCAAAGCAUCAACAUCACAAGAAAUCCUAUCAACGCUCUUAGCCAAAUCGUCAAUUUUGAGUAGUUUUUCCUCUAUGGACGCAUUGAAAAUCUUUUGAGAGUUGAUGAACUCUUUGAUAUUACUCUAUAGAUCAUAGGGUAAUCUAUUGUAAUUUCCAUGAGUAUUGUUGUAGGAGUUGCNNNNNNNNNNNNNNNNNNNNNNNNNNNNNNNNNNNNNNNNNNNNNNNNNNNNNNNNNNNNNNNNNNNNNNNNNNNNNNNNNNNNNNNNNNNNNNNNNNNNGAAUAAUCAUCCAAAGGCUCAAGCCAUGAGCGGGACAAUUUCUAAUCAUUAAUUUCAUUCUCUCCCAAGCUUGUGCAACAUGUUCAUGAUCAUGUUUCUUGAAAUUCAUGAUAUCAUUACGGAGAGAGAUGAUCUUAGCCGGCGGAAAAUACUUGGAUAUAUAAGCAUCUUUGCACUUAUCCCAAGAAUCGAUACUAUUUUUGGGCAAAGAAGAAAACCAAGUUUUUGCGCGAUCUCGCAACGAGAAAGGAAAAAAAGCUUCAAUUUAAUCACGUCGUUAUCCACAUAUUUUUUCUUUUGCAUAUCGCAAAGCUCAAUGAAGGUAUUGAUAUGGGAUGCGGCAUAUUCACUAGGAAGGCUAGAGAAUUGCUCUUUCAUAACAAGAUUCAGCAAAGCGACAUUGAUUUCGUAUGACUCCGCACUAGUGGUGGGCGCAAUCGGAGUACUAAUAAAAUCAUUAUUAUUAGUAUUCGAGAAGUCACAAAGUUUUGUGUUUUUGUUCAUGGUGACUUCAGCAAGCAAGCAAGCACACAAGCAAACAAAAAGCGGGCGAGAAAAAAGGGCGAACGAAAAGGCGAGCGAAAAAGGCAAACAAAAAAGGCAAAUUGGUGAAGUGGGGGAGAGGAAAACGAGAGGCAACUGGCAAACAGAAUAAAUGCAAGAGAUGAGUUUGCGACACUUACUUGGAUGAGUUCUUGAUUUGAUCUUCCUCCCAGGCAACGGCGCCAGAAAUCCUUCUGCUACUUCUCAAACAAUAGCGCCAGAAAUUGACACGUUGACGGAGAUUGGGCUUGCGUUGGUUUUUCCCUUGAAGAGGAAAGGGUGAUGCAACACAGGAGCAGUAAGUNNNNNNNNNNNNNNNNNNNNNNNNNNNNNNNNNNNNNNNNNNNNNNNNNNNNNNNNNNNNNNNNNNNNNNNNNNNNNNNNNNNNNNNNNNNNNNNNNNNNAGGAUCACAAUGAUGAUGACUCCAUAGGAAAUGCCUCCGGCAGUGUACCGGGAUGUCCAACGAUCUAGUAUGAUCACGCAAUGGCAAUAUGAGAGUGAUGGCACAAGUCAUAAGACGGAACGGUGGGAGUUGCAUGACAAUAUAUCUCGGAAUGGCUAUGAAAAUGCCAUAGUAGGUAGGUAUGGUGGCUGUUUUGAGGAAGGAAUUUGGUGGGUUUGUGCACCGUCGAGAAUUGCGUGGCGCUAGAGAGGCUAGCAAUGGUGGAAGGUGAAAGUGAAUCUAUACCAUGGACUCAACAUUAGUCAUAAAGAACUCACAUACUUGUUGCAAAAGUUUUUAUUAGUAAUCGAAACAAAGUGCUAAACGCAUACUCCGAGGGGAAGGGUUGGUAGGUGUAAACCAUCACGCGAUCCCGACCUCAACACAAAGGAUGACAAUAAAUAGAUCAAUUAUCCUCCGACUUCCUAACAUAGCGGUUCACCAUACGUGCAUGCUACGGGAAUCACUAACUUCAACACAAGUAUUUCUAGAUUCACAACACCCUACUAACAUAGCUUUUAAUAUUCCCGAAUCCAUGUCUCAAAACUAAUUGAGAGGAAUCGAAACUUUUCUUUCUACUCAAUGCACAUGAAGAUGGAGGGUUUUUGCAUCCUCUUUGGGUACCUAGCACAUGGGACUACUUUCAUAGCAUAAGCCAACUACCAAAUCACGCACCGUCGUGCUCUAAAGAUAUAAGUGAAGCACAAGAGCAAACGUAUCUAGCUCAAAAAGAUAGAAGUGAAGCACUAGAGCAAAAGUAUCCACCUCAAAAUAUAUAAGUGAAGCACNNNNNNNNNNNNNNNNNNNNNNNNNNNNNNNNNNNNNNNNNNNNNNNNNNNNNNNNNNNNNNNNNNNNNNNNNNNNNNNNNNNNNNNNNNNNNNNNNNNNAAAUAGCGGGACCUGGAUGCCCAUAUUGGAUCCUACAUAUUCUAUGAAGAUCUUGUCGUUUGAACCUCAGUGCCAAGGAUUCAUAUAAUCCUGUAUGUCAUUCCCUUUGUCCUUCGGUAGGUUACUUGCCCGAGAUUCGAUCGUCAGUAUCAUCAUACCUAUUUCAAUCUCGUUUACCGGCAAGUCUCUUUACUCGUUCCUUAAUACAAGAUCCCGCAACUUACACUAAGUCACAAUGCUUGCAAGGCUUGUGUGUGAUGUUGUAUUACCGAGUGGGCCCCGAGAUACCUCUCCGUCACACGGAGUGACAAAUCUCAGUCUUGAUCCAUGCCAACCCAACAGACACCUUUGGAGAUACCUGUAGAGCACCUUUAUAGUCACCCAGUUACGUUGCGGCGUUUGAUACACACAAGGUAUUCCUCCGGUGUCCGGGAGUUGCAUGAUCUCAUGGUCAUAGGAACAGAUACAUUGACAUGCAGAAAACACUAGCAAUAAACUGACAUGAUCAUACACUAUAUUUAUAGUUUGGGUCUUGUCCAUCACAUCAUUCUCCUAAUGAUGUCAUCCUGUUAUCAAGUGACAACACUUGUCUAUGGUUAGGAAACCUUAACCAUCUUUGAUCAACGAGCUAGUCAACUAGAGGCUUACUAGGGACAAUGUUUUGUCUAUGUAUCCACACAUGUAUUUGUGUUUCCAAUCAAUACAAUUCUAGCAUGGAUAAUAAACGAUUAUCAUGANNNNNNNNNNUAAAGAAAUAUAAUAAUAACUAAUUUAUUAUUGCCUCUAGGUCAUAUUUCCAACAAGACGUGUGACCGUGGAUGGCGUGAUCGCACGCACAAGAGGCAUGGUCGUCGUCGUGCUCCUCGUUGUGCUAGGGUGGAGCAACUCGCCACUCCUCAUCGAGUUGGCUUGGAGAGGCGAGUUGCUGAACCGCGCGCCAACUUGGGUGACAACUGGCUCUAUCGGGCUAGGCAAGGGGGGUGGAGGAGCGAGCUAACUCGCUCGUGCUCAUAAUAGGCGGGCUCGGCGGGCCACCUACCCGGCUUGUAUGCCGGAGAACUGCUCUUCGGAAGCCAUCGGAACAGUGUAGAAAAUGGUGAAGUGGGAGAUGGGGAGCAACGGAUAGGUGUUGUUCUUGCCUGGCGUCUGGCCUCGUUUAAAUAUAGGGCGAACGGGAGGAGCUCGGGAAAUGUUGCAUUUAAUAUAGGCCCGCUCAUGAACAUAUGCAUGGCCGGAGUAGGUUUAUUGGCUUCCAGGCGGGGUUAGUGGAGGCAUUUGAAUGCAACGAGGAGGCGUGUUCAUCCGGGCGUGUAGUGGGUGCUAUCCUCGGCCACUCGGCCGCUUCAAUAGCGGAGGCAGUGAGAGGUUGUCUCUGCCCUGAGCCGCCUUCAAUGUGGAGCGGCGCGCUCUACAAUGGCAUGAAUGCGGACGGCUGGUGUCAGGUGGGAAGCGCGCGUGGGAGGGGGUGGGCUUUGGGUGGGCCGAAGCGGCCACGAUCAUGCGAACUAGCAAUCCAGACUCUCGCAAACUUCGCCAUGUUUAUCUUUGAUUUGCGGGAGAAAUCACGUCCGGACCGAUACAAGACCACGUUGGAUGGCGGUCCGGAUCGUUGCGGGAGAUUUGCGGGUGUGCCUUGGAGAUUUCCUAAGUACAUCAACGAGAUGAUCCAUAAGUUUGGUAUGGAAUGUACUAGAGGUAUUGGGACUCCAAUGGCUACAAGUAGAUAUCUUGGUCUAAGUGAAGAUGAUGCACACGUUGAUCAAAUGUGGAAUGGCAUUUCCCUCCCUAUGUGACUUUGGUGUAGAUGACAAUGCAACUUGUGGUCUAAUUGCGUUCUUAAGCAAUACAGUUAUAUUCAAAAAUGGCACAAGACGGUUAGGUGCCCCUCUAAAAGGAAAAGAGCAAAUAUGGUCUUUCAGCAUUUGCAUUUCCUUUGAGUCACAGGAAAACCAUACUAUUAAGAGGGGUUCCCAUUCAGAAGGUAUGAAUGGAAUCAAUCAGAGACACAAAACCAAAUUGCACCCACUUAGCCUUCCCAACAUUUGAGGAGUUUCUCCAUCCUUUUCUGGUGCUCUUCAACUUUCUUACCUGACAGUACCGGGUUUGGCAAUGAUAGUAUCGCUCCUUCAUAGGAGUAGUACUGUUGUUGCCUGCCUUCAGACCAGUCAUACCGCAUUCUUGACCGAUAGUACCACUCCCCUAUUGGAGCGGAAUUACCGGACGCAGUGUUGGUUUAGUACCGCAGGGGUCAUUCUCCUUUGUUUUAGGCCUUGAUACUAGGGUGGCACUACUACAACAAUACUAGUUAUUUUCUAUCCUCUGUGGUAGUACAGCUUGGGCACUUGUAGUCCAACCCGUAUGGGACUGGGGUAGUAUUUCUCACUGAAAUUCUGGGGUGAUAGCUAGAUUCGAGGGGGCAUAUAAAAAGGGGGUAUUCUUCCCAAGGUGGCCUACCUUUUGCCUCCAUCUCCUUCAUUAUUGCAUAGAAAAUAAAUCUCAUAUAUCUCUCUCCCUAGCCACCCAAACUCCUUGAUCUUAUAGAAUUUGGGAGAGAAGACCUAGAUUUACCAUUCCAUGGAAGAAAAUUUGAUUCCCCUUGUUUCCCUAGUGGAUCUUCUUACUCUUGGGUGUUUAGGCACCAUGGGUGGAAGAGAUCACCUCAAAGCUCAAUCAAUAUCGUGUAAGGCUUCACGGUGGUGAUGGGAGCCUUCAAUUAAGUUGUGGAGACUGCCCUGACGGGGUCUUGGAUUAGGGGGUGCUCGGCAUGUCGGUUAUCGGUCCUUUGGGAUGGGUCAAGGGCCCCUUUGAGUUCAUCGCUUGGUAGGCCUUGUUUGUCUAGUACAAGAAGAUUAAGAAGGAAUGGCCCGAGAGUUGGUGCGUACUCCAAGACAUAAAGAUAGACCCUGACAUGUUUGCCCCUAUAUGGAGCCGACUUAUGUGUAACCCUAGGCGUGUGUUCUGAAGCGAUCUCAUUCAAAGCCCUUUUCCGACGCCCUGUAGGAGGAGGAAAUCAUCACCUCGGGCCAUAUUCACCAUCCCGCGGUUUCCAUGACAAGGAGAAAGUAGUUCACCCUCGAGGCUGAGGGUAUGUACGCGUAGCUAUGUGUUUGAUCUCUCUCUCUCUCUCACACACACACACACCCUCUCCCUCUCCCUCUCCAUCUCUCUCUCUCCCUCUCUCCCUCUCUCUCCCUCCCCUCUCCCUCUACCUCUCACUCUCUCUCCCUCUCACUCUCUCUCCCUCCCCCUCCCCCUCUUCCAUGGUGUUAUGCAACGUGAUUCAUCGCUGGAUGUAGCCUCACAGAAUCUCAUUGUUCUUCUAGACGCAGUACUGCAGCUUUGUGAGGCCACCCGGGCGCUUGUAGGUGCCUUCAAACGCUUUGACGAACACUCGGGCAAGGUCCCCCCAGCUGUGAUGCUACUAGAGGGAAGUUGAUUGAGCCACGCCCUCGCCGCCCCCUCCAACAUGAGGGACAGGUACUUCAUCACGAUGAAGUCAUCGCCCCGCCUAUCUGGACGGCCGCUCGGUAAUCUUCGAGCCAAGUUUCUGGCUUGGACUCACCGUUGAACUUACCCAUCCCCGUAGCCAAUCGGUAGUUGGAGGGAAUCUCCGCUUCACGGAUAUGUCUACCGAAGCACUCAAGGACAGGUACCCCCCGGCCUGCCCGCGAUUGGUUAACCAUGUUUUGCGUGAUUAUAGACCCCGCGUUGAACUGGGAGAUCGGUAGCCGUCGUCCCUAUAACCCCUGUGUCGAUUGGGGCUUAGCCUACGGUCGUGGGGUCCGUGUCCGAGUGAAUCACUCCUCAGAGGAGGUGUUCUGAUAUGAACCCGAUAAUCGUGCCUCUGAUCCCCGUACGGGCCUCUCGGAGGAGGAGGAGAUCNNNNNNNNNNNNNNNNNNNNNNNNNNNNNNNNNNNNNNNNNNNNNNNNNNNNNNNNNNNNNNNNNNNNNNNNNNNNNNNNNNNNNNNNNNNNNNNNNNNNGUUGCUAUUUAUUGCUUUGGCCAAGUAGUAGAUUGUAACUCCAAAAGGGAGUGUUAUGCAUGAUUGUGGGUUCAUACCCCUCGAUGUCUAUCUUGAGUGAUAGAAACAUGAGACUAGGGGAUGUGCUUGUUGCCACCAAAGAGAAAACAACGGUGCUUGUGAACAUGGUUGCAAGGAUUGUUUACCUUACACAUAGUUCGUUAAUGCAGUUGUCUGUUGCUUUGAGUUUACACUUUGGGUGGGGCUCGCAAUUUAAUACCGGCGAGAUGUUCUGAAUAGAUAUCUCAAGGUGUAUGAUUAGUAAGUAGAUACUGAUGAAUAAACGGUCUACUUGUCUUGGCGUACUGCCCAUUACUAUUGAACCUCUAACUAUNNNNNNNNNNGAGGGAGCGUUAUGCAUGAUUGUGGGUUCAUGCCCCUCAAUGUCUAGCUUGAGUGACAGAAGCAUGAGACUAGGGGAUGUUCUUGUUGCCACCAAAGAGAAAAUAACGGUGCUUGUGAUCACAGUUGCAAGGAUUGUUUACCUUACGCAUAGUUNNNNNNNNNNNNNNNNNNNNNNNNNNNNNNNNNNNNNNNNNNNNNNNNNNNNNNNNNNNNNNNNNNNNNNNNNNNNNNNNNNNNNNNNNNNNNNNNNNNNCCUCUAGCUCGCGUUUCUGCGGAGCUCGGGAAGAGCCUUGCUGAGAUUAGAUCACCACCAACCUCCGGAGCACCGUCACGCUGCCGGAGAACUCAUCUACCUCUCCGUCUCUCUUGCUGGAUCAAGAAGGCCGUGAUCAUCGUCGAGCUGUACGUGUGCUGAACGCGGAGGUGCCGUCCAUUCAGCACUAGAUCGGAGCGGAUCGUGGGACGGAUCGCAGGACGGUUCGUGGGACGGUUCGCGGGGCGGAUCGAGGGACGUGAGAACAUUCCACUACAUCAACCGCGUUUCUUAACGCUUCUGCUGUGCGAUCUACAAGGCUACGUAGAUCGGAAAUCCCCUCUCGUAGAUGGACAUCACCAUGAUAGGUCUUCGUGCGCGUAGGAAAGUUUUUGUUUCCCAUGCGACGUUCCCCAACACCUUAUUCCUUGGUCUUGGUGCUGCAAUGGAGGAGCCUCUCCCAUUCUUGGCGGCUGCCUAGGGAGAGGCAAAUUCGUGGCUCCUGGUGGCUCUAUCAAAAUUAGGGGUUUUCUCUCCUUAUAUGUGCCUAUGUGGUGCUCUAUGACCCUCCGAUGGAUGGACCCUUGAUCCAAUGGCUCUAGGGAACCUCUACAACCUAGGGGCUCCUCACAACCCUCAUGAGUCUUCAAAGUCGUGGCUUGGCCGAAUAUAUCAGAUAUAUUAAGACUUGGACUUAAUCACCUCAACAAUUCUUGUGAUCCCGUAAUCAGAUAUUUUCCUUUAGUAAAACAGGUCUCCAGAUCGCAUAUGAACACCGUUUUGGACGAAUUGUUAGUCCACAAUUGUUGCCAUAAAAUUCCCCACACUUUCCUAUUUUUACCUUUUCCAUGUGAUGCAGUGUUCGGGGGUCAAACUGACGAUCACUAAAAACUGUUUGUGAACAGAUUUCAGGAGAAUCAGAGUCCUCCUCCAACAAGUCUCCUUUUGCAUUUUUGACAAUUUCUAAUUAAUUCCUAGAAAUCAAAGUGUGAAACAACAACUUGUGCAAUUUUGCAACCAUUAAUAGGUUAGUCUAAAAAAUAAUAUAAACUUGUAGUAAAAUGAUUGUAAAACACCCAAGAAUGAUAAAUAUAACAGCAUGGAACAAGCAAAAAAUAUAGAUACGUUGGAGACGUAUCAACAUCCCCAAACUUAAUUCCUGCUCGUCCUCGAGUAGGUAAAUGACAAAAACAGAAUUUUUGAUGUGGAAUGAUGCGUAACAUGUUCAUCAAAUUUUUUUCUUCUUUUUAUAGCAUGUACAUUUGGACUUGUAAGUGAUUCAAAGCAACAGUCUAGUUUUAACAUAAUGACUUCAAUACUAAAGCAUGUCAACAAGCAACCAUGUCUUUCAAAAUAGCAACACUAAACAAAGUUAUCCCUAGCCCAUCAUGCUCAAUCAUUGAUAUAUUCAUGAAACACACUCAAAUAUUAGCUAUGCCCAAUGCUCAAGUACGAUCAUAGUGUUCCCUAGUUGGUGCUUAUAAGAGAAGAUGGAGACUCAAAGCACAAUUAAAAAUUGCAUAAAGUAAAUAGAUAGGCCCUUCACAGAGGAAAUUAGGGAUUUGUAGAGGUGCUAGAGCUCAACGUUUAAAUUUAGAGAGAAAAACUAUUUUGAGUAGCAUGCUUUUCCUGUCAACGAAAACGACAAAGUAGCUCACAAUACUUUUCAUUCUAGAUACAUUAUAGGCGGCUCCCAAACAGAAUGGUAAAGUUUUUUACUCCCCCUCAACCAAUCAAUCACACUCCAUGGCAAGCCGAAUCCACGGUUACCGUCCAUACAAACAACAUACCUGAGGAAGUUUUGUUUCAUUAUAUUUGAUUUGAUUUUUGAGCAUGGAACUGGGCAUCCCGAAUACCAGUCACUUUCUCGUGAAUGAUAGUGAAUCAACACAUAUCAUGAGAAUAGCCCACCUAGUAUGAGAAAAUAUUGGAUACUCCCCACCGUUUCAUGAGCGGUACGGGCACACAAAAGAGAAAAAUUAUUUUCAAAAUUUAGAGAUGGCACAUACAAAUUUUCUUGGAACGGCAUGGAAAUACCGCAUAUAGGUAGGUAUGGUGGACUCAUGAGACAAAACUUGGUUUAUGGAUUUUGGAUGCACAAGUAGUAUUUAUACUUAGUACAAAUGAAGGCUAGCAAAUAGAUUCGGAAGCAAUCAAACCAAGAAAUGAAAAUUCACAUAAGUGAGCAUUGAGUCAUAACUAACACCAAAUAAUGCACCACAGUAGGAUGUAACUUCAUUGCAUAACUAUUGACUUUCGUGCAUGCAUAGGGAAUCACAAACCUUAAAACCAAUAUUCCUACUUAAAGCAUAAAUAUUCACUAACAUGACUCACAUAUUACUAUCAUCAUGUUUCAAAACUAUUACAAAGAAUCAAGUUUAAUUUGUUCCAUGAUCUUCAUGAAAGUUUUUAUUAUAUCCCUCUUGGAUAUCUAUUACUUUGAGACUAGUUUCAUAUAUUGCUAUUGCCCUUUCUACAUGCUCAAACCAAUUUAAAGGAAGUAGAAGAGCAUAAAUAUUUCAUCCCUCAAAAAGGUAUAAGUGAAGCAUGAAAGUAAAUGACAAAACUACUCCAAAACAUAUAAGUGAAGAUCAAUGAGUAGUCAAACAAUUAAGUAGCUAUGAGAGGAUUUUCUCUCUCUCGCUCUCUUAAUAAAGAUUUUCAGAUCUGAGUAUUUUCUUUAAACAUCAAGCAAAAGAAAAAUAGCACCCCAAGAAUAGGACGCAUCAUGUGAACGAAUAAAAAUUUAGGCUCAACAUAGUCUAACCGAUAGUUGAUGAAGAGAGGUGGGAUGCUAGCAUCCCCAAGCUUAGAUGCUUGAGAGUUCUUGAAAUAUUUACUUGGGGUUCCUUGGGCAUCCCCAAGCUUGAGCUUUUGUAUCUUUUUCAAUCCUCUCGUAUCCUGGUUUCACCUAUUCUCACAAACUUCAUUCACACAAAACUUGGAAAGAACUCGUAAGAAAGGUUAGUACACAUAAUAAUAAAUCAACUCUUUAUGUAUUGCCAAGACAAGGUGAAUAAUAAUUGCAAAAAUCAUCUAUUGUUUACUAUAAUUUCCACAAUUUAUAUAUAUCAAUAUAGGCUAUGGAAACUAUAGGAUAAGUAGAUAACAAAACUAUGACAACAAUCUGUCCAAACAGAACAGUCUGUAGAAAUUUAUGAAAACAAUGUACUUCUAUAACUUAAAAAAUUAUGAAAAUUUAGGAAAUGCUAUAAAAUUUAUAUGACAAAACCGUGCAAAAAUGUCAGAAACUUUUUUCACGUUCCAGUAAAAUAUGAAAAUUCAAACACUACAGCACCGGUUUUUGUUUUUACACAGCACCAAUCAAAGCUUGCAAUGCAAGCAUCCUAAUGCAAUUCUUGGAAUUUUUUUAUUGAAAAACAUGAUUAUAAAUAACACAUAACAGAGAAAAACAAAAUAAAAUGACGCUUCAAGCAAAACUCAUAUUAUGUGACGAAUAAAAAUAUAGCUCCAAGUAAGAUAUACCGAUAAUGUUGAAGACGGAAGAGGGGAUCCUUCCGGGGCAUCCCCAAGCUUAGGCGCUUGAGUCUUCCUUGGAUAUUACCUGGGGGUGCCUUGUGCAUCCCUAAUAUUAGGUUCUUGUCACUCCUUAUUCUCCUCAUAUCGGUGUCUCACCCAAAAGUUGAAAACUUCAAUCACACAAAACUUAACGGAACUUCGUGAGAUCGGUUAGUAUAAUAAAUAAUGAUCAUUCACUUAGGUACUGUCAAGAAAAUAUUAAUACUUUCUCCCACAUGAUACCUACUGUAUUCUACUAUUCCCAUAAUUUAUAUCACUGAAUAUAAGCUAUGGGAACACUAAAACAAGCAAACUAUGCAUGCAAAACAAAAUCUGUCAAAAAUAGAACAGUGUGUGAAGAUGUGUAGUGUAGCCAUACUUCCCUAUCUCUAAAAAUUCUGAACAAAUAGGAAAAUUAAGGAAAUUUGUAUAUCAAUCAUGUGUAAAAAAUUCAUAUCAAAAGCACGUUCCACUAAAUUUACAAAAGUCCUCGACUAAGAGCAAAUGUUUCUGUUUUUGCAUAGAAUCAAGUCAACUGUCAUCCACACUAUCCCAAAGGCUUUACUUGGCACUUUAUUGAAGUAAAAGGCAUAAAACUUGAUUAAUACAGUAGCUUAAUCAUGUGAACACCAAAAAAAGAAAGUAAAAGUGUUGGGUUUUAUCCCAACAAGCGCUUUUCUUUAAAGCCUUUUAGCUAGGCAUGGUGAUUUCAAUGAUGCUCACAUAGGAAUAAUAAUUAUAAUAUGCAAAAGAGCAUCAUGAAUAUCAUGACAAGCACAUUUAAGUCUAACCCACUUCCUGUGCAUUGGGAUUUUCUAAACAAACAAUUUAUGGGAGCAAGAAUCAACUAGCAUAGGAAGCCAAAACAAGCAUAACUUCAAAACUUUGAACACAUAGAGAGGAAACUUGAUAUUAUUGCAAUUCCUACAAGCAUAUGUUCCUCCCUGAUAAUAAUUUUCAGUAGCAUCAUGAAGGAAUUCCACAAUAUAACCAGUACAUAAAGCAUUAUUUUAAUGAUCUACAAGCAUAGAAAUUUUAAUACUCACCAAAUAAGCAAAUUUAUUCACAUCAGUAGUAGUGGGAGCAAACUCAACUAAAUAACUAUCAUGUGAAGCAUAAUCCAAUUGAGAAUUAAAAUUGUGAUGAGAAAUUUCAUGGUUAUCAUUAUUCUUUAUAGAAUAAAUGUCAUCACAAUAAUCAUCAUAAAUAGGAGGCAUGCUUUCAUCAUAAUAAAUUUUCUCAUCAAAACAUGGGGGACUAAACAUAUAAUCUUCAUCAAACAUAGCAUCCCCAAGCUUGUGGCUUUGCAUAUCAUUAGCAUCAUGAAUAUUCAACGAGUCAUACUAACAACAAUGUAAUCAUGCUCAUCAUACAAAGAUUUAGUACCAAACAUUUUAAUAACUUCUUCUUCUAACACUUGAGCACAAUUUUCCUUUCCAUCAUUUUCACGAAAGACGUUGAAAAGAUGAAGCAUAUGAGGCAACCUCAAUUCCAUUUUUUGUAGUUUUCUUUUAUAAAACCAAACUAGGGAAAACAAGAAACUAAAAGAUUUAAUUGCAAGAUAUAAAGAUAUACCUUCAAGCACUCACCUCCCCGGCAACAACGCCAGAAAAGAGCUUCGUUGACGGGAUGUGACUGCCGCUUACCUAACCUCCUUGGCAACGGUGCUAGAAAAGAGCUUGAUGUCUACUACAAAACCUUCUUCUUGUAGACUCGCGUUGGGCCUCCAAGCGCAGAAUUUUGUAGGACAAUAGCAAGUUUCCCUCAAGUGUAUGACCUAAGGUUUAUCAAUUUGUGGGAGGCGUAGGAUGAAGAUGGUCUUUCUCAAUCAACCCUGCGAUCAAAUAACAAAGAGUCUCUUGUGUCCCCAACACAUCCAAUACAAUAGUAAAUUGUAUAGGUGCACUAGUUCGGCAAAGAGAUGGUGAUACAAGUGUAAUAUGGAUGGUAGAUAUAGGUUUUUUUGUAAUCUGAAAAUAUAAAAAACAGCAUGGUAACAAAUAGUAAACAUCAAGCAAAACAUUGUAUAAAUGCUUGGGAACAAGACCUAGGGUUCAUAGUUUCACUAGUGCAAGUUCUCUCAACUAUACUAACAUAGUUGAAUCAUAUAUAAAUGCCUCACGUGCGACAAAGAGUUCACUCCAAAGUCACGAAUAGCGAAGAACAAACGAAGAAAUUAUUGUAGGGUACGAAACCAUCUCAAAGUUAUCUUUUCUGAUCAAUCUUAUGAGCUAUCCCUAUAAGUGUCACGAACAGACCUAGAGUUUGUACUAAAAUAACACCUUAAGAUACACAUCAACCAAAACCCUAAUGUCACCCAGAUACUCCAAUGUCACCACAAGUACCCAUGGGCAUGAUUACACGAUAUGCAUCACAUAAUUUUAGAUUCAUCAUGUUCAAUCCAACACAAAGAACUUCAACGAGUGCCCCAAAGUUUCUACCGGAAGCCAAGAGGAAAACAUAAGCCAACCCCUAUGCAUAGAUUCACAAGGUCACGGAACCCGCAACUUGAUCACCAAAACAUACAUCAAGUGGAUCAAUAGAACAUCACAUUGUCACCACAUAUAUCCCAUUGCAAGACAUACAUCAAGUGUUCUAAAAUCCUUAAAGACUCGAUCCGAUAAGAAAACUUCAAAGGGAAAACUCAAUUCAUCACAAGAAGAUAGAGAGGGGAAAACUCCAUAUGAUUCAUCUAUAUCAAUAAAGCUCGCGAUACAUCAAGAUCGUUCCAUCUCAAGAACACGAGAGAGAGAGAUUGAACACAUAGCUACUAAUACAUACCCUCCGCUCCGAAGAGGAUUACUCACACAUUAUGAUGGUGAGAAAGAGAGAUCUGUUGAUGGAGAGGUGCAGCCCCGAAGAGAUGGAGGAGAUGGCGGCCACAGCAUCGGCGACGGACGACAGCGGUGGCGACGAACGGCGGCCCCUUGCCCCUCCUUCUUCCUUGGUCUUGGUGCUGCAAUGGAGGAGCCUCUCCCUUUCUUGGCGGCUGCUAAGGGAGAGGCAAAUUCAUGGCUCUUGGUGGCUCUACCAAAAUUAGGGUUUUUCUCUCCUUAUAUGUGCCUUUGUGGUGCUCUAUGGCCCUCUGAUGGAUGGACCCUUGAUCCAAUGGCUCUCGGGAACCUCUAGAACCUUACUAGGGGCUCCUUACAGCCCUCAUGAGUCUCCAAAGUCGUGGUUUGGCUGAAUAUAUCAGAUAUGUUAAGAGUUGGACUCGAUCACCUUAACAAUUCUCUUGAUUCCAUAAUCAGAUAUUUUCCUUCAGUAAAAUGGGUCUCCAGAUCUCAUACGAACUCCAUUUUGGACGAAUUUGUAGUAAACAAUCAUUGCCAUAAAAUUACCAACACAUUCCUAGUUUUAGCUUUUUACAUUUGACGCCGUGUUCGGGGGUCAAACUGAUGAUCUCUAAAAACUGUUUGGGGACAAAUUUCAGGAGAGUUAGAGUCCUCCUCCAACAAGGCUUCUUUUGCCUUUUUUCGACAAUUUCUAAUUAAUUCUUAUAAAUCAAAGUGUGAAACAAGAAAUUGUGCAAUUCUGCAACCAUUAAUAGGUUAGUCCCAAAAAAUAAUAUAAAGUUGUAGUAAAAUGAUUGUAAAACAUUCAAGAAUGAUAAUAUAACAGCAUGGAAGAAGCAAAAAUUAUAGAUACGUUGGAGACGUAUCAGAUGCCAGCUCAAUGCUUCAUGCUAAUGUCCGAGUGAGUGCGAUUGUAAGUUCAUUUCUGAUUGAAUUCUGUCCAUCUGGACUCUACACCCACUGGAUGUUUUCUUUUGGCGUAUACUUGUUUGUUUCUGGUCCAGUGGGGGCACGCUGAGUGCAUCCACUCGGUGUAGUCCCCGAGACCGCUGUCGAAUUACGGUGACAUCGGCACGGGUCUUUUAUUGGUUUUUGAUAGUCGUUGACACUCGACAUGACAUAUCUAUGCGGGUGAUAAUAAAUCUAGUGGGGGCACGCUGAGUGCACCCACUCGGUGUAGUCCCCGAGGCCGUCAUCGAGUGCUUGCAUCGGUGGGGGUCUGAUUGAGAUAGUUUUAGACAUUUGCUCUUUUUUUUUGACUCGGACAGGACAGACCUUGUCGAGUGGUGUCGUAUCCAGUGGGGGCAGGCUGAGUGCACCCACUGGGUGUAGUCCCUGAGACUACUGUCGAUCGUUUACGAUGGGCAGUAGUCUUAAGAACUUGGACUCAUGGUCCUUUUUCGUACUUGUAGUACUUUUAUCACUCGGUCUGUCGAGUGAAUGUUUUUCCUUAGUGUCUCCACAGCUGAAAUUUUUUCGUAGGGCUGAAAAGGUCCUAACCAGCAAGAUUUAUCAUGUAGGUUUCAUGGACAUCAUUUUGAUCAACCAUGAUAUGAUGCUUUGCAGGGGUGUGGGGUGGGGCGGUGGGCCGCCAUCUAGUCGACUGAACUGCUCUUCUCCACUCGGGAGUGGAGAAAUAUUAGUGUUGACUGAACUAUUUCUUUGAUGAUUUCAGAAAACCCGUGAGUUUGGGAUGAAGUACGUCAACUUGGAAAAGGAGAAGAACCAUCUUCAACUGGAUUUGGAGGUGACCACAAAUGAUCUGAAUCUCUUGAAGAAGGCGCUCGAAGACAAAGGCAAAGCACUUGCUGAGGCUAAGGAGAAACCCGAGGCCGCAGAGAAGAAGCUCGCUGCAGCCAGCAAAUUGGAGGAGGAGAAUGCCAAACUAAAGCAGGAACGGACCGACUCGAACAAGAAGCUUGAAUAGAUGACCAAGAGGAGGAACGACGUGGAGAACUACUUGGGCGACUUCGCAAAGAAGAUGUUUGGCAUGCGUACUGGUAACUUCCUUUUGCUGAGUGAAUUUCCUCCAUUUCCACCAAAUGAUAGUAUGGCCAACUUUUCAUUUUCCCUUCGUGUAGACUUCUGCCAGGAUUUUGACAAGGAGAGUGAAGAGAUCGAGCCAAAUUUGGACCCCACCAAGUCACCCGUUGGGGACGCUAUGGCCAGGAACAUGUUUCGCCUUGAUGCUCGUCUCAAAAAUGUUCAAGAAUAUGUAGCCCGACUGAGUGCUGCACUGGAGAGGAUCGACAAGGAACUUUGGCCAAAAGAGACCCUCCAGACGGACCUUGAGUCAAUGAUGAGCCGCCUCAACCAGAUUCCCAGUCGAGUACAAGCAUGGAAGAAAUUUGUUGCACGCUGCGGAGCUGACGUGGCUCUUUCACUCGUUCGGGUGCAUUGCAAGGAGGCUAAGGAGGACAAACUGAAGGCGCUCCAGGUGGCCAACACAAAAAAGCUUCAGUUCGAGGACUUCAUGGAGAUAUUCAUCGACGCAGCCACCCACAUCGCUGAUGGGAUUGAUCUAGACACCUUCGUCUAGCCUGCGAGUCCCGACGAGCCUUGAAAAAACUUUGAUUGAAGUUCAAACUUUACUUGCCUCGGUAUGCCGAGUGAUGGUCUAACCAUUUUAAACUUCGUUCGGGUCUUAAACCCGAGUACUUUCAUUUGCAUAGACAACCUUAAUCCGUGAUGGGGAUCAUGAGUUUAUCUGCAUUUUGCUUUCCAAUCCUUUGCUUGACUAAGUUUGUUUGGUCAUUACUCGGAAGAAUUUUGAGCUUAGGCGAAACCUUGUUCGCGGCUAAGUCUCUGAGUAAGAGGAGUGCUCGUCAUUUGGGAAAGUUUUUUACUUAGGCAAGGACUGAUUCACACCAAAGUAUCCGAGUGAAUAGGUUGCUAUUCACUCGGUUGGAUUUUAACUUAGGCGAAAACUUGUUCGCAGCUAAGUUUCUGAGUUAGAGGGUGCUCACCACUCAGAGGGUUUUUAACUUAGGCGAAGACUUGUCCCUCGAGUGAGAGGAUCGCUCACCACUCGGAGUGUUUUUAACUUAGGCGAAUACUUGUUCGCAGCUAAGCCCCCGAGUGAGAGGACCGCUCACCACUCGGAGUGUUUUUAACUGAGGCAAAGACUUGUUCGCAGCUAAGCCCCCGAGUGAGAGGAUCGCUCACCACUCGGAGGGUUUUCAACUUAGCGAAGACUUGUUCGCAGCUAAGCCCUCGAGUGAGAGGAUCGCUCACCACUCAGAGUGUUUUUCACUUAGGCGAAGACUUGUUCGCAGCUAAGCCCCCGAGUGAGAGGAUCGCUCACCACUUAGAGGGUUUUUAACUUAGGCGAAGACUUGUUCGCAGCUAAGCCCCCGAGUGAGAGGAUCGCUCACCACUCGGAGUGUUUUUAACUUAAGCGAAGACUUGUUCGUAGCUAAGCCCCCGAGUGAGAUGAUCGCUCACCACACGGAGGGUUUUUAACUUAGGCGAAGACUUGUUCGCAGCUAAGCCCCCGAGUGAAACGAUCGCUCACCGCUCAGUGUUUUUAACUUAGGGGAAGACUUGUUCUUAUCUAAGCCCCCCAGUGAGAGGAUCUCUCACCACUUGGAGGGUUUUUAACUUAGGUGAAGACGUGUUCGCAGCUAAGCCCCCGAGUGAGAGGAUCGCUCACCAUUCAGAGUGUUUUUAACUUAGGGAAGACUUGUUCGCACCUAAGCCCCCAAGUGAGAGGAUCGCUCACCACUUGGAGGGUUUUUAACUUAGGCGAAUACUUGUUCGCAGCUAAGCCCCCGAGUGAGNNNNNNNNNNUCGCUCACCACUCAGAGUGUUUUUAACUUAGGCGAAGACUUGUUCGCAGCUAAGCCCCCGAGUGAGAGGAUCACUCACUACUCAGAGUGUUUUUAACUUAGGUGAAGACUUGUUCGCAGCUAAGUCUCUGAGUGAGAGGGUCGCUCGUCACUCAGAGUGUGUUUUGAACUUAGGCGAAAUAUGGUUCGCAACUAAGUCUCCGAGUGAAUAGGUUGGAAUUCACUCGGCUGGGUUUUAACUUAGGCGAAAACUUGUACGCACCUAAGCCCCAGAGUGAGAGGGUCGCUCGCCACUCGGAGUGUUUUUUUUUAAUAUGAGAUUGCACGACCGGAAUCGAAUACAAACUCAAGGAGUCAUAACUUUGAUAAGCAACAUUGUCUAUAACACUCUUAUUACGUCAAACCACUCAAUUUUCAAGUGUAAAAAUGUCGAAGUAAAUCUGUGUUCCAAGCACGUGGUUUGUCAAUUCUCUUCUUGAGGUUGAAGAGGUGGUAGGCCCAUUGUUUAGCACUUUGGUAAUGACUAAAGGACCUUCCCAUGCGGGGGCGAGCUUGUGAGGCCGCUACUGAUCCACUCGGAGCACCAGAUCACCUUCGUGGAACAACCAACUCCUGACAUGCCUUGCAUGGAAACGACACAAAUCCUGCUGGUAUAUUGUCGACCGAAUCAAGGCUAGUUCGCGAUCUUCUUUUAUAAGAUCUACACCGUACUGUCGUGCCUGUUCGGCUUCAGCCUCAGAAUAAAGCUAUACUCGCGGAGAACUCUGAAGGAGAUCACUCGACAAAAUGGCUUCGGUUGCAUAUACCUAGAAGAAAGGAGUGCGUCCAGCCGACCGGUUGGGAGUCAUCCUCAAGCCCCACAGAACUGACGAUAAUUCAUUAACACAAGCUCCAGCUACAUGUUCCAGAUCUCGCAUCAGUCGAGGCUUCAACCCUUGAAGGAUAAGGCCAUUCGCUCGCCCAGCUUGACCAUUAGUCUGGGGGUGUGAUAACCCACAAGUAUAGGGGAUCAAUUGUAGCCUUUCUCGAUAAGUAAGAGUGUCGAACCCAAUGNNNNNNNNNNAUUUCAACAAAUGGAUUUGAUCCCAUAAAAGUUUCCCUUUUUGAGUCAAGCGAUAAUCCCUAAAGUAUUCACGUUGAUCCAACGUGUAUCCCAUUAUAUAAUUGAAUGGGGCUUUCUCAGGAUUAUUAAAGAAGUGCAUAAUAUUUUCCACAUAACGAGCCUCGAGGGUUUUAGGAGAUUCCCCAUCUCCAUGAGUAGCAAGUACUCCUAAUUUUUUUUGUAUUUCGUGUUCCAUAUCCAUAACUAAAGAUAGAGAACAACCCAGAACAACAAAUAAAUCUACUUAGUGAUAAAGCAAACAAGCACACACGAGGAUAUUCACCCCACGCUAUUGCUCCCCGACAACGGCGCCAGAAAAAGGUCUNNNNNNNNNNNNNNNNNNNNNNNNNNNNNNNNNNNNNNNNNNNNNNNNNNNNNNNNNNNNNNNNNNNNNNNNNNNNNNNNNNNNNNNNNNNNNNNNNNNNGUAGCAUAGAGCACCAUGUUCAAGUAGAGGGUAUAGCGGGUUGCGGGAGAGUGAACCGCUGAAUAUAGAUGGGGGAAGAUGAUGGAGAUGUUGGUGAAGAUGACGGAGGUGUUGGUGUAGAUCAUCGUCACACGAUGAUGUCCCGGGCGGCGUUCCGGCGCCGCCGGGAGAGAGGGGGAGAGAGCCCCCCUCCUUCUUAUUCUUACUUGACCUCCUCCCUAGAUGGGAGAAUGGUUUCCCCUCUGUUCCAUGGUCUGUAUGGUGGCGGAGGGGCGAGAGCCCCUCCGAGAUUGGAUCUCUCUCUUUGUGUCCUUCUGUUUCUGCGCUCCCAGAUUCUACGUUUCACCGUUUCUUAAAUUUCCGGAGAUCCGUAACUCCGAUUGGCCUGAAAUUUUAACACAAUUUUCUUCCGGAUAUUAUCUUUCUUUAGGCGGAAGAAGGGCUCCAACCGCCUUAAGGAAUGGCCACAAGCCUGCCUGCCGCGGGCCCACCCCCUGGUCGCGGCGACAGGGCUUGUGGGCACUCCGUGCAUCGCCUCGCAUUGAUUCUUCUUCCCAAAAAUCAUAAAUAUUCCAACAAAAAUCCCCGUAAGUUUUUAUUAAGUUUGGACUUCGUUUGGUAUGGAUAUUAUGCGAAACAAAAAACAUGCAACAAACAGGAACUGGCACUGGGAACUGGAUCAAUAUGUUAGUCCAAAAAAUAGUAUAAAAAGUUGCCAAAAGUAUAUAAAAGUUGUAGAAUAUUGGCAUGAAACAAUCAAAAAAUUAUAGGUUCGACGGAGACGUAUCAGGGUGCGCGACGAACGCGUAAUCCUCCCGAGUGCCUUGGGCAGAGCAAAAGUAUCUAAAUUCUUCCGAGUCAAAGUUGGAACCAUUGUCUGUGAUAAUACUAUGGGGAACUCCAUACCGGAAUGUUAUUUCCUUUAUGAACUUGAUAUAGUGCGUGAAUCCAGUUUUUUUAUGGGUUUAGCUUCAAUCCGCUUGGUGAACUUCUCGACUGCUACAAGCAAAUGUGUGAAUCCACUCUGGCCCGUUCGGAGACGACCGACAAUAUCCAAACCCCAUACAGCGAACGACCAGACGAGUGGAAUAGUCUUCAGGGCAGAUGCAAGCUUAUGUGACAAGUUCGAGGAAAACUGGCAUCCUUCACAGUGAUCCACGAUUUCCUUAGCCAUUUCAAUAGCGCGCUGCGAGAAAAAACCAGCUCGGUAUACUUUCGCAACAAUCGUCCGAGAGGACGCAUGAUGACCAUAGGUUCCCGAGUGAAUUUCCUACAAAAUCAACCGACCUUCCUGAGGAGAGAUGCAUGAUACGUCUCCAACGUAUCUAUAAUUUUUUAUUGUUCAAUGCUAUUAUAUUAUCUGUUUUGGAUGUUUUAUAUGCAUUAAUAUGUUGUUUUAUAUUAUUUUUGGUACAAACCUAUUAAUCUAGAGCCUAGUGCCACUUGUUGUUUUUUCCAUGAUUUUGUGUAUUGCAGAUAAGGAAUAUUAAACGGAGUCGAAACAGAAUAAAAUCUCCGGAAUGAUUCUUCUUGGACCAGAAGAAACCUAGAAGACUUGGAGUAGGGGCAGGUCACCUGCCGGGAGGCCACAAGCCUACAAGGCGCGCCCUAGGGGGGGCUGGCUCAUGUGUCCCAUCCAGGUCUUCUAACCCUAUUCUUCGGCCUAUAAAUUCCCAAAUAUUCCCCCAUCACUAAAGAGAGCCAUGAAAAAUACUUUUCCGCCACCAAGAGCCUCUGUUCCCGUGAGAUCCAAUCUGGGAGCCUUUCCGGUAAUUUGCCGGAGAUGGAAUUGAUCAUGGAGGGCAUCUAUAUCAACUCCAUUGCCCCUCCGAUGAUGCGUGAGUAGUUCACCACAGACCUAUGGGUCCAUAGCUAGUAGCUAGAUGGCUUCUUCUCUCUCUUUGAUCUUCAAUACCAUGUUCUUCAUGAUCUUCAUGGAGAUCUAUCCGAUGCAAUACUCUUUUGCAGUGUGUUUGUCGAGAUCCGAUGAAUUGUGAGUUUAUGUUCAGAUUAUCUAUGAAUAUUAUUUGAAUCUCUUCUGAAUGAUUAUAUGCAUGAUUUCAUAUCUUAGCAAGUCUCUUCGAGUCAUUGGUUUGGUUUGCCCAACUAGAUUCGUAAUUCUUGCAACGGGAGAAGUGCUCAGUUUUGGGUUCAAUCUUGCGCUGUCCUCGCCCAGUGACAUAGUAGGGGUAGCUAGGCACAUAUUGGAUUGUUGCCAUCGAGGAUAAAAAAGAUGGCAUUGUCAUCAUAUUGCUUGAGUUUAUCCCUCUACAUCAUGUCAUCUUACUUAAUGCCUUACUCUGUUCUUCCUGAACUUAAUACUCUAAAUGCAGGCAAGAGUCGGUUGAUGUGCGGAGUAAUAGGAGUAGAUGCAGAAUUGUUUUAGUCUACUUGACACGGAUGUGAUGCCUAUAUGCAUAAUCAUUGCCUUAGAUAUAUUCAUAAUUAUUCGCUUUUCUAUCAAUUUCUCGACAGUAAUUUGUUCACCCACUGUAUUAUUUUCCUUUAUGAGAGAAGCCUCUAGUGAAACCUAUAGACCCCAGGUCUAUUUUCCAUAUUAUACUUUCAGAUCUAUAAACCAAAUAAAUACCAAAAAUAUCUUGCUGCAAUUUAUUUACUUUUGUUUCCGCAAUCUUUUAUAUCUAUCUCUAUCAGAUCUCAUCCUUGCAAAUAACUCGGAAGGGAUUGACAAUCCCUUUUUAGCGUUGGGCGCAAGUGUUUGAUUGUUUGUGUAGGUAGUAAGAUUGGGGCCUUUCUUGUUCCUCCUACUAGAUCGAUACCUUGGUUCUCAACAAACUGAAGGAAACACGUAUCUACUUUUCUGCAUCACCUUUUCCUCUUCAAGGGAAAACCAACGCAAGCUCAAGAAGUAGCAAUGCACCGUUGAGCUACGCGAGUUACACUUUCUCUAUGAAGUUGUCCAUUUAUCACAGUAAAUGCCUUGGACGUGCAAACAAUCUGUCGAGCUUCAACCUCAUCUUCUGGGAGUUCAUGCCUCAGUAUGUAUGCCAUGUAUGGCACCGUCCAAUCAGGCGUAAUCAACAGAAUAUCCAUGACCAGAUCAACGACUCCUGGGACAUCAAUCUUAGUCGGAUUGGAAGCGCUUAUCGCUUGCGGGGGAUCUUCAGUGAAGGGAUCUUAUUGCACAGUGUUCUAGAAACACAUUGCUAGGUACAUGCUUUUGAGUGGAUCCAAUCUUGGCUAGGUCGUCAACUCCUUGAUUCUUCACUCAGGGAAUAUGAUGGAGUUCCAAACCUUCAAACUUCUUCUCAAGCUUUCUCACCGCAUGGCAAUACCCAGUCAUGGCAGGGUUCCUGACAUCCCACUCCUUCAUCACUUGAUUGACCACCAAAUCCAAAUCACUGUAUACCAUCAGGCGUCGGACACCGAGUGAGAUGUCCAUAGGUAACCCGUAGAGGAGUGCCUCGUAUUCAGCUUCAUUAGUGUAGGAAUCAAAGUGAAUCUGGAGGACAUAGCUGAGCUUGUCACCCUUUGGAGAUACCAAUACCACAUCGUCACGAGACCCAUUCAACAUUUUAGAGCCAUCAAAGAACAUGGUCUAGUGUGUCGAGUGAAUUUGAGUUGGCUGCUACUGUUCUACCCACUCGGCCAUGAAAUCAGCAAGCGCUUGGGACUUGAUUGCCUUCUUUGCUUCAAAUUUGAUAUCAAUGUAUAGGAGUUCGAUGGCCCAUUUUCCCACUCGACCAGCCGCGUAUCGGUUGUUGAGGAUCUCAGACAAUGGAGCAUCACUGACGACUGAGACUGAAUGAUCUUGAAAGUAGUGUGCCACCUUCUUUGCUGAUAAAUAUAUAUCAUAGAGGAGCUUCUUAUAAUGAGGGUACCUUUGCUUCGAAGGAGUCAGCACUUCGGAAAUAUAGUAGACUAGACGUUGGAUUUUGUAAGCCUUGCCCUCUUCUUCUCGCUCGACAGUUAGAAUUGUGCUGAUGACUUGAUUAGUAGAUGCAAUGUAUAGGAGUAGGGGUUCUUUGUUGUGCAGAGCAGCAAGCACCAGCUGGGUGGAUAGCAUGGCUUUUAGCUCGACAAACGCUGAUCUAUCUCGGGAGUCCACUUGAACGCAUCAGACUUCUUCAUGAGUCGGUAUAAAGGCAAUGCCUUCUCUCCGAGGCGAGAAAUAAACCUACUCAACGCCGCUAGGCAGCUUGUGAGCUUCUGGACAUCGUGCACAUGCUCAGGGCUUUUCAUUCGGACGAUGGCGCCGAUCUUCUCAGGGUUGACGUCGAUCCCUCGUUCAGAAAUGAGGAAACCGAGUAACUUGCCACCAGGAACUCCAAAAGUGCACUUAGACGGAUUCAACUUUAUAUCAUAUUUCCUCAAAAUUGGUGAAUGUUUCUGCCAAGUUAGUCAGCAGGUCGGAACCUUUGUGAGACUUGACUACGAUAUCAUCCAUAUAAGCCUCGACAUUUCGAUUGAUUUGAUCAAGCAUGUAUUUCUGAAUCAUACACAUGAAAGUAGCGCCAGCAUUUUUCAAACCAAAAGGCAUGGUGAUAUAGCAGAAACACCCGAAAGGGUUGAUGAAGGCCGUCUUUAUUUCAUCGAGACCAAACAGACGGAUUUGAUGGUAACCAGAGUAUGCAUCAAGAAAAGAUAAACGCUCGCAUCCUGUAGUUGAGUCGACAAUAUGAUCGAUCCAGGGGAGCACAAAAUGAUCUUUCGGGCAGACCCGAUUGAUAUGUGAAAGUGCGUUAUAUCGACUAGAGGGGGUGAAUACGAGAUUUUUAGAAUUUCAUCACUGAGGAAAUUCCUUUUGAGGAAAUUCCUCACUGAUGACUAACUUACAGCGGAAACAGUAAAGGAUCAGAAGUGCAAAGUUUCACAACACUGGUUUUUCAGAGUGAAGAAUGUGAAAACAGAUUGCACAGUGAGCAGGCACGCAGAAUACAGAUGAGGAUUAACUGACGUGAAGAAUUUGGGGUUGAGGAAAUUCAGAGAAAGUCUUCAGCAAAUUCUUCAAAUAGUCGCAGUGGAAGUCAUCAACACAUAAUACGAGGAAAGUAAGGAGUUGAGGAAUUAGAACCCGUUUCUCAGUGAAGACAGUCGUUGAUGACCCAGUUCCAACUGUUGUGCCAGUUGUACAUCUGGUUUGGAGCGGCUUGGUAUUGAAACCAAAAGUCACACAGUCCCGGGACACAUAGUCCCGGGACACACUGUCCCUACCGUAUUCUCCUUGAGCUAAGGACACACAGUCCUCGCCCAACACUCGUGGUAAGUCUUCGGGGCAGACUUCCAAACCCUCACAAACUUGGUCACCCGGCGAUCCACAAUUGACUACUCGAAAGCUCUAGACCAUGACGCCUAACCGUCUGGAGGAUGCACAGUCCUCAAAGGUAAAAGGCUUCAGUCCCACACAGGAACAACUUCUUCAGUGAUGCUCAAUCACUAGGUUUGGUUUGUGGUUUCGGUGUAUGGUGUAUUUCCUCACUGAUGAAUUACUCUCAAAGACUCUGAGGAAUUGGGUUGCUCUUAUGACAAGUGACAGUUUCUAACGGAGCAGCCAACCAGCUAAUGGUUGUGGGGGUGGCUAUCUAUAGCCUGGGAGCAUCCCGACAUGAUUUGACACUAAUGCCCUUAAAUAAUAUGGCCGUUGGAGUGGAUAAGACCAAUGACUUGGCGUGACUAUCGAAACGGUCGGAACCCUCAACUGUGAGAGUCCUCAUGUCACUCGUAUUCCUCACUUGAGGCUUUUGGUAGGAUUAGGCUUGGGUUGAGCAUCAUGAGGAAAUUCAUUCCAAAGUGUAACUUCGACCCCCUUUAACAGUACGGUGUUCCUAUUACUCAAAUGCGAAGAAAAUAAAACAGAAAGUGUAAAUCUUCAUGCUUCAAAUUCUUCAGAGUGAUUUUCUUCAGGACACACUGGAUUCCUCAAUAUCAGUAUCUUCAUGAGGAAUAUCAAUUUCAUCGCAGAUUCCUCGCGAUUCAUUUCUUCAGCUUCAGACCAAUUUCUUCAACUGAAGACACAUAUUUUUGGGGGUCGAUAUUCUUCAAAUAUCUCAAACUCCUCAAUGACUUAUAGAUCAUGUGUACACUCACAAACACUUUAGAUACUUAACCUAUAAGUCUUCAAACCACCAAAAUCACUAAGGGGCACUAGAUGCACUUACAAUAUGUUUAAAAUCGAUACACAUAUGGAGAGACUUAUCCUUCUUGGGGACCAUGACGACGUCCACGAGCCACUCCGAGUGGUAAACUUCCUAUAUGAACGUUGCCUCCAAGAGUCGAGCCACCUCUUCGCCGAUUGCUUUCCGUUUCUCUGCUGCCGACCAACGCAAAUGCUCUUUGACGGGCUUUGCUUUUGGGUCAACCCUCCGUUGGUGCUGAGCAAGUUCCCUAGGUACACCCGGCAAGUCAGAAGGCUUCCAUGCAAAGAUGUCCCAGUUCUCACGGAGGAACUGGAUGAGCGCGACUUCCUAUUUACUGUCAAGUGUCGUUGAGAUGUUGGUCGGGGCAACAUUAGGAUCUGUCGGGUGAAUGCUCACUUUCUUCACGUCACCUGCCGACUGAAAAGCAAUCUCAGAAGCGGGCUUCUUUGAGCGCAUCAAAUCGGCAGGAUCAAUGUUCUUCCGGUAUUCUUCCAACUCAACCAUAGCCAUCUGCUGGUCGGCAAUCUUGGAGCCUUGUUAUAAGCACUCCUCAGCCCUCUGUCGAUUCCCUAUGACUGUGAUCACACCCUUGGGUCCAGGCAUCUUCAUCUUGAGAUACACGUAACAUGGGCGGGCCAUGAAACGAGCAUAUGCUGGACGACCAAGGAUGGCAUGAUAUGCGCUCUGGAAGUCCACAACUUCAAACGUUAACUUCUCCUUGCGAAAAUUCUUGUCAGUGUUGAACGACACAUCCAAAGCUAUUUGGCUGAGUGACUUGGCCUUUUUCCCAGGAAUGACUCCAUGGAACUGCAUAUUGCUCUCGCUGAGUUGGGACAUCGAAAUACCCAUCCCCUUGAGGGUAUCCGCAUACAAAAUGUUCAACCCACUCCCUCCGACCAUCAGAACCUUGCGGAGACGAACGCCUCCCACAACUGGAUCCACCACCAAAUCUUAUCGACUAAGGGUAGGGACGUGAGUCAGGUGGUCUGACUGGUCAAAUGUUAUGGAGGUCUGAGACCACUUGAGGUACGUGGGGGUAGUCGGAACAACCAUGUUGACCUCUAUGUUUAUAACCUUCAAUCGACUUUUGCUCUCCACAUCGGCAAAAAUCAUCAAAGUGGCAUUGACUUUUGGAAAAUAAUAUUUAUCUUCAUCAUCCUCCUUUUCAAGAUUUUUCUCACUCAACUGAGCUUCCUUGAACUAUUGAAUCAGCAAUCUGCAUUGUUGAGUGGUAUGCUUGGGAAAUAUCAAAUUGCCCUCUGAUAUUCCCAAACGUAUCUAUAAUUUAUAAUUGUUCCAUGAUCUUUUGGGUAACAUUGGUAUAUGUUUUGCUACACUUUUAUAUCAUUUACACAUAUUUGGACUAACCUACUAACUCAGUGCACCCAGUGCUAGUUUUUCUCUCCUGAUGUCUAUUUUGCAGGGGCUUUUACCCAAUUUUCCGAAGCCCGAAAAAUUCCAGAAAAAAUAUAUAUAAACUCAGCGAAACAGAAGCUUCAAAAUCACCGAAGGAGGGCUAGAGGGGGGCCAGGGGCCUCUCAGGCGGUCAGCUCGUGCGGCUGGGCCCUAGGCCGCGCCAGGAGGUCGCUUGGGUGGGUCCCACCUCCUCCAGUGCCCUCCUUUGGCCUAUAUUUAGAGUUUCGUGAGGAACCCUCGAAGACUUUAUGGAAUCGCGAAUUUCUCCAUCGUUCCGCCGCCGCGGCGCUUCCAAGAUUGGGAGCUGCUACGGCGACAGAAAUCUUCUGUCGUCUCUUGAGCUUACGUUGGUUUUUCCCUUCAAGAGGAAAGGGCGAUGCAGCACAGGAGCAGUAAGUAUUUCUCUCAGUUUGAAAACCAAGGUAUCAAUCGAGUAGGAGAAUCUCGUCAAGUCCAGAGUACCUGCACAAACACAAAAGAGCUUGCACCCAACGCUAUAAAGGGGUUGUCAAUCCCUUCAAGAUUGAUUGCAAAGUGAGAUCUGAAGGCGGAAAGUGCAACAAAGAAAAAGUGUAAGGUUGAAAAUAUGGUGUGAAGUAGACCCGGGGGCCAUAGUGUUCACUAGAGGCUUCUCUCAAAAUAGAAAAUAUUACGAUGGGUGAACAAAUUACUGUCGAGAAAUUGAUAGAACCAUGCAAAGUCAUGACGAUAUCUAAGGCAAUGAUCAUACAUAUAGGCAUCACGUCCAAGACAAGUAGACCGAUACUUUCGGCAUCUACUACUAUUACUCCACACACCGACCGCUAUCCAGCAUGCAUCUAGUGUAUUGAGUUCAUGACGAACAGAGUAACGCCUUAAGCAAGAUGACAUGAUGUAGAGGGAUAAACUCAAACCAAUGAUGAAAACCCCAUCUUUUUACCCUUGAUGGCAACAACACGAUGCGUGCCUCACUAUCCCUUCUGUCACUGGGUGAGGUCACCGCACGGUAUGAACCCAAAACCAAGCACUUCUCCCAUUGCAAGAAUCAUAGAUCAAGCUGGCCAAACAAAACCCACAACUCAAAGAGAAUUACAAGGAUAUGAAAUCAUGCAUAAGAGAGAUCAGAAGAAACUCAAAUAAGAUUCAUAGAUAAUAUGAUCAUAAAUCCACAAUUCGUCGGAUCUCGACAAACACACCGCAAAAGAAGAUUACAUCGGAUAGAUCUCCAUGAAGAUCAUGGAGAACUUUGUAUUGAAGAUCCAAGAGAGNNNNNNNNNNNNNNNNNNNNNNNNNNNNNNNNNNNNNNNNNNNNNNNNNNNNNNNNNNNNNNNNNNNNNNNNNNNNNNNNNNNNNNNNNNNNNNNNNNNNAGAGAAUGAAAUUAAUGAUUAGAAAUUGUCCCGCUCAUGGCUUGAGCCUUUGGAUGAUUAUUCAAAUCUUUUACGUUGGCUUGAAUUUCUCUUCUAGAAAUAUCUUGGACUCCGCCUCAGGUGAAACGUUCAUGGAAAUCACGUUAGGAGAAGCUACAAAGCUCUUCGACAACAUCAUGACAAACUAUUCUCAAUGGCACACUGAAAGGUCACCUACUAGUAAGAAGGUACACGCUAUAGAAGAAAUUAACUCGUUGAGUCCUAAGAUGGAUGAGUUAAUGAAUUUGGUUGCUAGUAGAAGUGCUCCUUUGGAUCCUAAUGAUAUGCCUUUGUCUUCUUUGAUUGAGAGUAGCAACGCUAGCUUGGACGUUAAUUUUAUUGGUAGGAAUAACUUUGGCAACAACAAUGCUUUUAGAGGAAACUAUGUUCCUAGGCCUUUUCCUAGUAACUCCUCUAAUAAUUUUGGCAACUCCUACAACAAUACUCAUGGAAAUUACAAUAGAUUACCCUAUGAUCUAUAGAGUAAUAUCAAAGAGUUCAUCAACUCUCAAAAGAUUUUCAAUGCGUCCAUAGAGGAAAAACUACUCAAAAUUGACGAUUUGGCUAAGAGCGUUGAUAGGAUUUCUUGUGAUGUUGAUGCUUUGAAAGUUAGAUUUACUCCUCCCAAAAUCAACAUGGAUUAAACUUUGAAAGAUAUGCGUGUUUCCAUGAUUGAGAGCCAAGAAAGAACCGCCCAAAUUCGUGCUAGACAUGAAUGGCUGAAAAAGGCGUGUUCUCGUGAUGAGAAUCACGAAGAUCUUAAAGUGCUUGGUGUGACUCCCAUUGAAUCUUUGUUUUCUUGUGUCAAACCUAAUGAUUAUGGUGCUGGAUAUGAAUCCACUUUGGUUGAAUAUGUUGGGAACGUCGCAUGGGAAACAAAAAAUUUCCUACGCACACGAAGACCUAUCAUGGUGAUGUCCAUCUACGAGAGGGGAUUUUUGAUCUACGUACCCUUGUAGAUCGCACAGCAGAAGCGUUAGUGAACACGGUUGAUGUAGUGGAACGUCCUCACAUCCCUCGAUCCACCCCGCGAACCGUCCCACGAACCGUCUCACAAUCCGUCCCACGAUCUAGUGCCGAACGGACGGCACCUCCGCGUUCAGCACACGUACAGCUCGACGAUGAUCUCGGCCUUCUUGAUCCAGCAAGAGAGACGGAGACGUAGAUGAGUUCUCCGGCAGCGUGACGGCGCUCUGGAGGUUGGUGGUGAUCUGAUCUCGGCAGGGCUCCGCCCGAGCUCCGCAGAAACGCGAUCUAGAGGAAAAACCGUGGAGGUAUGUGGUCGGGCUGCCAUGGAAAAGUCGUCCCAAAUCAGCCCUAAAACCUCCGUAUAUAUAGGUGGCAGAGGGGGGCCUUGCCUUGAGGCUCAAGGAGCCCCAAGGGGGUCGGCCGAGCCAAGGGGGGAAGNNNNNNNNNNNNNNNNNNNNNNNNNNNNNNNNNNNNNNNNNNNNNNNNNNNNNNNNNNNNNNNNNNNNNNNNNNNNNNNNNNNNNNNNNNNNNNNNNNNNACACAGGCGGUUACAGAAGCUGGGAGAGAAAGAGGAAAGCGGAGUUGUGCGACAUGCAGCAGAUCCAAACAAGACUACAAAAGCUUGAGGAACUUGAGAGCCAGCGAGCUGCCGGCCAACCAUCUCAGCGGCACGAAGCUACCUCAGAAGGUACCCCGCCAUCUCAGCGGAGAAGCAACGUGGCUUCCACGGUGCCCAUUCAGCAUGACUUCAUAACUCCUAGCUACCGCGUGGAUACUAUCACAGAGGCUCAACAUUGCGAGCUUAUGAUGAAAUGUCGGAACCCCACUUUCAAGGCGGCUGUCGGCUCUGUUGCACCUCCUGAAGCCAACGGAACUUUUCACUUCCUUCUGAUUCCACAUGGCUAUGUUGUUGUGAUGGUGGAUCAAGUAAUGGAGGGAUUUGAGGAGCUCAAGCUUGACCACCCUACAGGUAAAGGGGAUAAUCAGCUGGUUCGUGCUCUGAGGAGUACAUGUCUAUGACAGAAGGAGUUCAUCAAGCUUCCAAACUAGACGCCUCCUCCUCCUACUACUACUCCGGCGAGUGAUCAGGGCACUCUGCCUCCUCCCCCUCCUCCUCCUCCUCCUCCUCNNNNNNNNNNNNNNNNNNNNNNNNNNNNNNNNNNNNNNNNNNNNNNNNNNNNNNNNNNNNNNNNNNNNNNNNNNNNNNNNNNNNNNNNNNNNNNNNNNNNUAGUAGUAGUUGGCGUGAUGACUUCACAGAGACACGAUGAUGGAGAUCAUGAUGAUGGAGAUCAUGAUGAUGGAGAUCAUGGUGUCAUGCCGGUGACAAUGAUGAUCAUGCGAUGCCCGAAGAUGGAGAUCGAAAGAGCAAAGAUGAUAAUGGCCAUAUCAUGUCACUAUAUGAUUGCAUGUGGUGUUUAUCAAGUUUUUCAUCUUAUUGCUUAGAACGACGGUAGCAUAAUAAGAUGAUCCCUCAUAAAAAUAUCGAGAACGUAUUCCCCUAAGUGUGCACCGUUGCGAAGGAUUGUUGUCUCGAAGCACCACGUGAUGAUCGGGUGUGAUAGAUUCUAAUGUUCGCAUACAACGGGUGUAAGCCAGAUUUACACACGCGAAACACUUAGGUUGACUCGACGAGCUUAGCAUGUACAGACCGAAAGUUCGAACAUGAGUCAUAUGGUUGAAUACGGUCAGCAUGAAGUUGCUCACCAUGACGACUAGUCCGUCUCACGUGAUGAUCGGACACGGGUUAGUCAACAUGGAUCAUGUAUCACUUAGAUGACUAGAGGGAUGUCGAUUUAAGUGGGAGUUCAUACGUAAUUUGAUUAAAUGAACUUAAUUGUCAUGAACUUAGUCUAAAAAGUUGUCUUUACAAAUAUUGUAGAUCCAAUGGCCAACGCACAUGUCAACCUCAAUUUUAACGCAUUCCUAGUGAAAAACAAGCUCAAAGAUGAUGGUAGCAACAAUGCGGACUGGGUCUGCAACUUGAAGCUCAUCCUCGAAGCACCUAAAAAGGCUUAUGUCCUUAAUGCGCCGCUAGGUGACCCUCCUGCUCCCGCAGCGGCCCAAGACAUUCAGAAUGUCUGGCAGACGUGGAGUGAUGACUACUCUCUGGUUAGGUGUGGCAUGUUAUACAGUUUGGAUACGGGGCUCCAAAUGCGUUUUGAGCCACACGGAUCAUAUGAGAUGUUCCAGGAGCUGAAACUAGUUUUUCAAGCUCCUGCCCGUGUCGAGAGAUAUGAAGUCUCCGACAAGUUCUUUAGCUGUAAGAUGGAGGAGAACGAGAGGCAACUGGGAAACAAAGUAAAUGCAAGAGAUGAGUUUGCGACACCUACUUGGAUGAGUUCUUGACUUGAUCCUCCCUGGCAACGGCGCCAGAUAUCCUUCUGCUACUACUCAAACAACAGCGCCAGAAAUUGACACGUUGACGGAGACUUGCUUGCGUUGGUUUUUCCCUUGAAGAGGAAAGGGUGAUGCGGCACAGGAGCAGUAAGUAUUUCCCUCAGUUUGAGAACCAAGGUAUCAAUCCAGUAGGAGAAUCUUGUCAAGUCCAGAGUACCUGUGCAAACACAAACGAGUUUGCACCCAACGCUAUAAAGGGGUUGUCAAUCCCUUCAAGAUUGUUUGCAAAGUGAGAUCUGAAGGCGGAAAGUGCUACGAAGUAAAAAGUGUAAGGCUGAAAAUAUAGUGUGGAGUAGACCCGAGGGCCAUAGUGUUCACUAGAAGCUUCUCCCAAAAUAGCAAAUAUCACGGUCGGUGAACAAAUUACUGUCGAGCAAUUGAUAGAACCGCGCAAAGUCAUGNNNNNNNNNNAUACAUAUAGGCAUCAUGUCCGAGACAAGUAGACCGAUACUUUCUGUAUCUACUACUAUUACUCCACACAUCGACCGCUAUCCAGCAUGCAUCUAGUGUACUGAGUUCAUGACGAACAGAGUAACGCCUUAAGCAAGAUGACAUGAUGUAGAGGGAUAAACUCAAACCAAUGAUGAAAACCCCAUCUUUUUACCCUUGAUGGCAACAACACGAUGCGUGCCUCGCUACCCCUUCUGUCACUGGGUGAGGUCACCGCAUGGUAUGAACCCAAAACCAAGCACUUCUUCCAUUGCAAGAAUCAUAGAUCUAGUUGGCCAAAUAAACCCACAACUCGAAGAGAAUUACAAGGAUAUGAAAUCAUGCAUAAAAGAGAUCAGAAUAAACUCAAAUAAGAUUCAUAGAUAAUCUGAUCAUAAAUCCACAAUUCAUCGGAUCUCGACAAAUACACCGCAAAAGAAGAUUACAUCGGAUAGAUCUCCAUGAAGAUCAUGGAGAACUUUGUAUUGAAGAUCCAAGAGAGAGAAGAAGCCAUCUAGUUACUAGCUAUGGACCCGUAGGUCUAUGGUGAACUACUCACGCAUCAUCAGAGAGGUCAUGGUGUUGAUGAAGAAGCCCUCCAUGUCCGAAUCCCCCCUCCGGCAGGGUACCAGAACGUGCUCCAGAUGGGAUCUUGCGGAGACAGAAGCUUGCGGCGGCGGAAAAGUGAUUACGAUGCUCCCUUGAUUUUUUUUGGGAAUAUUUGGGAAUUUAUAGGCGCAAGAUCUAGGUCAGGGGACCUCCAAGGGGCCCACAAGCCUGCAUGGCCCGCCCCCUGGCCGCGGGGUGGGGGCUUGUGGUGCCCCUGGGGCUCUUCUGGCUUGGCUCCCAAGUCUCCCGAUCUUCUUCCAUUCCAGAAAUAAUCUUUACGGGGAUUUUCUUCCGUUUGGACUCCGUUUCAAAAUCUCCUCUGAAAGGGGUCAAAAACAUGGAAAAAAUAGGAACUGGCACUUGGCACUGGAUUAAUAAGUUAGUCCCAAUAAAUAUAUAAAAGGCAUGCAAAACAUCCAAAGUUUGACAAGAUAAUAGNNNNNNNNNNNNNNNNNNNNNNNNNNNNNNNNNNNNNNNNNNNNNNNNNNNNNNNNNNNNNNNNNNNNNNNNNNNNNNNNNNNNNNNNNNNNNNNNNNNNNNNNNNNNNNNNNNNNNNNNNNNNNNNNAGCAUCCCCAAGCUUAACUCUUGCUCGUCCUCGAGUAGGGAAGUGAUAAAGAAUGAAUUUUUGAUGUGGAAUUCUACCUAGCAUAAUUGUCCUUUGCAACUUCUUUCACGUGGCAUGAAUGUUCAGAUCCAUAUGAUUCAAAACAAUAGUUUGAUAUUGACAUGAAAACAGUAAUACUUCAAGCAAACUAGCAAAGCAAUCAUGAACUUUCAAAAUAACAAGGCCAAAGAAAGUUAUCCCUGCAAAAUCAUAUAGUCUGGCUAUGCUCCAUCAUCCUCACACAACAAAUGUAAAUCAUGCACAACCCCGGAAUUGGCCAAGUAAUUGUUUUCGCACUCUUACUUUCUCAAACUUUUUAUAACUAUCACGCAGUACAUGAGCGCGAGCCAUGGAUAUAGCACUAUAGGUGGAAUAAAGUGUGGUGGUGGUUGUGAGACCAAAAAGGAGGAGAUGGUCACAUUGACUCGGCGUAUCAAUAGGCUAUGGAGAUGCCCAUUAAUAGAUAUCAAUGUGAAUGAGCAGGGAUUGCCAUACAAAAGAUGCACUAGAGCUAUAAGUAUGUGAAAGCUCAAGAGGAAAACUAGUGGGUGCGCAUCCAACUUGCUUGCUCACGAAGACCUAGGGCAAUUUUGAGGAAGCCCAUCAUUGGAAUAUACAAGCGAAGUUAUAAAACGAAGAUUCCCACUAGCAUAUGGUAGUGACAAAGCAAGAAUCUCUCAAUCAUGAAGAACAUGGUGCUAAUAUGAAGCACAAGUGUGGAAAAAGAUAGUAGCAUUGUCCCUUCUCUCUUUUUCUCUCAUUUCUUUUAUUUAUUUAUUUGGGCUCUUAGCAAUCUCUUUUUUCUUUUGUCACCUUUUUUUUGUGUUUGGGCUCUUUGGCCUCUUUUUAUUUAUUUAUUUAUUUCCUGACAUGGGACAAUGCUCUAAUAAUGAUGAUCAUCACACUUUUAGUUACUCAAAGCUCAAAGAUCACAAUGAUGAUGACUCCAUAGGAAAUGCCUCCGGCAGUGUACCGGGAUGUCCAACGAUCUAGUAUGAUCACGCAAUGGCAAUAUGAGAGUGAUGGCACAAGUCAUAAGACGGAACGGUGGGAGUUGCAUGACAAUAUAUCUCGGAAUGGCUAUGAAAAUGCCAUAGUAGGUAGGUAUGGUGGCUGUUUUGAGGAAGGAAUUUGGUGGGUUUGUGCACCGUCGAGAAUUGCGUGGCGCUAGAGAGGCUAGCAAUGGUGGAAGGUGAAAGUGAAUCUAUACCAUGGACUCAACAUUAGUCAUAAAGAACUCACAUACUUGUUGCAAAAGUUUUUAUUAGUAAUCGAAACAAAGUGCUAAACGCAUACUCCGAGGGGAAGGGUUGGUAGGUGUAAACCAUCACGCGAUCCCGACCUCAACACAAAGGAUGACAAUAAAUAGAUCAAUUAUCCUCCGACUUCCUAACAUAGCGGUUCACCAUACGUGCAUGCUACGGGAAUCACUAACUUCAACACAAGUAUUUCUAGAUUCACAACACCCUACUAACAUAGCUUUUAAUAUUCCCGAAUCCAUGUCUCAAAACUAAUUGAGAGGAAUCGAAACUUUUCUUUCUACUCAAUGCACAUGAAGAUGGAGGGUUUUUGCAUCCUCUUUGGGUACCUAGCACAUGGGACUACUUUCAUAGCAUAAGCCAACUACCAAAUCACGCACCGUCGUGCUCUAAAGAUAUAAGUGAAGCACAAGAGCAAACGUAUCUAGCUCAAAAAGAUAGAAGUGAAGCACUAGAGCAAAAGUAUCCACCUCAAAAUAUAUAAGUGAAGCACUAGAGCAAAAGUAUCUAGCUCAAAAGAUAUAAGUGAAGCACUAUGAGCAUUCUAGCAAAAUCACGAUGAGUGCAUGUCUCUCUCUCUCAAAAAGGUGUGCAACAAGGAUGAUUGUGACACAACAAAAAGAAAAGACUCCUAAGAUACAAGACGCUCCAAGAAAAACACAUAUCAUGUGGUGAAUAAAAAUAUAGCUCCAAGUAAUGUUACCGAUGGAUUAAAGACGAAAGAGGGGAUGCCUUCCCGGGCAUCCUCAAGCUUAGGCUUUUUGGUGUCCUUGAAUUUGGCUUGGGGUGCCUUGGGCAUCCCCAAGCUUGAGCUCUUUCCACACCUUAUCUCUUUGUCCAUGAGAACAUGACCCAAAACUUGAAAACUUCACAACACAAAACUUAAACAGAAACUUGUGAUAACAUUAGUACAAGAAAACAAACUACCACUUCUUUUGGUACUGCAGCAAACUUGAAUUCUAUAUAUAUUGAUGAUGGGAUACUGUAUUCUCACUUUCCAUGGCUAGUACCCACCAAUACUAACCAUGGUUUCAUCAAAACAAGCAACCAACCCAACAAAAACAGAAUCUGUCAAAAACAGACCAGUCUGUAGCAAUCUGUAUUCUUCGUAUACUUCUGGUACCUCAAAAAAUCUGAAAACUUACGACGUCUGGGGAAAAAGAAUAUCAAUCAGAAGCAAAAAUAAUCAACUCAAAAGAUCUUUCUUAAUAAAAAUGAAAAAUCAUCUCGUGAGCGAAAAGUUUCUGUCUUUUUCCAGCAGGAUCAAACAACCAUUACCAAGACUAAUCAUAAAGGCUUUGCUUGGCUCAAACACAAAAAGAAACACAAAAACACAAUCACAACAGAAUUAUGAAAGUGUGGACGCAACAAAACAGAAAGAAAAAAGAUAAAUUCAUUGGGUUGCCUCCCAACAAGCGCUAUUGUUUAACGCCCUUAGCUAGGCAUAGAAGCGAUAGAAUCACGUAUCGUCGUCUUUGGUGCUCAAACCAUAAGUGGCCCUCAUCAUGGAUUCAUAAGGCAAUCUUAUUUUAUUUCUAGGAAAGUGUUCCAUACCCUUCCUUAAAGGAAAUUGAAAUCUAAUAUUCCCUUCCUUCAUAUCGCUGAUACUACCAAUAGUCCUUAGGAAAGGUCUACCAAGAAUAAUAGGGCAUGUAGGAUUGCAAUCAAUGUCAACCACAAUGAAAUCCACGGGUACAUAGUUCCUAUUUGCAAUAAUAAGAACAUUAUCAAUCCUUCCCAUGGGUUUCUUGACAGUAGAAUCAGCAAGAUGCAAAUUAAGAGAACACUCUUCAAUCUCAUUAAAAUCUAGAACAUCACAUAAAGACUUUGGAAUCGUAGAAACACUAGCACCCAAAUCACACAAAGCAUUGCACUCAUAGUUUUUGAUUCUAAUUUUGAUGGUAGGUUCCCACUCAUCAUGAAGCUUUCUAGGAAUAGAGACUUCCAAUUCCAGUUUCUCUUCAAGAGCUUUCAUCAUAGCUUCGACGAUAUGAUCGGUAAAGGCUUUGUUUUGGCUAUAAGCGUGUGGAGAGUUCAACAUGGAUUGCAUCAAAGAAAUGCAUUCAAUCAAGGAGCAACUAUCAUAAUUGAAUUCCUUGAAAUCCAUGGUAGUAAUUUCAUUACUAAUCAAAGUUUUAACGUCUUCUACCCCACUUUUAAUGCUUUUAGCAUCAAGAUAGAUGGACUUCGAAUCACUCGGGCACUUUUCUGUUGGAAAUAUGCCCUAGAGGCAAUAAUAAAUUAGUUAUUAUUAUAUUUCUUUGUUCAUGAUAAUCGUUUAUUAUCCAUGCUAUAAUUGUAUUGAUUGGAAACACAAUACUUGUGUGGAUACAUAGACAAAACACUGUCCCUAGUAAGCCUCUAGUUGACUAGCUCGUUGAUCAGAGAUGGUCAAGGUUUCCUGACCAUAGGCAAGUGUUGUCAGUUGAUAACGGGAUCACAUCAUUAGGAGAAUCAUGUGAUGGACUAGACCCAAACUAAUAGACGUAGCAUGUUGAUCGUGUCAUUUUGUUGCUACUGUUUUCUGCGUGUCAAGUAUUUGUUCCUAUGACCAUGAGAUCAUAUAACUCACUAACACCGGAGGAAUGCUUUCUGUGUAUCAAACGUCGCAACGUAACUGGGUGACAAUAAAGAUGAUCUACAGGUAUCUCCGAAGGUGUUCGUUGAGUUAGUAUUGAUCGAGACUGGGAUUUGUCACUCCGUGUGACGGAGAGGUAUCUCGGGGCCCACUCGGUAAUACAACAUCACACACAAGCNNNNNNNNNNGACACCGGAGGAAUGCUUUGUGUGUAUCAAACAUCGCAACGUAACUGGGUGACUAUAAAGAUGCUCUACAGGUAUCUCCGAAGGUGUUCGUUGAGUUAGUAUGGAUCGAGACUGGGAUUUGUCACUCCGUGUGAUGGAGAGGUAUCUCGGGGCCCACUCGGUAAUACAACAUCACACACAAGCCUUGCAAGCAAUGUGACUUAGUGUAAGUUGCGGGAUCUUGUAUUACGGAACGAGUAAAGAGACUUGCCGGUAAACGAGAUUGAAAUAGGUAUGCGGAUACUGACGAUCGAAUCUCGGGCAAGUAACAUACCGAAGGACAAAGGGAAUGACAUACGAGAUUAUAUGAAUCCUUAGCACUGAGGUUAAAACGAUAAGAUCUUCGUAGAAUAUGUGGGAUCCAAUAUGGGCAUCCAGGUCCCGCUAUUGGAUAUUGACCGAGGAGUCACUCGGGUCAUGUCUGCAUAGUUCUUGAACCCGCACGGUCUGCACACUUAAGGUUCGACGUUGUUUUAUGCGUAUUUGAGUUAUAUGGUUGGUCAUCGAAUGUUGUUCGGAGUCCCGUAUGAGAUCACACACGUCACGAGGGUUUCCGGAAUGGUCCGGAAACGAAGAUUGAUAUAUAGGAUGACCUCAUUUGNNNNNNNNNNUGAUCGAAUCUCGGGCAAGUAACAUACCGAAGGACAAAGGGAAUGGCAUACGGGAUUAUAUGAAUCCUUGGCACUGAGGUUCAAAUGAUAAGAUCUUCGUAGAAUAUGUGGGAUCCAAUAUGGGCAUCUAGGUCCCGCUAUUGGAUAUUGAUCGAGGAGUCACUCGGGUCAUGUCUGCAUAGUUCUCGAACCCACAGGGUCUGCACACUUAAGGUUCGACGUUGUUUUAUGCGUAUUUGAGUUAUNNNNNNNNNNCCGAAUGUUGUUCGGAGUCCCGGAUGAGAUCACGGAUGUCCCGAGGGUUUCCGGAAUGGUCCGGAAACGAAGAUUGAUAUAUAAGAUGACCUCAUUUGAUUACCGGAAGGUUUUCGGAGUUACCGGGAAUGUACCGGGAAUGACGAAUGGGUUCCGGGUGUUCACCGGGGGGGGACCCACCCCGGGGAAGCCCAUAGGCCUUGGGGGUGGCGCACCAGCCCUUAGUGGGCUGGUGGGACAGCCCAAGAAGGCCCUAUGCGCCAAAGGAUAAGAUAUCAAAGAGAAAGAAAAAAAAGAGGAGGUGGGAAAGGAGAGAAGGACUCCACCUUCCAAACCUAGUUGGAUUCGGUUUGGAAGGGGAGGACUUCCCCCCUUGGCUCGGCCGACCCCCUUGGGGCUCCUUGAGCCUCAAUGAAAGGCCCCCCCUCUCCCACCUAUAUAUACAGAGGUUUUAGGGCUGAUUUGAGACGACUUUUCCACGGCAGCCCGACCACAUACCUCCACGGUUUUUCCUCUAGAUCGCGUUUCUGCGGAGCUCGGGCGAAGCCCUGCCGAGAUCAAAUCACCACCACCCUCCGGAGCGCCGUCACGCUGCCGGAGAACUCAUCUACUUCUCCGUCUCUCUUGCUGGAUCAAGAAGGCCGAGAUCAUCGUCGAGCUGUACGUGUGCUGAACGCGGAGGUGCCGUCCGUUCGGCACUAGAUCGCAGGACGGUUUGUGGGACGGUUCGCGGGGCGGAUCGAGGGACGUGAGGACGUUCCACUACAUCAACCGCGUUCACUAACGCUUCUGCUGUGCGAUCUACAAGGGUACGUAGAUCAAAAAUCCCCUCUCGUAGAUGGACAUCACCAUGAUAGGUCUUCGUGCGCGUAGGAAAUUUUUUGUUUCCCAUGCGACGUUCCCAACAGUGGCAUCAUGAGCUAGGUUCAUGCGUAGAUGUCUUCUCGAGUAGAACACAAAAGUUUUUGUUGGCGGUGAUGUGCGUUUUGCUGCCCUCCUUAGUCUUUUCUUGAUUCCGCGGUAUUGUCAGAUUGAGGCGGCUUGGACCGACAUUACUCGUACGCUUACGAGAGACUGGUUUCAUCGUUACGAGUAACUCCCUUGCUCAAAGAUGACUGGCAAGUGUCGGUUUCUCCAACUUUAGUUGAAUCGGAUUUGACCAAGGAGGUCCUUGGAUGAGGUUAAAUAGCAAUUCAUAUAUCUCCGUUGUGGUGUUUGCGUAAGUAAGAGGCGAUCCUACUAGAUACCAUGGUCACCACGUAAAACAUGCAACAACAAUUAGAGGGAGUCUAACUUGUUUUUGCAGGGUAUGCUUGUGAUGUGAUAUGGCCAACGAUGUGAUGUGAUAUAUUGGAUGUAUGAGAUGAUCAUGUUGUAAUAGUUAAUAUCGACUUGCACGUCGAUGGUACGGCAACCGGCAGGAGCCAUAGGGUUGUCUUUAAACUAACAUUUGUGCUUGCAGAUGCGUUUACUAUAUUGCUAGGACGUAGCUUUAGUAGUAAUAGCAUGAGUAGCACGACAACCCCGAUGGCGACACGUUGANNNNNNNNNNNNNNNNNNNNNNNNNNNNNNNNNNNNNNNNNNNNNNNNNNNNNNNNNNNNNNNNNNNNNNNNNNNNNNNNNNNNNNNNNNNNNNNNNNNNCUCCUUGGGUAGGACCUAUAGGGCAGACCUAUGACCCUACCCUCGGACUAUAACCCCAUCAUUAGUCCACGAAUGGAUCGGGGUUGGAACGAUGAAGUGAUGUCCGGAGUUUGGAACCGACUGGUAUUGAGGUGAUCUUUGCGUUGUCUGCCUCGAUCCAUUUUAGCUUUGCGGCAAGUGAUCCGAGUGAAUAUGCAAGCGAAACGAACCGUGAGGGACCGUUUGCUUCCGCGGAAUCUUUCGACGUGACCGGUCAUACUAAGAGCGCCGGAUUUUCCGAGAUCCUCAAAUUUCGGUUGCCGCGCGCUCACCGGGGAUGACGACAUCGCCAUCGAGUAGAUUUCGCCUCCUCGAUUACCACGACGCGAUCUUCUCCACUAAUCUUGCAGCAGCCGGUUGGGAGGAUAAGAUCUUGGGCCCACCUGUAGGUGACUCAGUCGGAGGCCUAUUAAAGCCUUCCCGACAGACCUUCCUGUUGCCUGCUCGUCCUCCUCCCAUUGAUCUCCCCCCUCCCCCCCCNNNNNNNNNNNNNNNNNNNNNNNNNNNNNNNNNNNNNNNNNNNNNNNNNNNNNNNNNNNNNNNNNNNNNNNNNNNNNNNNNNNNNNNNNNNNNNNNNNNNGGUCUUGUCCAUCACAUGAUUCUCCUAAUGAUGUGAUCCCGUUAUCAAGUGACAACACUUUCCUAUGGUCAGGAAACCUUGACCAUCUCGGAUCAACGAGCUAGUCAACUAGAGGUUUACUAGGGACAGUGUUUUGUCUAUGUAUCCACACAUGCAGUGUGUUUCCAAUCAAUACAAUUAUAGCAUGGAUAAUAAACGAUUAUCAUGAACAAAGAAAUAUAAUAAUAACUAAUUUAUUAUUGCCUCUAGGGCAUAUUUCCAACAGUCUCCCACUUGCACUAGAGUCAAUAAUCUAGUUCACAUCACCAUGUGAUUCCAACGAAUCCAACACCCAUAUAGUCAUGGGGUCUGAUCACGUCUUGCUCGUGAGAGCAGUUUUAGUCAACGGUUCUGAAACUUUCAGACCCGUGUGUUCUUUACAAAUCUUUAUGUCAUCUUAUAGAUGCUGCUACUAUGUGCUAUUCGGAAAUACUCCAAAUAUCUACUCUACUAUACGAAUCCGUUUCACUACUCAUAGUUAUUCGGAUUAGUGUCAAAGCUUGCAUCGACGUAACCCUUUACGACGAACUCUUUAACCACCUCCAUAAUCAAGAAAAAUUCCUUAGUCCAUCAGUUACUAAGGAUAAAUUUUGACCGUUGCUAGUGAUUCAAUCAUGGAUCACUCUCUGUACCUCUCAACAGACUUCGAGUCAAGGCACACAUCAGGCGCAGUACCCAGCAUGGCAUACUUCAGAUUCUACGGCCAAGGCAUAGAAGACGACCUUCGUCUAUUCUCUUUAUUCUGCCGGGGUCGGGUUUUGAGUCUUACUCAAAUUCACACCUCACAACGCAACCAAGAAAUCCUUCUUUGCUGAUCUAUUUUGAACUCCUUCAAAAACUUGUCAAGGCAUGGAUCUUGUUGAAACUUCCAUUAAGCGCUUUUGAUCUAUCUCCAUAGAUCUUUGAUGCUUAACGUUCAAGUAGCGCAAUCCAGGUACUCCUUUGAAAACUCUUUUCAAACAACCUUGUAUGCUUUACAGAAAUUCUAUAUUACUUCUGAUCCACAAUAUGUCAACCACAUAUACUUAUCAGAAAUUUUAUAGUGCUCCCACUCACUUCUUUGGAAAUACAAGUUUCUCAUAAACCUUGUACAAACCGAAAAUCUUUGAUCAUCUCAUCAAAGUGUAUAUUCCAACUCCGAGAUGGUUGCACCAGUCCAUUGAAGGAUCGUUGGAGCUUGCAUACUUGUUAGUAUCUUUAGGAUCGACAAAACCUUUUGGUUGUAUCACAUACAAUGUUUGCUCAAGGAAACCGUCGAGGAAACAAUGUUUUGACAUCCUAUGUGCAAUAUUUCAUAAAUAAUGCAACAACUACUAACAUAAUUCUAACAGACUUUUAGCAUCGCUACGAGUGAGAAAGUCUCAUCAUAGUCAACCGUUUGACCUUGUCGGAAACAUCUUUGCGACAAGUCGAGCUUUUCUUAAUAGUGACUUAUCACCNNNNNNNNNNUGUCUGUCUUCAUUUUAAAGAUCCAUCUUUACUCAAAAGUCCUAUGACCAUCAAGUAAUUCUUCCAAAGUCUACACUUUGUUUUCAUACAUGGAUCCUCUCUCGGAUUUCAUGACUUCCAGCCAUUUGUCGGAAUCCGGGCCCACCAUUGCUUUCUCCAUAACUCGCGGGUUCACUGUUGCUCAACAACAUGACCUCCAAGACACGGUUACUGUACCACUCUGCAGUAGUACGCGACCUUGUCAACCUACGAGGCUUGUAGUAACUUGAUCCGAUGCUCGAUGAUCACCAUCAUCAGCUUUCACUUCAAUUGGUAUAGGCGCCACAGGAACAACUUCCUGCGCCCUGCUACACACUGGUUGAAGUGAUGGUUCAAUAACCUCAUCAAGUUCUACCACCCUCCCACUCAAUUCUUUCGAGAGAAACCUUUCCUCGAGAAAGGAUCCGUUUCUAGAAACAAACACUUUGCUUUCGGAUCUGAGAUAGGAGAUGUACCCAACUGUUUUGGAUAUCCUAUGAAGAUGCAUUUAUCCGCUUUGGGUUCGAGCUUAUCAGACUGAAACUUUUUCACAUAAGUGUCGAAGCCCCAAACUUUCAAGAAACGACAGUUUAGAUUUCUCUAAACCUCAGUCUAUACUGUGUCAUCUCAACGGAAAUACGCGGUGCCCUAUUUAAAGUGAGUGCGGUUGUCUCUAAUGCAUAACCCAUAAACGAUAGUGGUAAAUCGAUAAGAGACAUCAUAGUAUGCAUCAUACCAAAUAGUGCGUGGCUAUGAUGUUCAGACACAUCAUCACACUAUGAUGUUCCAGGUGGCAUGAACUGCGAAACAAUUUCCACAUUGUCUUAACUGCGUACCAAAACUCGUAACUCAGAUAUUCAUUUCUAUGAUCAUAUCGUAGACAGUUUAUCCUUUUGUUACGACGAACUUCACUCUGAAACAGAAUUGAACUUUUCAAUAUUUCAGACUUGUGACUCAUUAAGUAAAUACUCCUGUAUCUACUCAAGUCGUCAGUGAAGUAAGAACAUAAUGAUAUCCACUGCGUGCCUCAGCACUCAUUGGACUACAUACAUCAAAUGUAUCACUUCCAACAAGUUACUAUCUUGUUUCAUCUCAAUGAAANNNNNNNNNNACUUGUUACAACGAACUUCACUCCUGAAACAGACUUGAACCUUUCAAUAUUUCAGACUUGUGAUUCAUUAAGUAAAUACUCUUGUAUCUGCUCAAAUCGUCAUUGAAGUAAGAACAUAAUGAUAUCCACGGCGUGCCUCAGCACCCAUUGGACUGCAUACAUCAAAAUGUAUCACUUCCAACAAGUUACUAUCUUGUUUCAUCUCAAUGAAAAUAAGGCCUUGCUCAUGUGGUAUGAUUUGCAUGUCACUAGUGAUUCAAAAUCAAGUGAGUAUAAAGAUCCAUCAGCAUGGAGCCUCUUCAUGCAAUUUAUACUAACAUGACUCAAGCGGCAGUGCCACAAGUAAGUGGUACUAUCAUCACUACCUCGUAUCUUUUGGCACCAAUAUUAUGAACAUGUGUAACACUACGAUCGAGAUUCAAUAAACCAUUAAAGGUGAUUAUUCAAGCAAACAGAGUAACCAUUAUUCUCUUUAAAUGAAUAAUCGUAUUGCAACAAACAUGAUCCAAUCAUGUUCAUGCUUAACGCAAGCACCAAAUAACAAUUAUUUCGGUUUAACACCAAUCCCGAUGGUAGAGGGAGCGUGCGACAUUUGAUCAUAUCAACCUUGGAAACACUUCCAACACGUAUCGUCACCUCGCCUUUAGCUAGUCUCCGUUUACGCCGUAGCUUUCAUUUCGCGUUACUAAUCACUUAGCAACCGAACUGGUAUCCAAUACCCUCGUGCUACUAGGAGUACUAGUAAAGUACACAUCAACAUCAUGUAUAUCAAAUAUACUUCUUUCGACUUUUGCCAGCCUUCUUAUCUACCAAGUAUCUAGAGUUGCUCCACCUCAGUGAUUGUUCCCCUCAUUACAGAAGCACUUAGUCUCAGGUUUGGGUUUAAUCUUGGGUCCCUUCAUUAGUGCAACAACUGUUUUGUCGUUUCACGAAGUAUCCCUUCUAGCCCUUGCCUUUCUUGAAACUUAGUGGUUUUACUAACCAUCAACUAUUGAUGCUCCCUUUUGAUUUCUACUUUCGCAGUGUAAAAACAUCACGAACCGCUCAAGGAUCAUUGUAUCUAUCCUUGAUAUGUUAUAGUUCAUCACGNNNNNNNNNNUUCUUGAUUUCUACUUUCCCAGUGUCAAACAUCGCGAAUCGCUCAAGGAUCAUUGUAUCUAUCCUUGAUAUGUUAUAGUUCAUCACGAAGCUCUCACAGCUUGGUGGCAGUGACUUUGGAGAACCAUCACUAUCUCAUCUGGAAGAUUAACUCCCACUUGAUUCAAGCGAUUGUCGUACUCAGACAAUCUGAGCACACGGUCAACGAUUGAUCUUUUCUCCUUUACUUUGUGGACAAAGAAUCUUGUCGGAGGUCUCGUACCUCUUAACAAGGGCACAAGCAUGAAAUCGCAAUUUCAUCUCUUUAGAACAUUACUUAUGUUCCGUGACGUUUCAAAACGUCUUCGGCGCCUUGCUUCUAAGCCAUUAAGUAUUUUGCACUGAACUAUCGUGUAGUCAUCAAAAACGUGUAUGUCGGAUGUUCACAGCAUCCACAUACGACGCUCGAGGUGCAGCACACCGAGUGGUGCAUUAAGGACAUAAGCCUUCUGCGCAGCAACGAGGACAAUCCUCUACAAAGUUUGCUACUAUCAACUUUCAACUAAAUUUUCUCUAGGAACAUAUAAAAACAAUAGAGCUAUNNNNNNNNNNNNNNNNNNNNNNNNNNNNNNNNNNNNNNNNNNNNNNNNNNNNNNNNNNNNNNNNNNNNNNNNNNNNNNNNNNNNNNNNNNNNNNNNNNNNUGGUUAGAUAGCUUGGUGUCGCCGAUGAUCUCUCCUCGCUAGAUCCCUGAUGCCAAUGCAGCAGCUCUCUACCCUUCGGAUAUUCACAACUUCACACACUUGCGCAACGUAGCCGUCGACCACGAGACGGUUAGAAUUGCAAUAUACUAAUUCCCAAUGGAACAGCAGAUCACACUUAACUUGUAGUAUAUAAUCUCCAGAUCGAUAUGAAUUGGAGACAAGAAUUCAAGAUGAAUGCUUAUAGCAGUCUCAUGAACUAGGUUUUAUCUUAAACGUGGUCUAUCUAUCUAAUCUGAGAGCAGCCCUCUAUAUAAGAGGGGCUGGGUGAUGCGCCCAGGGGGGGGGGGCUAGGUCUGGUGCGCCCAGCCUGGUCCUCCUGACUUGGUGCAACCUAAACUGGUCGACUCAAAAUGUGGUUCGACUCAACUUGAUACAAACUGACCCAACUUGGGUUCAGCCCCUUGGCACGCAGGCCAUGUACUUGAGGUAUGGCGCUGCAACAUGGUGUUGGUGCGCCUGGUGUUACUCGACGUGGGGAUCCUCCUCCUUGACGUUAGCGCCUGACUGCCUCUCCUCCCUCGCGCCCUCUUGCUUGUACUCCACAUCAUGCUCCUCUUGCUGCAACUCCUCGCUCCCUCGUGCUAUGCCUUCUUCUCCCAUGCACCUGAGUAUGCAAACACUCAAAGACUUAGGUAGUAGAAAGCUCUCAUUAAAAUAAAUAGCAUAUUCAACUAAGAGAGAAUUCACCCGUUGUUCUAUUAUCUUUGCACGAGCUCUUGUGAUAGGUCCAAUUCUGAUUUCAUCAUUGGACGUCUUCUUUGCAGCCACUUGGUGAUCAUCAUCAUAGGUUGGAGGUGGGUCAAGUGUNNNNNNNNNNNNNNNNNNNNNNNNNNNNNNNNNNNNNNNNNNNNNNNNNNNNNNNNNNNNNNNNNNNNNNNNNNNNNNNNNNNNNNNNNNNNNNNNNNNNAAAGUUCAUCAACUAAUGGCCUUAGGUACACAUCAAUAUCGUUGCCGGGUUGCUUUGGACCUUGGAUAAGCACUGGCAUCAUAAUGAACUUCCGCUUCAUGCACAACCAAGGAGGAAGGUUGUAGAUACAUAGAGUAACGGGCCAGGUGUUGUGACUGCAACUCUGCUCCCCAAAAGGAUUCAUGCCAUCUGUACUCAGACCUAACCAUAAGUUCCUUGUGUCAGCUGCAAAUCUCGGGAACUCUCUCUCGAUUUUUCUCCACUCACGACCAUCAGCGGUGUGCCUCAACUUAUCGUCUUUCAUACGAUCUUCCAUGUGCCAUCGCAACAACUUCACGUGAUCUUUAUUUCUGAACAGACGUUUCAACCGUGGUAUUAUAGGAGCAUACCACAUCACCUUGGCAGGAACCCUCUUCCUGGGUGGCUCGCCCUCAAUAUCACCAGGGUCAUAUUUUCCGAUCUUAUACCGCAACGCAGUGCAUACCGGGCAUUUAUCCAUAUUCUCGUACUUCUCACCGUGGUAGAGGAUGCAAUCAUUAGGGCAUGCAUGUAUCUUCUGCACGUCUAAUCCUAGAGGGCAGACAAGAUUCUUUGCUUCGUACGUGCUGGCAGGCAAUUCGUUCUUUCUUGGAAGCAUCUUCUUCAUGAGUACCAGCAACUUUUCGAAUGACGAGUCAGUCACACUGGUCUCUGCCUUCCACUUCAGCAAUUCCAGUGUGCUACCCAGCUUCUUCUGGCCAUCUUCACAAGUUGGGUACAACAAUUUUUUGUGGUCCUGUAACAUCUGCUCGAACUGCAACCUCUCCUUUUCUGUGUCUCAACCUCGCCGUGCAUCAGAAAUGACCCGGCCAAGAUCAUCAGCGGGCUCAUCUGGUUCCCGUUCUUCAUCAUGAUCUUCUUCUUCAUUGUCUUCCAUUGCGGUAUCAGCAUACUCAGGGAACAUAUAUCGGUAGUUGUCAUCAUCGUUCUCUUCUUCUUCAUCGUCGUCUUCCAUCAUAACCCCUCUGUCUCCGUGCUUGGUCCAAACAUUAUAGCCCGACAUAAAACCGGACCGAAGCAGGUGGCUCUGAAUGACUCUUGAGGAAGUGUAAUCCUUCUCAUUCCGACAAUCAACACAUGGACAAAACAUAUAGCCACCACCAUGCUUGUUCGCAUCGGCUGCAUCUCGAAAAGAAUGCACGCCUUCUCUGUAAGCGGCUGUGCGUCGAUCACCGUACAUCCAUGGAUGGCUCAUCUGUGUUAUACGACAGUAUAUCAAAUACAAUCACGAUCCUAAAAAUUAGUACCGCACGGUCUAAAUGAGGAAAUAUAGUUGCUAACCUUUUAGAAUAAGUAGAAAUAAAGAGGAAGAGGUUUAAGCGUGGCUCAGGCAUCUCAUAUCGUAGUUGUGUUCGGUGAACUGAAGCGGCAUCGCUCUAACACACAUUUCAACAAACACCUCUAGUGCAUCAAAAAAAGUGGAGAGCUAGCACACACCCACAAUCCUCCAUCCAAGAAAAAUGCAAGGAAGAGGGGAGAGGGGGGCUGUGCUAUAUAUGGGCAGAGGACUUUAGUCCCGGUUUGGGACACGAACCGGGACUAAAGGCUCCUUACGGGUCGGGACUAAAGCCUCGAGGCAGGCAUUGAGAAUUGGGGCGACGUGGCCGGGCCUUUAGUCCCGGCCCAGAGGCAGGCCGGGACUAAAGGGUUACGGCCAAAGGCCCGUUUUCCACUAGUGAUUGGUUUUGCUUUUUCGAAAAUAUGGAAUAUUCCAUUGUUUGCCCACUGCAAAGCCGCUGGUAGGAAGCUGUGAUAUACGGAUAUUUUUCUGUGAAAAAUGGGACGCGCGCAUGCAAAAUUUUGUAGUGGUUCCUGCAUGUGGGCGCCGUGGCUGCAGGCCUGCAGCACCCCCGCCGUCUCGGCUCGCCGUCGACGGAGGCUUCCACCACCAUUAUAUUCAGCAAAAAAAAUCAGGAACAAAAACAAUAUUCGCUGGUUGUAGCAAAAAACUAAAACUGUUCCAGUAAAAAAACAUCACGGUUUCGAUAAAAAUAUGUCGUGGCCGGUGUUCGCAAACAAAAAAUAUCGCCGGAUGCAGCAACUUUUUUGUCGGUUGUAGCAAAAUAAGAAGAUAGUACUAGAAAAAUGCUUCCUCUUGUGCUUCUUGUGCUGUCUUAAAAAAGGAAAAAGCAGGUGCUUGGUCUGUUUCUCCUGUUCCUCACUCACUUGCUUUCUUUUGCAAUUUUGACAAUGUCAGUGUGGGUCCUCUCUCUCCUUUGUGAGACUAUACUGUAUGGCCUGUGUUAAAGUAACUAGAAUCUUCUAUGGCUUCAUUAGUAUUUGUUUCUGUUACGGUUGGCUGGAGUUAAAGCCUUAAACCGUUUUCUAUUAUGAUCUUCUCUUACGUAUCAAGUUGUAAUUUAUCAAUACUUGUACGCCACGGAUGGGGCUGUUCCAUCCCUAUAUAAACACGCAACAGCGGCCUGCUACGGUGGGUAGAACGCUUUCCAUCUUUCAGCCUGCUCUAUCCUGAGUUGUUGAACUUGAGGAGGGAUCUAUGGUUGAGGGUACCACUAACAAUACUUAUACUCUUCAGUCAUAGAUAGUGUUUCCCAUGAAAAUGUACUAUUAGCUGGUGUUGCAAGGGCACGAUGUGGGCAACCAUCGUCAUGUUAUGCAACAUGUUGAAAGCCAGUGUCGUUGGAGUGCCGACAUAAUACGACGCACGCCGAAGCCAAUGCUAUGAGGGGCAUCUCCAUGCUACAAGAUUUGCGUUGCUGCUGCGAGGCAAUGUUACGAGGGGAGUCACCAUCCUCGAGGGACUAUCGGCGUGUGGCGAGGCACGCUACAAGCAGGUGUUGCGAGCCAUGAUUAAGGAGUCCCAUUGGUGUUGCGAGUGACGACCAUAGAUGUUGCGCCCGGGGGUGCAGGAAGAGGAAUUGCGAGAUGUAUUGAGCACUAGACACACUAUGUGCAAUCUGAUGACUCUCCAUGUUACAAUGGGUGGGCAUCCCGCUAAGACACGCGCUGCUAUAAGGACCGACCACCAGUGCUGCAAGCCUUGAGAAGUAAUGUUGCAAGGACCGGACAACAUCGUCCAGGUGCUCGCUGCUGCAAGGCCGUUUAGUGAUGUUGUGAGCUGCUGCUCCAAGGUCGUCGGGGUUGGUACGACGGACAACACUGCUACAAGCCACAUGUUAUGAGGCCGUCAAAAUUGGUACGACGGGUGGCGAUGUUGCGACGUCAAUGACGGAUGGCGAUGGUGCGAGGUUGAUGGAGCAGCUUCGACGGGUGGAGUUGUUGAGAGCUGAUGCUGGAGCUGCGAUGAUGGUCCGAUUGCUUCCACCACAUGACGGCGAUGUGACGCUUGAUGACCGCAAUGAUGGCAUUCAUCCACGACAGGACGGUGCUACGACGCUCGAUGAACCGUGGUAACGGCAUGCUUAUAUGACACGACUAUGUUGCGAUGCUCGACAGGCCGCAGCGGCGGUGUGCUUCCACAACAUGACCAUGCUGCGACGGAUGCUACGAUGGUGUCUCAGCUGACAGGAUACCAGCGAUGCUGCAAUGACGACGGCAUGCUAUGAGUUCGUGGUGCAACGGUAGUCAUGCUAUGACGAUCGGCGUGCUACGAGCAAUACCGAUUUGCUGCGUGUCGGUGUUGCGACAACGCCGAUGUGUGAAAAGUCGGUGCUACGAUGGGGAAGAACGAAACAAGACAGUGAGGAGUGGUCCCGUUGACUUGUCUGACCAACGGUAAGAUCAAGAUUAAUCGAAGUAUGAAGAAGACAGUUGAGUCCGCACCAAUACAUCCACGUGAUAUGUACCCAGCCAAGCAGAACAAGAACCAACGAUUUGCUUGUUCCAUCGUACGACUCGAAAGACGGCUUAAAACUCAUACAAAUCAUCCGUCUGACGCCUAGUGCGGGUCUUUUUUUUGACAAACCAACGAACAUUUUCCCCAUCGAGAUCGGGUCUCCUAUACACCGCUCCUUGCGGCCAACUGCCGAGCAAACACAUAGGGGUUGCCCGACUAGCCCGGCCCAGUUAUUUUUUGUAUUUUGUUUUUCUGCUCUUUUUCUGUUUAUUUCCUUUUUUGUUCAUUUUUUCUUUCUUUAUUCAUUUUCUUUUAGAAUUUGAAGCAAAAACAAAAUCCAGAACAUUUUUUGUUUCUGUUUUUAAAAAUGUUCUGAAUUAUCGACAAAUGCUCCAGUUUUUCAAAUUGUUCACAAGUUAAAAAAAUCUUUCUUGAAUUUGUUUCGCAAUUUCAAAAAUUCAGGAACAUUGUUUCAAAUUCCGGAAAACAUUUUUUCAAAUUCCAGAACAUUUUUUCAAAUCCUGGAAAAAAUUCAAAAUCCAAAAAAAAUUAAUUUUUUUUGGAAUAUUUCUUCAAAUUCUGGAAUAUUUUUCCAAAUACCGGAACUUUUUUCCAAAUCCAGAAGAUUUUUGUAACAGAAAUAGAAAAAAAGGAAACAGAAAAGAAUAAAGAAAAAGGAAACGAAUUUUUUCUGAAUAUUCAAAACAUUUUUUGAAAGAGAAACAGAAAAGAAAAAACUGAAAAAGCUGAAGCAGUUCAGUGAACCUUCUAGAAGUUUUCCAAAACCAAAAAAAUCCGGCUGAGAACCUCUAGAAGGUUCCCAAAACCGGGACUCUCUAAUGGGCCAGCCCAAUCUGAAGCCAUCCCUCUCUUCCAUGUGCAUUUGGUCGACAUUUCAACACACAAAGUAUCAAAUAGGAUUUUCCGUCGCGACCUCCCUCCCCGCUCUUCAUCAUCAAGCUACAGCCCAAAAUGCAACAACUAGUGAUUCUUAUUUGUGGCCUACAUCGUGUGUUUUUAGUGUUUCUGCAAACGAACGCUCACAGUACGUCUUUAACUCUUCCAAAUAAUCGAUGAACUUUUUUCAAAAUCAAUAUAUUAUUAAAAAAUCCAUGAACUUGGUUUCGAGUUUACAUUUUUCAGAUAAUUUAUAUUGGGUACAUGUUAAUGUUUUACUAAGCAAAAAGGUUAUCUAGCAUUGUUUUCUUGCACUAGAAAACAAAGUUACUUUGGUCUAGUGGUUAUUGCGGUGGGCUGGCAACAUUGCAAACCGGAGUUAGUAUGGAUUUUUCUUUGGAGGUCCUAUACAACCCAUUUAGCGUCGGUUAGGCAAACCGGGGUUGUAGCGUCCUUCUCGUGGGUCGGCCCAUGUAGAAUGUGUUGGUUCUUAAAAAUCAAAAAAGUUUAUAAAAAAAAUCAGAUUUGCAAAAAAGUUCAAUGAUUAUAAAAAAAGUUCACCAAUUUUUUAGUUAUGUUUAUGUUUUUUCAAAAAGUUCACAAAAUUCAAAAAAAAUCAUUGAUUUUCAAAAAAAGUUUAUGGAAUCUCCGAAACUAUAGGAUCUGAAAACUAAAUCUACAUCAUGGGAUAAGGUGGCUGGGAGGAGAAACCGGAAAUUAAAAAUGCAUGAGCGUACAACAGUGAAGAAGCUAUCGAUAAGUAGCGAUACUCGUGGGAUACGACCAUCUGCCAUAUUACACACGACCUCCUUUUCUCUAUAUAUUCUCUAUCUUCCAUGUAACAAAAAAAUCUUAUGUGACAUGUGUUAUAGACGACUGAGUUGAUGCUGUUGUACAUGCCCUUAGAGUGGCGGUUAGGAGCUCCCUCAGCUGCUAUUUGUAAAGAUUACAAUGGUAUAAUUCCCAGGAUUCUUCUGCAAUGGUGUUCAACAUUGUACAUGCUCCGGCAAACGCUUGAAGUACUUGCUUGUCGAGAAGAAUUAGCUCUAGCUCUUGAUAUUUUUGUGCAGAUCGGGUGGGAUUCGGUCGUGUCCAUUGGUCCUCCGUUUAAAAGGGAGCGGCACGAAGCUCUGCUAUCUGUUGCCAUCAGGAGCUAUGUUUUGCUUUAUGGUGAAGUCAGAUGUGGAGAAUGUCAUGGAAGCCGAUGUUGGAGGACUGGUAAUGGUGAUUGGAGCCUACAACGCUGAGGAAUUUGCUUGGAGUUUCGGGAUUCGUAGCGGUGGUAUGUAAGUGGGGCAACAACAUAUGUGAAUGUUCAAGAUCUUACCUUUCAGGAUGAAAAUCUAAGACUUGGCCUUAGUUGGUUGUGUAUCACAAUGGCCUUGUUGAAGGCAUUGUUUUGAGAGCGGACAUUAACUUCAGGGUGAAAACCAAGAUAUAUAAUCGGAUGACGACGACGCUUGUGCACUGUUUCCUUCUUUGAGGCAUCGCUUUUGGGGAACUUGGACUACGGGGGUUGUUUUUGUGGUGGUUGUACUGCUGCUGCAAGGACUGGAACUAUGUAGCAGGGCUUUUCUUUUUUUAGCUUCUUCUUUCUUUUUUGGUUGCGUCCAGCCGUAAUGCCAUUAGUGUAUUGCGUUGUUGCAGAGGUUGGGUGUAAUUGAUAUCUUCGAGAUAUUAAUAUAUUUCCUUUAUCAAAAAAAAAAAAUUCUGUGCGAAGAGUGAUUAUUGCAUGCGAUUGCAAAUCAGUAGUAUAAGAGAUAAAGAAUGGAACCAAAGGAAGGUAUAGCCCAUCAAAGAAGUCACAAAAAGAUCAUGAUAGUCCACUUUUGUAGAUUCACGUUUGAAGGACUCAUUUUAAACUUUUGAGGCUCAUAGUUUGGCAAAGUUUUCUUCUUCUUUAGUCGAGGGUCGUUAUGUCUGGUUAGGAAUGCCCCAUGGCCCGUUUAAUUAUCCGAGUAUCCGGUAAUCCUCCUUAAUAAAGUGUGAUUUACUGUUGAAACAAAAUCAAAUCAAAGUCAUUAAUUAAAGGGUUCCCUACAAAAAUCAAUCCCACCUUCUCUGGAUGCGACAAGUGGUGUAGUGUAUGUGGGCAACUUGUUGCUUCCGAAGAGUUUUCCCUUUUUAGGUAGAUUCGUUUAUCCAUACGGUUUAUCUUAAACCUUAUGUCCAAACUGCGAGCUUUUUUCAUCGUUGGAUUUCAUGCGUUGAAAUUUUUAAAACUAGAUCUCAUGUUAAUAGGUUUUGACGAAAUUUUUUUCAUGAAAAAACCAGAAGAAAAGAAAACAGACCGAAACCACGGUUAUUUCUCUCACAUUUUCUAUUUCCGAGAGUUAUAGUUGUCCUCUCACGAAAUAAAAUCCAUGUCCCCACGUGAAGCAAACUUGUACCUCUCAUGUAAGAGAACAAACAAUAUUUUUUUUGCUUUAUAUGAGGCAUAACUGUGCCUCUCACGAAAGAUUUUUUUUAUCUUUUUGAGAGGCACAAAGUAUGUGCAUCUUGCGGAAUAAAACAAUGUUUUUUUCUAUUUCCCAAAAGGUGCAGUGGAAGCAAACUGUUGUUCCGAUGAAAGAAAAUAACAUUUUUUCAUACAAUUUUUUUCUCCGUACUUUUUUGUCCAAAAUCUAGGAAAACUGGGCAAAAGCCAUAAGAAUCAUCUAAAAUCUGAAAAAGCAUACAGAAAAUAGAAUAAAAAUAAAACCCUUAAAAAGCGUCCAACACGCGACAAGUGGCAACCAAAAGCACAUCGAUUGACGCGGUCUCAGUCCACCCGAUUUUUUUGAACACAUGCAAAAUGCUCAUAUAUACACGUAUAACUAUAUACUCACCCCUAUGAACAUAGACACGCACGCCUUAUUUCUAUGAUCACCUCCGAGAGACUGAGCCGGCAUAUCAUCUUGAAAUUUACGAAGUCACCGUAGACACUUCAUCGUCGACGGAAACGUCUCCUCCCAAUAAAGUGUAUCGUUAGAAAUCCUAAAAUAAAUUCAGAAAUAAUGCAAGCACUAGGACUUCAAUCCUGAUGGGCUAGAGAUACCAUUGUCCUUCUAACCAUCCAACCGCAUGUUAAUUUGCUCAGCCACCCAAAAUGAGAGGAUCCCGCAAGGGGUAACCCUUAGUUAAUUACUCCUACGUCAAAGUAGCAUAUCAUAAAGUCAUAAAAAAAUCAAGGUAGCACCAUUCAAGACACAACAUCAAGCUACAAUUCAUUUUCUAGAACAGGUGCAAAAAAACAUUGUUCAAAAAUAAAAUUGCCGUCAUGUUUGAAAGAAAAAUGGCGUAACACAAGUAAAAUGCCAUCAUGUUCAAAAAAGAUGGAUCACAUGCAAAAACAAAUCCUUGGAAAAAAGAACCUUCCAUACCCUAAGAGCUAAGAAUACAAACGACAAGAAAAAUGGGGUAUGUUUAUACACAAAACUGCCACAUUUUAAAAUAAAAAUACAUUAUGCACACAUAAAACAUGAUGUUGAACCUAAAAAUGUCAUAUAAGAAGUCCAUGAUAUGCUAAAAUAUGUCGUUUUCUUACUAACGAAAUUUCCAUGCUCUUAAUAAAAAAUGGCAUGCUCUAUACAAAAAUGACAUGUUCUCUCUAACAAAAAAUUGUCAUCUAUAUAAAAAUAAAAGUGUCAUGCUCUUUAAAAUAAAAGUACCAUCUUGCAUAAAAACAUGACAUGCUCUACAAACAAACCCCAUGCACUUUAACAAAAUUGAAUGGUGCAAAAAAAAGGAAAAAGUCCAUUUUGAACCCUGAAUUUGUAGAGGUUCGACGAAAUGAAACUCCAACUCGAAAUCCCUGUCGAUUGCACCCUGAACUAUGUAAUCCUGGUCUAAAAAGAACCCUGGAUUCGUUUGACAAACUGGGAUUGCUGAUUUGACCAGUUAGGCCCAUCUCGGUAUCGUACAUCACAAAACAUUUACGGAAUUAAAAAAAUGAGAAUAAAAGUUCACGAAUUUUGAAGAAAUAACCACGGAUAUAAAAAAAGUUCAACGAUUUUAGAAACAAAUAAAUGGAUUUUCAAAAUUAAAAUUCAGGGAUUUUCAAAAACAUUGUGAAGUCCACAGGUUAUUUUAUAGUACGUAGGAAGCACCUUAAAAUGGUUUUUAACAUAUGAUUAACAUUUUUUUAGAAUACAUGUUAAAAAUAUUAAUACAUCAUAUACAAUUUUUUAAUUGUCCCCAACACUUUUUCGAAAUGUAUGAACAUUUUCCAAAUGCAACAAUUUUAAAAUUACACACAUGUAUAUUUUUAUAAUUUUGAUAUAUAUGUUAAAAUUACACACAUGUAUGUUUUUUAUAUUUUUGUUUUCUGGUUCUUUUCUUCCUUUUGUUUUUAUUUUUAUUUUUAUUUUCUGUUUCAAUUUAUAUUUUAUACUUUUUAUUUUUUUAUUUUUUAUUUCUUUUUUUGUUACUGUUUUAUUUUCACUUAUAUUAUAUAGAGUUCAUUGUGUGUCGUCAAAAUAUUUAUUGUAUAUCAUGUGUGCAUGUACGUGUAUGUGUGGAUUGUCAUGGUGUGUAUUAUACAUACCUGUAGGCUAUUCGGCGUUCAUCGCUGGACCGGAUUUGUCCCAACACGCUGUAAGAAAUAUUUGAAAAAAGAUUACUCAUUUUUUAAAAAGAUUAACAAAUUUAAAAAAAUGCUGACCAGGUAGAGCUUAAAGGUACAGUCUUAAUAUACUCACAACUACAAGAACAAAUGCAUGCAUCACUCCACAACUACAAGAAAAAAUGUUCGCGCAUCCAAAAAAUAUUUUCGAAUUUGAAAAAUGUUCCGAUUUUGAAAAAAAUCAUGUUUUCUAUUUUUGAGAGAUUUUAUAAAAUGGUUCACAUAUUAUAAGAAAUGUUCGUGUUUCAGGAAAAAAAUUAUUUGUUUGAAAAUGUGUUGGCCGUUUUGAAAUAUGUUCUAAAAAUAUUAAAUAUGUUUGUGAUUUUAAAACGGGCCGGCCUAAAAAAUAAAUCCCGGUUGACACGGUGCGAGGGUUUGAUUUAGACCGGGAUUGCAUAGUUCAGGGUGCAAUCGACCGGGAUUUCGAGUUGAGGGUUUAUUCCGUCCGACCAAUACAAAUUCAAGGUUGAAAUUGGACUUUUUCCGCAAAAAAAUGCCAUGCUUCAAAAAGUAAACUAUCAUUGCCUAACUAAAUAAAAUUGCCAUCGUAUGAAUAGUAAAAGGUACAAAGCCCAACGAAAAAAAACUCAUGGUGCAACUAAACAAAUUGCCAUGAUCUAAAUAAAAUAGGCUUGCCAUGGUACAUGACUUGAAAUGGCCAUUGUCUAAUUUUGGAAAAUUCCAUCCUCCAGCUAAAGAAUUGCCAUGGUACCCAAAUAUAAACUACCAAGUUCUGACUAGUAAAUAUACCAUAAUCUGAUGACUAAAAUUGCAUUGGAUUCCAUAAUAGAAAUGGCUUUGCUAAAAUACCUCUAAAUGUAAGAUAAGUAUUGCACAUGUAAGUCCUCUAUCAUUGAUCUUACAUGAAAUUCGUGUGGGUAUUUUUUUUCUUUUCUUUUCCUUUUCAUGCUUUAUUUAGUUAUUUAGAUGUGCAAUAACUAUGUCACAUCUAGAUGUGUUCUAGAUACAUCCUAAUAAAAAUGCACCUUUACGAACAAUUGUAGGAACAUGUCAAUUCUUAUGGGUGAAAACUGAAUAGUGUGACAACUUCAAUAUAAACACUCUUAGUAAAAUUCAGAACGAGGCAAUCUCUGGCAUUGUGUUGCCCAUGGCAAUUUCUACAUGAGAUGACCUAAUUCAAGUACACAAAAGAUUUAUGAAAAAAUGCCAUCUUAUUUUCAAACAAAAAAUCAAUGGCGAAAAAAAUCGGUAGACGCAUAUUUAAAACUUUGUGUCCAAAACCAUAUUAAAAAUGUUAUAAUAGUUGUACCAACAAUGCCAGGCUCCUUAUAAAUAAUAUGCCAUGUAUGUAAAUAAUGCCAUACCAAGUUCAAUAAAGAAAGUGCCAUACAUUGAAAAUGCCAUGUUGAAUACAAUAAAAUGCCAUACAAAAAUUGUGAAUUUUGCCAUGAUAUUUUAACAAAAAUAAUUCCAUGUCACUUUAGAAAUAAUUGCCAUGGUUAUAGACAUUUUUAAAAUGCCACCUCCUAAACAAUUCACAUGACUUCAUGGUUCAGUUUGUAAAAAGUUGCCAUGAUUUCAAUCUAAGAAUUGCAGAAAAUACUAUGUUAGACAAUAUUUUUUAGCAAACAUUGUUGAAUGUUUCACGGUGCAAAAUUAUGAUUCUGUAAAAAACCUAGAUGAAUUCGGUGCUCCGAAAUUUCUCGAAAAAAUAACAUCUUUAAAGUAUCGAUUUUCCCUUAGUGAUAGAAACAUUGCAUGCAUAUGGAACAUUAACCAGUGUUUUGUCACAAAAAAAAUCUUAUAUUUUUCUUUUUGUUUUAGAUUUUUUGUUUUGAAAAGCAUGCCUUAUAUUAAUUAAGCAAACAAAAGGUUAUUACAAUCAUUCAUUACGCCUUGCGUGGCGGGAUAGAGUUAACAAGCAACCCAUUAAACCUGCUACUAAAACUAAACUUAGCAAUCUCAUGUACCAUCUCGUUGGCAGGCCGACUUAUUUUUGAAAAACUUAAUUUUGGAACAUGUUAGUAAUACUCACUUAACAAGCAACACAUCAAACCUGCUACUAAACUUAGCAAUCUCGUGGUCGACUUAUUUUUGAAAAACAUGUUGACAAUACUCUGUCAAGCUUCUCAUUUGCAAGGAAGGAAUAAAUGAAGGCACACUCAUUUGCAAGGAACGAAUAAACGAAAGCACUGCCAAUUUGUUUUAGAUUUGAGUACAAUUGUUCAUCUGAGAGCAGUACUGUAAUUCAAAACGACAGAAAUGAACUCCAUAUAUUGCAGAAGAAUGCACCACUGUCAAGGCAAAAUUGCUUGUUUACUGCUACACAAAAAUAUAUGUUAUCGAGUGCAAGUAUAGUUAGUUCUUGUGGGGUAUUGCGAGUUGUAAGAGCAUCUCUAGCAGAACCCAUAUAAAGCCGACCCGGAAAACUCGUUUACAGUUCGCGGAAAAACAGUUUUGUGUGCCGGUACAGGCACGAACAAAGUCAGACCCCACAAAACGGACCCGUAAAAAAGGACAGAAGAUGCUCUUUUACGGAUCGGCUAUGGAGGGUCUGCUCGGGCAUCGCCGUGUCGACCCGCAAACCAAAAACCCUCCAAUAAGCGAAUUUGACAGUGAUUCCAACAAAUGAGUUCAAAUUCAAACAAUAAAACAUAGUUCGCUCACAAAAUGAAAGCAUAGUUUUUAAAGACAAACGCAAAAGGACUUCAUGCAUCCCGGUCGCUCUUCACUCCGCAUCAUCGAGGUCAUCGCUGCCCUCGAAUCCAUCGUCGACACUUGUUCCAACUCCGGUACCAAAAUCAUCGGUGAUAUUGGUUCGGAUUCCCGAUGAGAAAACAUCAAUGCCACUGUAACACGCAAGCAUCCUCCUCUUCAAGAUGUCUCGCCUUGUCAUAUCAUGUCAUUCUUUGUUGAUGUCGUUCAUGUCAUUGCGGUUCAAAGCAAUGAUCAUAUUCUAUUCGGUAAGAAGGUUGGACAUGAUUUUCUUCUCAGCGGCAUGUGCUCUUCUCUCGUGAAUGUCUUUGAGAAAUUUCCAUCUCUCUUGCUUCUCUCGUGCCUUCUUCUCGGCCAACUCUAUCUUUGUCCCCGAAGACUUCACUAGCAUCACCUCAUUUGAUUGCAUCAUGACAUCUAUUUUGUCCCGCAAGCUCGAUGCUUUAUGUCCCCUCUUGAUCUUCUCCUUUGUCUUUUUGUCAUCAUCGGGCUUGUUCAAGUUUCUUGGGCCAUCAUCAUCUUCAUCUUCAUUCAUGUUCGUAAGUGAACCUUUUUCGAUGGGGAUUCUUUGUCCAUUAACUUCCACUUCUCCCAGUCUUUGAUCAUUUUUCAACAAUGCUCUAGUUUAAAAAAAAUACCUUCAGAAGCUUCCAUGUCUUUAUAUCGUUGUUGGGCAUUUUUUUCUACACAAUUAAAGCAAAGUCAAAUGACGCAACCAUUUUUAUAUGAUGCAAAUGGUGUGCAGAACUUGGGACGUGAAAACGAACUCACAUAAUCGGAUUCCAUGGUUUCACUUGAAGGUGCAUUGCAAACUUGUUCCAAGCAAGCUGCCCAACGGUUACAAAUCGGUUUCAUCACAUCCCAACGACCUUGGAGUGACCGAAAGGUCCAUGUUGUCCUAUUGGGAUACUUGGUCAUGAAUUGGAAGUAUUGAUCUUCGAUUCCUUGUCAAUACCUCUUGACAGUUUGAGACACACUCGUGCAAGCAUCCAUAGACACCGUACUUUAAGCCUUGAUCAAGAUUUGAUCUUCCAAAAUCGUGUAGUUCUUCGAUCUCACCCUUUUUUUUUUGCUUGCACUUGCUGAUACGCCCCUCAUCUACCUUCUCCACUUCAUCUUCACCAUCGUGGUCAUCCACGCCACCCUCCAAUUCAUUAUAAUCGAAACCAGCGAUUGGGGCUUGAUCGAUGUCGACGGCGUUGGUCUUUAACAAGUUCACGAACUCGACAGCGACAUUGUUCAAACCACCGCUAUAUUGAGUGACAGCAAGUCAUGACAUACCACAAUAGCAAAAAAGCAAAGUAAGAACAAGGGAGGAAAGAUGCAUACCUUCCAGCCAUUUCAUCGAACACCUCGCUUGCGGUGGAAGCAACACUGUUCGAAGACAUCGUCGGGGAACAUCUUGCCGGGGCGGAGCGAGUGGACGAAGAACAUCUUGCCGGGGCGGAGCGAGUGGACGAAGGCGCCGAUCUUUUAUAGGAACCUUCUUUCGUUUCAUGUUCGAAACCUUAAUCAUCUUCUCCGCCAACGGUCGGUCAGAUCGUGCAGCAACAACGACGCCCGACGCGCGUGCCUUUCCAGCAGGAUUGCCGCCCUGCACGACAAUGAUGUCCUACUGCUUCUAGGCAGGCACGUUGAUGCCUUUGGCGACGGCGGGGCAACGUUGCCCUGCCGCUUGUGGGCAGGCACGUUAGUGCCUUGGGCGACGACGGGGGCGACAUGGCCGGCUACGAGAUUCGUCGGAGGGGAUUGCGCAUGCACGACCUCCACGUUGAUGUUGGGACGGCUCCACGUUGAUGUUGGGACGGCUGGAGGGUUAAAUGACGAUGAAAAUGGUGGGGAAGAUGUUGGGACGACUGGAGGCUUAAAUGACGACGAAAAUGGUGGGGAAGAUGGUCCGGGACGCGUGAUGACGGUACAAUGGCUGCCGAGGAGGGGGAGCGACUGCGUGGAAAUUUUCUUCGCGCCACAAAUUUCGUUGUGAAUAAGGAUAGAGCUUGAAAUCUCGUUGCGGAUAGGGGACAAGGUCAAUUUCGUUGCGAAUAAAGGUAGGUCAAUUUCGUUGCGAAUAAGGGUAGAGCUUAGGUCAAUUUCGUUGCGAAUAAGGGUAGAGCUUGAAAUCUCGUUGCGGAUAGGGGACAAGGUCAUAGCUGGUAAAUCUUCUAGAGGUUAGACGAACUUUUAUCGGGCAUUAUACGGGUCUGCUAGAGAUGCUCUAAUAGCAAAAUCUAAUGGUUAAGAUCGCAUUAUAGCAGAACUGAAGGUGGCCCAAUUUCAGAUGGAUGGGACUUGAGGCAAGAGAACAGUAAGAGCAAGUACAAUAAAGCUGAGUCAGCUGGCUAUAAGGAAUAAAGUAGUAUAUUUUUGCUUAGUUGGAGGAGAGAGAAGAGGAGAGAAAAGGUAAACGGGCUCUUAGCUAAGAGCCAGCUACACGUGCUCCUAAGCACUUUGUGAGAAUGAAAAGUGGAUCAUAUAAUAAAUAAGUAGUACUCUUCUAACCAACUAUUGUACAUGAUAGCUAUAAGAUGGACUAUAUGUGACAUGGAGUGGAUCAUAUAAUAAAUAAGUAGUACUCUUCUAACCAACUAUUGUACAUGAUAGCUAUAAGAUGGGCUAUAUGUGACAUGGCAUGAGCUUACAGUCGGCUCUACUAUUGUAGUUGCUCUAAGAACAAAGGAGGGAUUUAGAAAUGAGAGCGGUAGCACCGAAGCAGCAUAACAGGAAUCGACGAUCAGAGUCUCGAAAUGAGUAGUCCCUUGCAUCUGAAGACGAAGCAGCGCAAGUAGACGCUAGAAGGAACAAGUAGUACAGGCGUUUUCCAUUUUUAUUUUUAAUUUACGUAGUAGAUAAGAUAUGCAACAACUUAUUAUUCGUCGGUGGUACUAGCACCGCCCGCAGGCACGUCCGUACAUAGAGAGGCGUGGAUCCACACUGGUAACCACAUAGGAGGGCAAAUGACCAAAACAUGCCUACGGAGCUCGGGCCUGGUCGAGGCGAUGCUGCGCCCAGUUCUUCACGUCGUGCGCCUUGGAGUCCAGCUUCGCGCCCGCGUGGUCCACCGUGUCAGCCCCCAUCGGCGAGGGCGACCCGUGCGACAGGUACUUGUACAUCCACGCCAGCACCGCCACCGCCGCCGCGCCGAACGCCCCCGACGACACGAACCCAGCCGUCAGCAUCGUCACCGCUAUGGCCGCGGGCACCAGCACGGGGCUGAAGAUCACCAGCAGAGGCGUCGCCACGAUGAGCGCCAGCACCGUGCCCGUCAGCGUCAGGGCCGACAGGAACAGCAUCGACCCGGCGGCCGCCGCCGCGGCCACCCCCUUCGCGAGGGUGACGGCCGCCGGCUGGUUGUGGCCCUGGCCGUGCCCGCCGUAGUAGUCGUCGUCGCCGCGGAUGGCCCGCAUGUAGUCCGGCCCGACGGCGCUGCCGCCUCCGUACACGCCUCCCCGGUGGAACGCUUGCUCUCCAGCCAUGCCGGUAGCCAGAUGCACACUUUAAAAGCUUCGCUACUCCGAAACCUGAGCCUUACCUGAGAAAUGCGAUAACCAAAUGCGCCGUGGGUUUCUCGGCGAGAUGGAUUGUGGUAUAUAAGAUGUGAUGUGAGUGAGAGUGUAGGGCGGCGGUGGAGCGAGUCUCGAACAUGUGGACGCACAGCAGGGUACGUGGUGAUCUGCAUGGAUAGCGAUGCCUCAAGCCUUGCCACGUACGUGCCAACUUGCAGGCUCCCGGCGCACUCUCGUCUUACGUGUUGCGAAUGCAGUACCCUUCCCCGCCGCUGAGCUCGACGAGCAGCCUGCAGGACAUGGUUCCAACAUGACGUCUUUCAUCGACGGCGUGGGCGUUGCCUUGCUGGCCCGCGCGUCUGGAGUUAAGCUGGACGCCGCUUUACACAUUUUCACCUAGAGACACUUCGCCUCUAGACAAUUCUCGAACCUCAAAGUCUGUUUUAACAGGUUUUCACCUAGGUUAGGCAGUUUGGACAUUCAUCUUGUUAGAAUAAUCCGAGGCACUUCGUCGAUCAUCCGAAGAUCAAGCAAACACACAAGUACUACACCGAGAUUUGUUAACGAGGUUCAUCGAUAUGACUACAUUUCCGGAACAUGACUACGGUCGCUCCUCCCUCUGACACCGUCAUAAUACCACAUCCUGGCCGUCCUGGGCGCCGGCAUACGUCGCCGACUCCCCCUGCACACCUGUGUUAUUAUGUUGGCAUAGGUUACAUCGUGUGUCUAGACCCGCUAUAUAUGAGAGGCCUAGGAUACAAGUGUCCUGCUUGGACACGACUCCAUAUCCUAUCUAAACAUAAUACAACUACAAGUCCAACUGUAACCUACCUUGUACAAUAAUAUUCGACACAACUCUAACAAACUCCACCCUGGCGAAUAUUCUCCACCACCUUGAAUUCGUUCAUGCGUCAAUCUUCCAUGUACAUUGGACUUGAGCGUAUCCCAUGAGCACCGCUGCUACUCCAAAGAGUCGAUGUGACUUCACCUGCAACUUGUAGUUCCUUCUUUUCCUGACCAUAGUCAACGCUCGAACGAAAUUAAGCUCCACAUUACUCUAGUUGCGCUCCCAACUUCCAGAGUAUCCAACAUCAUCACAUACCGAUCACUAACCUACGUGAAAGUGAACAACUCAUAUUGGGUGUCGCUCACACAAGAGUUACCUGAACUCAACAUCACUGCUUUUCCUUGACCGCCUGUCUGAAACUUGAAAGAAUUUCGCCAUUGCUUGUAGUCAUCUCGAGUCAAAUUCGCAGUUUGUUUCACCACAUGUAUGACCACCAGAGCCCUAGCCCGUCUCCAUGUCCCGUGUGUACCGUACGCCUCGCCGCUAUUACCAAGUCGAGCCUCCGCUGUCCCGGUCGAGUCUCAAGAGUCGCGAACCCACACCACUCAACCCCCGCUGCAGAGUACCACCGAUCCUCACCGACCGAUGACGAGUAUCACGUUUCCAUCAGACCAGCGAGCUCUAGUCCGAACCACGUGCCACUCGCUUUUCCCCGAGUGAAGUCCUUCAGACUCCAGCUCCACCUUCAACAUGACUCCAUGGUAGAUAAUCAGUCCAUCCCUUGCGCCCCGUCGACUUCAAGCUCACAUGUGCACCCUCUUGAAUCAACCCCGCGCCAUAGUCUUGUCGAAGCCACACAAGCCCUAGAGCAUGCGCCGCGUGUUUCCACGCCCAGAAGUCGGUCACCAUCAGCAUCACGCUCCUAUGUUGUCGUCGCCGAUCCUACCACCGUCUUCUAUACCAACCGACUCGCGUCGACCCGUCAGACUGUCCAGUCCGACCCAGCCGAAAUCGUCCGACUGUCGUGAAUUUCCAUCUAUCACAUGAUAAUUCCAUCUAAGCUGGCUUAACUUCCCGCAACGCCUUCAAGCAUUCCUGUUGCGCCAACAAUCUUUCAUCCAUGUCUGCCAUAACUCAAGGUUUUCAGUUCCAUCGAACUUCUUCACCUCAAACCUGAUGCCUGAUGACGUCAUGAUUCUUUAAACGGGUGACCUUGCGAAAGACGACAUUGGCCUCAACUCGGAUACUAGCAAUUACCUUGUCAACGCCUCCUGCUAAUUCCAAUGGAUACCAACGUGAUGGAUUGUUCUUUCCCAGUACGAUCAGCUACCGCCUCUUUCCAUGUCGUAUACGAGGACACGAUCCUCUCUUUUUCCCCAAACAAAUCUCUGCAGUUUGCACUCUAGACCUUUCACGCAGAGCCUGUCGAGCUCCUUUCGUGCCUGGUCCACUAGCUCAACACAUGCACGCACUAGCUAGCUCCGAAUACACUUCGACCUCAACCGACUGGCCUGCCACGCGUGCCUCCGGAUCGCACACUUGCCAUCGACACGGCAUGCCGCCACACACGCCUGAUCAACUGAUCCGCCGAUCGAUCCGAUCCGCCGAUCGAUUGCCGCACGUCCCUUGCAACGCUGCUUUCCAAUCCCGUCGAGAACUCUGCCAGCUUCUAAUUGCUUCAUGAUGAUUACAACACGACCAAUACAUCUGCUUUGCAUCAAAACUCGCUGUAUUACGAUUGCUUCCUGCAGACUUUCAUCGUGUUUUGUUCCCUCCUCUAGAUCAACCUUUUGCAACCUCUCGUCAACCUAGCUCAUGAUACCACUUGUUAGAAUAAUCCGAGGCACUUCGUCGAUCAUCCGAGGACCAAGAAAACACACGAGCACGAUACCGAGAUUUGUUAACGAGGUUCACCGAUAUGGCUACAUCCCCGGGGCAUGACUACGGGCGCUCCUCUCCGUGACACCAUCACAAUACCACACCCUGGCCGCCGGCACACGCCACCGGCUCCCCCUGCACACCUGUGCUAUUAUGUUGGCAUAGGUUACAUCGAGUGUCUAGACCCGCUAUAUAUGAGAGGCCUAGGAUACAAGUGCCCUGCUUGAGCAUGACUCCAUAUCCUAUCUAAACACAGUACAACUACAAGUCCAACUUUAACAUACCUUGUACAAUAAUAUUCGAGACAGCUCUAACACGUCUAGCCACGUCGGACAUCCGGACAUGCGUAUGCAUAGAUGGAUAUUUAGAGGAUAUUGUUGGAUGAUGUGCUCCUGCUUCAAUGUGUCCGCUUUAUGGGUUAGCGUUGGAGAAGCCCUAAGGUCGCAAGUUAUGUAGACAUGUAUUUUGUCGAAGACAACUUUUCGUCCUAGGCUCAUUUGGCCCAGAUAUCUUAGAGAUUGGAUUAAAAACAAGGCAGUGACGCGACAUGGUCUAAUGGUGGGAGAAGGACUGGGAUUUCCUCACAAUUCAGGUGACUUAGAGUUACUAAAGUCUUGAGUCGCAAAUCCACUGACUCACAUGUGAGUGAAACUUAAUCGUCCGAGUUAGUCAUUUGAACCAAAAAGAGGAUACAUGACUUGCAUACCAUGGCAUGAUGCAUGGCACGUUGUCGGUAUUAAAACCGGCAGAUCUCGAGUAGGGGCUCCGAACUAUUGAUCUUGGAUCGACGGGUUACAAGAGACAAGGGAGACAAUGUUUACCCAGGUUCGGGCCCUCUUGAUGGAUGUAAAACCCUGCGUCCUCCUCUUGUUAUAUUGAUGGGGUUGCACAAAGUACAUAGUUGAUCUACUUCGAGAUCAGAUGUUGUGGUCUACACCCAAACAUUAAUGAGCUUAAUCUUUCCUACGAACUAUGGCCCUCUGAUAUAUACAUACCAGGGGCGUUAAGGUUACACAAUGUUGAUUAAAUCAUGAAAGGAAUAUACCAAUCACUAUGUGUCCUUGGAUUAGACGCCAAGUCUUGGGAAGAGUCCAUCUUGAAUUCAGCAUCACUUAAUGAUGGUAGAACGGUCCAGGAGUCUGACCCAUGGAAAUGAGCAAGCGGCCCGAGGACCCUUUAGUCCCGGACUCCCUCAGUAGACCCCAAACUGGCCCUCCAAUGCCGUAGUCUUGACCUUCAUCUACUUUAUGCUCCCAAAGACUUUGGCUUACGAGGCGAGUUCCUCUCUUCUUACAUUUAGCCGACAAUAGUUCGGUUGCUGAUGACGUACCCUCUUCCACACACACACACACACACACACACACACACGAACACACACACACACACACACAGAUAUAUAUAUAUAUAUAUAUAUAUAUAUAUAUAUAUAUAUAUAAGGCCGAUCGUUCGACCAAUAAUAGUGUUUUUUGCCUCACACCCUUUCUAACGAAAGGUCCCGGCUGGUCAAGGUCUAUGACCUUUAUGGUAGCGUGGUUCGAGACCGUCUUUACUGACACGUUCCAUUAUGGAGAUCAUGUUCCUCUUUUUCAGGGAUAUGGUUUAUGAUUUGGAUUAUCCCACACCCGCAUAACCGCACAAUUUUAUCGGGAAAUGACGAAGUUCACUACGUAGUAGUGGGACUCUUGUUAUCUCAGUUGUUCAUAAAAGGUAAAACCGUCACCAUAGCCUCCUAAUACAUUCCAGAUCUCGCAUAGUUGUUGCCUUUCCCAGCCUCCAAACCUCCAGUGCCCAAGUUCUCUUAUUCGCUCCACUUCCUCGAACCCUAAUUCCAAUCCGGCCAUGGCCAGCUCGGGCUCGAAAGGCAAGUGGAAGGGCUCAUGCGUCACCGAGAAGGAUAUCCACGAACUAAAGAGCUCCAUUUUUCUACCGGAGAACAUAGCCCACCGUGCCCCGAAAAAGGACAAGUCAUCCCCACACCAAAAGACGGGGACAGGGUGGUUUUCGUUCCUCAUUUUUGUCGGGGUCUUGUUUUUUCCCUUCACCCCUUUGUUCAGGGUAUUAUGUAAUAUUAUGGGGUAGACUUCCAUGAUCUUCCGCCAAAUUCCAUUAUGCACAUCUCAGCCUUCAUCGUAGUUUGUGAAGCAUUCCUGCAAUUUCAUCCCCACUUUGGCAUAUGGCCGAAGGUCCUCAACAUCAAGCCCAAAGUCGUUAAUGGCGAAUAGGCUGACUGCACGGGAGCAACAGUUAGCAAACUCGCUCGGAUCCAAUGUGUGGAAGGCACAUUCAUAGACACCAUCAAGGUGUGAUAGAAAGAGUGGUUCUAUAUCAUGGAGCCACGCAACACGGAAGGAGUAGCUUCGCCGGCAUUCAGAUUUGGUCCUCCCAUCGAACUUGUGUCCUGGACAGAGAAAGCCCUAGAUUGGGGGGGGGGGAGGCNNNNNNNNNNNNNNNNNNNNNNNNNNNNNNNNNNNNNNNNNNNNNNNNNNNNNNNNNNNNNNNNNNNNNNNNNNNNNNNNNNNNNNNNNNNNNNNNNNNNNNNNNNNNNNNNNCAAAGAAAAUCUCCGCUAUAAUGGAGAAGAAAAUCGAGCUCACCAACGUGGUCCACGUAAUGCUACACCGCCACCUUCUCCCUUGCCAACAUCGGGCCAUCCCGAUGUGGGCUUAUAAUCCGGACGACCCGACCACUGUGCGGAACUUUUUCCUCAUUACUCACGAGAAGUUGUGGAAAUUGUUGUUCAAGCCACAGUAGACUCGGCCAACUGAAGAAGAGGACGUUGGCAUUUCCGUCCUUAAUCCUACCGGAUCGGUAAGGUUUUUAUCAUAUUAUUAAUUUUCAUCCCUUCCUCUUAGUAAAGUGCUCACUUCUUCCUUCCUCCAUUCUCGCAGAUGUGGCUAAAAAAGUCCCAGCAGGUCACUGAUGACCCACAAGUGUAGGGGAUCUAUCGUAGUCCUUUCGAUAAGUAAGAGUGUCGAAUCCAACGAGGAGCAGAACGAAAGGACAAGUGGUUUUCAGCAAGGUAUUCUCUGCAGGCACUGAAAUUAUCGGUAACAAAUAGUUGUGUGAUAAUAUAAUUCGUAACGGGUAGCAAGUAACAAUAGUAACAAAGGUGCAACCAGAUGGCCCAAUCCCUUUUGUAGCAAGGGCAAGCCUGGACGAACUCUUAUAUAAGGUAAAGCGCUCCCGAGGACACAUGGGAAUUUCUGUCAAGCUAGUUUUCAUCAUGUUCAUAUGAUUUGCGUUCACUACUUUGAUAGUUUGAUAUGUGGGUGGCCCGGUGCUUGGGUGUUGUCCUUACUUGGACAAACAUCCCACUUAUGAUUAACCCCUCUCGCAAGCAUACGCAACUACGAAAGAAGAAUUAAGACAAAGUCUAACCAUAGCAUUAAACUGGGGGAUCCAAANNNNNNNNNNGCCCCUUGCGGAGGAACGCAUAAACUAGGGUUAAGCUUCUGUCACUCUAGCAACCAAUCAUCUACUUAUUACUUCCAAUGCCUUCCUCUAGGCCCAAAUAAUGGUGAAGUGUCAUAUAUUCGACGUUCACAUAACACCACUAGAGGAAAGACAACAUACAACACAUCAAAAUAUCGAACGAAUACCAAAUUUACAUGACUACUUAUAGUAAGACUUAUCCCAUGUCCUUAGGAACAAACGUAACUACUCACAAAGCAUAAUUAUGUUCAUGAUCAGAGAGGUAUUGAAUAGCAUUAAGGAUCUGAACAUAUGAUCUUCCACCGAGUAAACCAACUAGCAUCACCUACAAGGAGUAAUUAACACUACUAGCAACCUUACAAGUACCAAUCGGAGUCGCGAGACGAAGAUUGGGUACAAGAGAUGAACUAGGGUUUUGAGAUGAGAUGGUGCUGAUGAAGAUGUUGAUGGAGAUGAGUCCCCUCUGAUGAGAGGAGUGUUGGUGAUGACGAUGGCGAUGAUUUCCCCCUCCGAUAGGGAAGUUUCCCCGGUAGGACGGCCCUGCCAGAGCUCUAGAUUGGUUCUGGUCAAGUUCUGCCUCGCGGCGGCGGCGUUUCUUCCUGAAAGCUCUCUCUUGAUUUUUUUUCUGGGACAAAACCCUCUAUAUAGCAGAAGAUGGGAGUCGGAGGGGUAACAGGGGGCCCACGAGCGCCGAGGCGCGCCCAGGGGGGUGGGGCGCGCCUGGCAGGCUCGUGACCUCCUCGUGGCUCCACUCCAGUAUUUCUUCCGCCCAAUAUUUUUUAUAUAUUCCAAAAUAAUUCCUCACUGAUUUUCAUGGCUUUUGGAGUUGUGCAGAAUAGGUAUCUCAAACUUGCUCCUUUUUCAGCCCAGAAUUCCAGCUGCCGGCAUUCUCCCUCUUCAUGUAAACCUUAUAAAAUAAGAGAGAAAAGGCAUAAGUAUUGUACCAUAAUGUGUAAUAAUAGCCUAUAAUGCGAUAAAUAUCAAUAUAAAAGCAUGAUGCAAAAUGGACGUAUUAGUCACCUGCCCGGUGCCCUUACCUGAGGACCCCAUGAUGCCUUUAUUGGCAGCCAUGCUAGUCAGGAAGCCAUACACGGCUCCGAAGGAGAAGGACGAGAGGAACAAAGGGAAUAAAAAGGCCUAAGAGGGUCGUCGGUAAAAGGAUCCUUGGACACUAGGUCGUACGAUACGUUGGCUCCCUCUAAUCUUGUAACGCCCAAGAUGCGGUCCUAUCCUUAUUUCGAUGUGAGGGCUUCGAGAUGGAUAGAAACGCAUCUCGUCGUUUCGCAAGAAUGGAUAUCGUUACAACUACAUUCACUGAAAAGAUGAGUAUAAGGAGUUGGCUUAUACUCGCCAUAAGCUACAUGAAGUUCACAUCAGUACAACAACAUAAUCAGUCAUCAUGAAGGAUAAAAGAACGAUGUCCAUUCUUGCUAUCCCAGGCUGCCGCCCUGGAACCCAUCCUAGAUUGAAGAAGAAGAAGAAUUCCAAAUAGCACAACCAUCACGCUCAUGUCAUAAUAUCACUUUACGUGUACCUGCAACUGGUGUUGUAAUAAACUGUGAGCCACAAGGACUCAACAAUCUCAUUUCCAAAGGUAUCAAGACUAGCAAAGCUUAAUGGGUGAGUGCUACUUCUCAAACAACAACGCUAGAAAUUGACACGUUGACGGAGAUUGGGCUUGCAUUGGUUCUUCCCUUGAAGAGGAAAGGGUGAUGCAGCACAGGAGCAAUAAGUAUUUCCCUCAAUUUGAGAACCAAGGUACCGAUCCAGAAGGAGGGUCUCGUCAAGUCCAGAGUACAUGCGCAAACACAAACAAGCUUGCACCCAACGCUUCAAAGGGGUUGUCAAUCCCUUCAAGAUUGUUUGCAAAGUGAGAUCUGAAGGAGGAAACUGCAACGAAGUAAAAAGUUUAAGGCUGAAAAUAUGGUAUGGAGUAGACCCUGGGGGCCAUAGUGUUCACUAGAGGCUUCUCUCAAAAUAGCAAGUAAUACGGUGGGUGAACAAAUUACUGUCGAGCAAUUGAUAGAACCGCGCAAAGUCAUGNNNNNNNNNNUAGCAUAUAGGCAUCACGUCCGAGACAAGUAGACCGAUACUUUCUGCAUCUACUACUAUUACUCCACACAUCAACCGCUAUCCAGCAUGCAUCUAGUGUAUUGAGUUCAUGACGAACAGAGUAACGCUUUAAGCAAGAUGACAUUAUGUAGAGGGAUAAUCUCAAACCAAUGAUGAAAACCCCAUCUUUUUACCCUUGAUGGCAACAACACGAUACGUGCCUUGCUACCCCUUCUGUCACUAGGUGAGGUCACCACACGGUAUGAACCCAAAACCAAGCACUUCUCCCAUUGCAAGAAUCAUAGAUCUAGUUGGCCAGACAAAACCCACAACUCGAAGAGAAUUACAAGGAUAUGAAAUCAUGCAUAAGAGAGAUCAGAAGAAACUCAAAUAAGAUUCAUAGAUAAUCUGAUCAUAAAUCCACAAUUCANNNNNNNNNNNNNNNNNNNNNNNNNNNNNNNNNNNNNNNNNNNNNNNNNNNNNNNNNNNNNNNNNNNNNNNNNNNNNNNNNNNNNNNNNNNNNNNNNNNNAUGCUAGUUGGUUUACUCGGUGGAAGAUCAUAUGUUCAGAUCCUUAAUUCUAUUCAAUAACUCUCUGAUCAUGAACAUAAUUAUUCUUUGUGAGUAGUUACGUUUGUUCGUGAGGACAUGGGAUAAGUCUUACUAUAAGUAGUCAUGUGAAUUUGGUAUUCGUUCGAUAUUUUGAUGUGUUGUAUGUUGUCUUUCCUCUAGUGGUGUUAUGUGAACGUGGACUACAUGACACUUCACCAUUAUUUGGGCCUAUAGGAAGGCAUUGGGAAGUAAUAAGUAGAUGAUGGGUUGCUAGACUGAUAGUAGCUUAAACCCUAGUUUAUGCAUUCCUUCGCAAGGGGUUGAUUUGGAUCCCCCAGUUUAAUGCUAUGGUUAGACUUUGUCUUAAUUCUUAUUUUGUAGUUGCGGAUGCUUGCGAGAGGGGUUAAUCAUAAGUGGGAUGUUUGUCCGAGUAAGGACAACACCCAAGCACCGGUCCACCCACAUAUCAAACUAUCAAAGUAGCGAACGUGAAUCAUAUGAACAUGAUGAAAACUAGCUUGACAGAAAUUCCCAUGUGUCCUCGGGAGCGCUUUACCUUAUAUAAGAGUUCGUCUAGGCUUGUCCCUUGCUACAAAAGGGAUUGGUCCAUCUUGCUGCACCUUUGUUACUAUUGUUACUUGCUACCCGUUAUGAAUUAUCUUAUCACACAACUAUCUGUUACCGAUAAUUUCAGUGCCUGCAGAGAAUACCUUGUUGAAAACCACUUGUCAUUUCCUUCUUCUCCUCGUUGGGUUCGACACUCUUACUUAUCGAAAGGACUACGAUAGAUCCCCUACACUUGUGGGUCAUCAAGACUCUUUUCUGGCGCCGUUUCCGGGGAGUGAAGCGCCUUUGGUGAGUGGAAUUUGGUAAGGAAACAUUUAUAUAGUGUGCUGAAAUUUAUUGUCACUUGUCACUAUGGAAACUAAUCCUUUUAGGGGCUUGUUCGGGGUAUCUUCACCUCGACCGGAAGCACAAAGAAUUGAUCCUCAACCUACUGCACCUACUGAAAAUAUUUAUUAUGAAAUUCCUUCGGGUAUGCUAGAGAAACUGUUGGCUAAUCCUUUUACAGGAGAUGGAACAUCACAUCCCGACUUGCAUCUAAUCUAUGUAGAUGAAGUUUGUGGUUUAUUUAAGUUUGCAGGUUUGCCCGAGGAUGAGGUCAAGAAGAAGGUCUUUCCCUUAUCUUUGAUGGAUAAAGCAUUGACAUGGUAUAAGCUACGUGAUGAUACUGGAUCAUGGAACUAUAACCGAUUGAAAUUGGAAUUUCAUCAAAAGCUUUAUCCUAUGCAUUUGGUACAUCGUGAUCGGAAUUAUAUAUAUAAUUUUUGGCCUCGUGAUAGAGAUAGUAUCGCUCAAGCUUGGGGGAGUCUUAAAUCAAUGUUAUAUUCAUGCCCCAACCAUGAGCUCCCUAGAGAAAUUAUUAUUAUGAACUUUUAUGCUCGGCUUUCUCAUGACAAUCGCACCAUGCUUGACACUUCUUGUACCGGUUCUUUUAUGAAGAGAGAUAUUGAUUUUAAAUGGGAUUUAUUCGAAAGAAUUAAACGAAACUCUGAAGAUUGGGAGUUUGAUGGAGGUAAGGAGUCAGGUAUGAAUCUUAAGUUCGAUUGCGUUAAAUCCUUCGUUGAAACAAAUACAUUUCGUGAUUUUAGCGCUAAACAUGGACUUGACUCUGAGAUAGUAGCUUCUUUAUGUGAAUCAUUUGCUGCUCAUAUACAUCUCCCUAAGGAGAAGUGGUUUAAAUACCAUCCUCCCGUAGAAGUUAAUGUAGUAAAACCCAAUCCAGUUGAAGAGAAAGUUAUUGCUUAUAAUGAUUCUAUUGUUCCUAGUGCUUACAUUGAGAAACCACCUUUCCCUGUUAGAAUAAAGGAUCACGCUAAAGCUUCAACUGUGAUACGUAAGGGAUACAUUAGAACACCCACACACCCUGAGCAAACUAAAGUUGAACCUAGUAUUGCUAUUAUUAAAGAUCUCUUGGCCAAUAAUGUUGAUGGGCAUGUUAUUCAAUUCUGUGAAGCUGCUGCUAGAAUUGCUAAACCUCAUGCUAGAGACAAACAUAAACCUGUUGUUGGCAUGCGUGUUGUUUCUAUUAUGAUAGGAGAUCAUUGUUAUCAUGGUUUAUGUGACAUGGGUGCUAGUGUUAGUGCAAUACCAUAAUCUUUAUAUAAUGAAAUUAAAGAUGAGAUUGCACCUGUUGAGAUGGAAUUUAUUGAUGUUACUAUUAAACUUGCUAAUAGAGAUACUAUCUGCCCUAUGGGAAUUGUUAGAGAUGUUGAAGUCUUGUGUGGUAAAACUAAGUAUCCUACUGAUUUUCUCGUUCUUGCUACCACACAAGAUAGCUUUUGUCCCAUCAUAUUUGGUAGACCUUUUCUUAAUACUGUUAAUGCUCAAAUUGAUUGUGAGAAACAAAUUGUUACUGUUGGCUUUGAAGUUGUGUCACAUGAAUUUAAUUUUUCUAAGUUUGGUAGACAAGCUCAUGAAAAAGAAUUGUCUAGUAAGGAUGAAAUUAUUGCUCUUGCUUCUAUUGUUGUGCCUCCUACUGACCCUUUGGAGCAAUACCGGCUUGAACAUGAAAAUGAUAUGCAUAUGGAUGAAAGGAAUGAGAUAAAUAGAGUUAUCUUUGAACAACGUCCUAUCCUUAAGAAUAAUUUGCCUGUUGAAUUACUUGGAGAUCCACCUCCACCAAAGGGUGAUCCUGUGUUUGAGCUUAGACAAUUACGUGAUACUCUUAAGUAUGCUUAUCUUGACGAAAAAGAGAUAUAUCAUGUUAUUAUUAGUGAUAACCUUUUAGAGCAUGAAGAAAAGAAAUUACUGAAAACUCUGAGGAAGCACCGUGCUGCUAUUGGAUAUACUCUUUAUGAUCUUAAGGGCAUUAGUCCCACUCUAUGCCAGCAUAAAAUUAAAACUGAUCCUGAUUCCAAACCAGUUGUCGAUCAUCAAUGAAGAUUAAAUCUAAGAUGAAAGAGGUGCUAAGAAAAGAAAUACUAAAGCUCCUGGAAGUAGGUAUUAUUUAUCCUGUUGCUCAUAGUGAUUGGGUAAGUUUGGUGCAUUGUGUCCCUAAGAAGGGAGGUAUUACCGUUGUCCCUAAUGAUAAAGAUGAAUUGAUCCCACAAAGAAUUGUUACUGGCUAUGGUAAUUGAUUUUAGGAAAUUAAAUAAAGCUACUAAGAAAGAUCAUUACCCUUUACCUGUUAUUGAUCAAAUGCUAGAAAGAUUGUCUAAGCAUACACACUUUUGCUUUCUAGAUGGUUAUUCUGGUGUCUCCCAAAUACCUGUUGCACAAUCUGAUCAGGAGAAAACCACUUUUACUUGCCCUUUCGGUACCUUUGCUUAUAGACGUAUGCCUUUUGGUUUAUGUAAUGCACCUGCUACCUUUAAAAGAUGUAUGGUGGCUAUAUUCUCUGACUUUUGUGAAAAGAUUGUUGAGGUUUUCAUGGAUGAUUUCUCCGUUUACGGAUCUUCUUUUGAUGAUUGCUUGAGCAACCUUGAUCGAGUUUUGCAGAGAUGUAAAGAUACUAACCUUGUCUUGAAUUGGGAGAAGUGCCACUUUAUGGUUAAUGAAGGCAUUGUCUUAGGACAUAAAAUUUCUGAAAGAGGUAUUGAAGUCAACAAGGCUAAAGUUGAUGCGAUCGAGAAAAUGCCAUGCCCUACAGACAUUAAAGGUAUAAGAAGUUUCCUUGGUCAUGCUGGUUUCUAUAGAAGGUUUAUUAUAGACUUCUCUAUGAUUUCUAGGCCUCUCACCAAUAUCUUGCAAAAAUAUAUUCCAUUUGUUUUUUAUGAUGAUUGUGAAGAAGCAUUUGAAAUACUUAAGAAGGCCUUGAUAACUGCACCUAUUGUUCAACCACCCGAUUGGAACCUACCUUUUGAAAUUAUGUGUGAUGCUGGUGAUUAUGUUGUUGGUGCUGUUCUAGGACAAAGAGUUGAUAAGAAAUUAAAUGUUAUUCAUUAUGCUAGUAAAACUCUAGACAGUGCCCAAAGAAACUAUGCUACUACUGAAAAAGAAUUUUUAGGAGUUGUGUUUCCAUGUGAUAAGUUCAGAUCUUAUAUUGUUGAUUCCAAAGUUACUAUUCACACUGAUCAUGCUGCUAUUAAAUAUCUCAUGGAAAAUAAAGAUGAUAAACCUAGACUUAUUAGAUGGUUUCUCUUGCUACAAGAAUUUGAUUUGCAUAUUGUUGAUAGAAAGGGUGCAGAGAACCCCAUAGCAGAUAAGUUGUCUAGGUUAGAGAAUGUUCUUGAUGACCCACAACCUAUUGAUGAUAGCUUCCCUGAUGAAUAAUUGAAUGUCAUCACCAACACUCCUCUCAUCGGAGGGGACUCUUCUCCAUCAACAUCUUCAUCAGCACCAUCUCAUCUCCAAACCCUAGUUCAUCUCUUGUACCCAAUCUCCGUCUCACGACUCCGAUUGGUACUUGUAAGGUUGCUAGUAGUGUUAAUUACUCCUNNNNNNNNNNNNNNNNNNNNNNNNNNNNNNNNNNNNNNNNNNNNNNNNNNNNNNNNNNNNNNNNNNNNNNNNNNNNNNNNNNNNNNNNNNNNNNNNNNNNCCAUCAUCAUCUACGUUACCGCUCAUUGAGAAGAUCGGGCUACCCCAUAUCAUAAAGUGCAUAAGUAAAGGGUUCGGGUAAGAGAUAACCGAGGUACGCGGAGACGAUGAUGUAUCCCGAAGUUCACACCCUUGCGGAUGCUAAUCUCCGUUGGAGCGGUGUGGAGGCACAAUGCUCCCCAAGAUGCCACUAAGGCCACCGUAAUCUCCUCACGCCCUCACACAAUGCAAGAUGCCGUGAUUCCACUAAGGGACCCUUGAGGGCGGUCACCGAACCCGUACAAAUGGCAAACCUUGGGGGCGGUUACCGAACCCGUACACGUGGCAACCCUUGGGGGCGGUUACCGGUACCCGUACAAAUUGCUCGAGGCUAUCUCCACAACCUAAUUGGAGGCCCCGACGCUUGCCCGGAGCUUCACACCACAAUGAUUGAGCUCCGAGACACCACCAAGCUUCUAGGAUGCCAAAGCAUCCACGAAGAACAAUAUCUAGGGUACUAAGUACCAAAGGUAGUAAGCUUCUCAACCUUCACUUCCACGUAUCACCGUGGAGAACUCAAACCGAUGCAACCAAUGCAAUGGCAAGAACACACGAAGUGGUCAAGUCUCUCACACUCAAAUCCCUCCACAACAACGAAAGCUAUGGAGAAAUAUGAGAGGAAGAACAAGGAGCUCACAAAGAACUCCAAGAUCAAGAUCCAAGGGGUUCCCCUCACAUAGAGGAGAAAGUGAUUGGUGGAGAUGUGGAUCUAGAUCUCCUCUCUCUUUUCCCUCAAGAACAAGCAAGAAUCAUUGGAGGGAUUGAGAGUAAGCAAGCUCUAAGAAUGUCAACAAUGGAGGUAGAACAAGAGCUCAACGAAUGGAUAAGGCCAAGGGGGAAGAAGACCCCCUUUAUAUAGUGGGGGAAGGAAUCAGACCGUUACCCCCACUCUCUGCCCGAGCUCCAGCGGUACUACCGCUGGCACCCCAGCGGUAGUACCGCUGACUACAGCGGUACUACCGCUGGGCCCCUGGUAGUGCAAAGGCACUACCACCGCCAAGAAAGUCUUUGCAAAAAUGUCCGUCCACGAACAACCGCUAGGCAGGCGGUACUAAGCUCCUGGAGCGGUACUACCGCUGACCAGGGGCGGUACUAUCGCCAGCCAGCGGUACUACCGCCAACUCUAACGGUACUACCGCUAGGUCCAGCGGUACUACCGCUCGCCACUGAAACAGCCAUAACUUUCGCAUACGAGCUCCGAAUCGAGCAAACCCAAGCUUGUUGGAUUCAGGACGACAAGAGCUAUCUUAAGACCAUGCAGAUAUGAGUCCUAUAUGAAAAUGCCAAUGAUAUAGAGAUGUGAGUCCUCUAUGAAUGAAGAACCGGCAAAAACUCCAACAUCGAAAACAUCAUAGUAGAUGCAUAUGGACUCCAUUUUCGAUGAACUCGAGCCUGUCACGAAGAUGACCAUAAGCUCUAAAACUCACAAAGAGAAACACCAAACAAGAACCAAGAAGUAUGAUGCAAGGAUGCAAAUGGUUUGAGCUCUCAACGAACGAUACGAUCAAGCUACUCACUUGAGAGCCCCCCUUGAUAGUACAACAAUCUAUCCUAAACAGAAAACCUAUCAAGGGCAAACCUAUACCUUGCACCUCGUCCUCUUGAGCUAGAAGAUGAUGAUCUUGGCUUCCUCAAGAUGGACUACCUUUCUUGAUUGCGUUGGCUUGAUGAAGACUAGUUGAUUGCUCCCCCAUACUCACUAUGGGUGAGCCACUCUUCAGCAUAUCUUCACAAGUCCAUUGCCACCACAAUGGACGGCAAGCUUCAAGCAUGAUAUCUUCGUGCUGAUCCACUUGAAAUUGCACAUCGCAAUCUUGAUGACGAUCACAACUUGACGUCAUACUUCAUGGGUUGUAUGAGAUCUUCCCUUUGACGCAAGCCCAUGGAAACACACCUAACCCCCACAUAGAACUCUCACGAAGACCAUGGGUUAGUACACAAACACGUAAUGGACAAUGCUUACCAUACCAUGGGAUCACUUGAUCCCUCUCGGUACAUCUUGUACGCUUUGUGUGUUGAUCAUCUUGAUUUGCUCUUUGUCUGAGAUCUUGAUCAACCAUGUGUCUCUAUGACCAUUCUAUGGAUAAUACCUUGAAUACCACCUUGGUCAUCAUAUAAACUCCUUGAACCCAACAGAUGGACUUCAAGAAGUGCCUAUGGACAAAUCCUAUAAAUAUAACUUAAGGCAACCAUUAGUCCAUAGGAAUUGUCAUCAAUUACCANNNNNNNNNNNNNNNNNNNNNNNNNNNNNNNNNNNNNNNNNNNNNNNNNNNNNNNNNNNNNNNNNNNNNNNNNNNNNNNNNNNNNNNNNNNNNNNNNNNNNNNNNNNNNNNNNNNNNNNNNNNNNNNNNNNNNNNNNNNNNNNNNNNNNNNNNNNNNNNNNNNNNNNNNNNNNNNNNNNNNNNNNNNNNNNNNNNNNNNNNNNNNNUGGUAAUUGAUGACAACUACUUCAAGAGAGUUUAUAUAAGGAAAUAAGCAUAACCAACCGCACACAUACAAAGCAAUAAUGCAUGCGUGCAAGAUGUAAAUGCUUACGCAAUAAAAGCAAACCCCUCUAAACAUAUCCAAAGUAAACUCUCUAAACUUCUCCCCCAUUGGCAUCGAUUGCCAAAAUGGACGAAAAGUUUAGAAAGCCAAUAUAUUUGGUGGUCCUCAAAAAAGUGUGUACUUCUCAGCAAAUGAGUGCCAAGAAAUACACAAAUACAAUGAUAAGUAGUUGGAGGAAAACAAACUAUAUUGAGGACCCAAAGAUUGCAAAUAAAAGAAUCGUAUGCCACAAGGACAUACCACAAUAGAGGCAAGCAAUCAAAAGAUACCGGAUGGGACAAACAAUCAUAUGGUCCUUCGAACCACAUGAAUAAAAGAUAUUAUGAUAAAAGCAACGGAGUGUUUUAUCAAAACUAGAGAAGCUCCCCAUGAUUUGUGCACUAAUAGGAGAUUUUUGUAUAUGAUACAAGUGCACAAAAUAGGAUCGUUGCUCCCCCAAAAUUAAUAAAAACACACAAUGGGUGCAAGAAGAAAGAUGAGACAAUAAGCAAAUCUCUUGCACAAAACAAGUGUUUGAGCAACAUGUAAAAGAAGCAACUUAAGAUUAGGCUCAACCAAAAUAAUGUGUGUGAGUCAUGGCAAGGCACUUGAGAAGACUAAGAUAAGGAUGAACAUUACUCAUCAACAUAGUCUUGAUGAAAUGAGACACAAAGUGCAAGACAUAUCAUUCCCACACACACAUACUAGAAAAUGGGUUCACAAGCUUACUAAUAAACAAAAUAAGAACCAACGCUUGUGACAACCCAUGGUGAAGAAAGGAAAUAAGAGCCUUGUCAAGAGAGGAGGGAUACCAAUCGAAAUGGCAAAACCCUCAUCAAGACAGGCAUGAGGAAAAAUAAUCUUCACGGCCAAAGAGUGCAUCAAGAUGUAGGAAAAUAAGAUACACACUCAAGACAAAUCCUUUCACGAAGCCACCAAAAACUGAAAAAGGAAAUGCAACGGUGGACGUAAAAGAAAAGAGGAUAUAAAUUAGAGAUGUAACUUCUCUCAUGUGUAAAAGAUUCUAAGUAGAAGACAAUCAUGAUGAUAUAUAUCCACAAAGAAGAAUGUACACACAAAAUGGUUACAAGAAGGAACAAACUAGAUAUCCAAAAGGAAGUCAUAAAUAUAUCAAUAAGAUCUUUUGCUUGGAAGCCCUUUGUAAGAGAUGAGUUCUCGUUCGAAACCCUGAUACUUCAAGAGAGAUUGUCCGUUNNNNNNNNNNNNNNNNNNNNNNNNNNNNNNNNNNNNNNNNNNNNNNNNNNNNNNNNNNNNNNNNNNNNNNNNNNNNNNNNNNNNNNNNNNNNNNNNNNNNNNNNNNNNNNNNNNNNNNNNNNNNNNNNNNNNNNNNNNNNNNNNNNNNNNNNNNNNNNNNNNNNNNNNNNNNNNNNNNNNNNNNNNNNNNNNNNNNNNNNNNNNNNNNNNNNNNNNNNNNNNNNNNNNNNNNNNNNNNNNNNNNNNNNNNNNNNNNNNNNNNNNNCAACUUUCAACAUUUUUAGAGUUCAUUUGUAGUGCUUUUCAAUUUCAGGGUCAACUAGCUCAAAAAAAUAAGUAAAUGCACGAAAUAUACCAAAUGAAGUCACAAAUUGUUGAAAUUUUGUGACGUGCCUUUGAAUGGUGCAUUUUGAACACACAAAAAGUAUGGAGUUCAAAUAAGUUCAAAAAAAUGAAAUCCCUUUGUAAGAGAUGAGUUCUCGUUCGAAACCCUGAUACUUCGAGAGAGAUUGUCCGUUNNNNNNNNNNNNNNNNNNNNNNNNNNNNNNNNNNNNNNNNNNNNNNNNNNNNNNNNNNNNNNNNNNNNNNNNNNNNNNNNNNNNNNNNNNNNNNNNNNNNNNNNNNNNNNNNNNNNNNNNNNNNNNNNNNNNNNNNNNNNNNNNNNNNNNNNNNNNNNNNNNNNNNNNNNNNNNNNNNNNNNNNNNNNNNNNNNNNNNNNNNNNNNNNNNNNNNNNNNNNNNNNNNNNNNNNNNNNNNNNNNNNNNNNNNNNNNNCAACUUUCAACAUUUUGAGAGUUCAUUUGUAGUGCUUUUCAAUUUCAGGGUCAACUAGCUCAAAAAAAAGUAAAUGCACGAAAUAUACCAAAUGAAGUCAGAAAUUGUUGAAAUUUUGUGAUGUGCCUUUGAAUGGUGCAUUUUGAACACACAAAAAGUAUGGAGUUCAAAUAAGUUCAAAAAACCAUAUUAUGAAAUUAAAUAUUAUCAUUGACGAUUCAUCUCUAUUAUGAAAUUAAAUAUAUCAAAAAACCAUUGCAGAACAUAUGACCAAAUUAAUACAAGUUCAUCAUCACAUUAAAGCCAAAGAACAGUAGUGAUGUUAUUAUUGCAAAAAAUAAAUACAUAAAGUUCUCUCAUAAAACAACAUACAACUAUGUAAAACAUUUAAAUGCAACAACAAACGCGAUCAAAAUCGCAACUAAGGUAACAAUUGACCCAACAACAUAAUGAUACCAAGCCUCUUUAUCAAUGGCAUAUUUUCUAAUAUUCCUAAUCUUCAAGCGCAUUUCAUCCAUCUUCAAGCGCAUUGCAUCCAUCUUCAACCGCAUCGCAUCGAUCUUCAUCUUGCGAUCAUCGAUGACACCGACAACAUGCAACUCCAGUUCCAUAUUCUUAUCCUCAAUUAUUUUCAAUUUUUUCUUCAAGUAUUUGUUUUCUUUUUCAACCAAAUUUAACUUCUCGACGAGAAUUUUUAUGUGGGUUGGAAUUUACGGUUCACAUACCUCCUAGAUUAAAAAAUAUAUGUCACGUUGGUCGUCAUAAUUGUCAUAAACACUAAAUAAAACAAAUAGUUAUAAAACAUAAUAUAUACCACAUCCGAAUCAUAGACAGGACGAGGGCCGACGGAGGCGGAUACCAAAACCAUCGCACUAUAUAAUAACAAAAAGUAAUGAAAGUGAGUAAUUUAUACAAGUAUGUAUCUAAAUCAUACAAGUAAGAUUUUUUUUCUUUUAAAAAGAAGAUAAGAACAAGAGGCUCACCACGGUGGUGCUCGCGACGAGAUCGGCACGAGGCGAUCGACAAUGGUGAGGACGGACACGGGACGACACCCUACGCAUGUGCAGACUCUAAGAAGUUAAUUUGAGCAUUUGAAAUGAGCUACACUAGCAGUGACAAAUGAAAGGAUGAAGUAGCUAACCUUUUAAAACACUUGUGCAGUUGGUGCAUGGCCAAACCUAGACAAAUAUUAAGGAAAAUGGAGCUUGGAGGUCGAGCUUGGAGAGGAGAAAGCUUAAGUAGAGUGGCUCGGGCAUUUCAUCGAACACGUCAUGUGCAUGAACUAGAGUGGCAAGAGCAUGGCAUGGUCACACUUCAACAACCAAAAAACAGGGGAUAUGGUGGGCAGGGGCGAGGGUUUAUAUAGGCAACACUCUAGUCCCGGCUUUUGUCUAAAACCGGGACUAAUAGCCUAACCUUUAGUCCCGGUUCUUUCCAUGCCCCGGGACUAAAGGCCCCUGCUUCCCGCCUUCUGGUCUGCCGAAAAAGGGCCUUUAGUCCCGGGUGGAGCCACGACCCGGGACUAAAGGGGGUCUUUAGUCCCGGUUCGAGCCACGCACCGGGACUAAAGAUCCACCUGUAUAAGCGGGAGUUGGAAAAUUUCCAACCCAAAUCGUCCAUUUCUCUUCUUCUUCCUCUCGUUCUCCUGCCCGGCGCGGCACAACGACGAACUCGACGACGCCGUCAGGCUGCCCGCCGUCCUGCUCGCCGCCGCCUGCCGUCCUCCUCACCUUCGCCGUCGUCCUGCUCGCCGUCGUCGUCAUCCUCGCCGCGUGCAGCCCUCCUCGCCGUGCGCCGCCGUCCUCCUCGCCGCGCGCCGUCGACACCUCCGGCCGGUAAGCCCCCCGCCCCCUCCUCCCCAACACUCCGGCCAGUAGAAGAAAAGAAUAAAAAGGAGAAGAAAAUAAGAAAAAGGAGAAGANNNNNNNNNNNNNNNNNNNNNNNNNNNNNNNNNNNNNNNNNNNNNNNNNNNNNNNNNNNNNNNNNNNNNNNNNNNNNNNNNNNNNNNNNNNNNNNNNNNNNNNNNNNNNNNNNNNNNNNNNNNNNNNNNNNNNNNNNNNNNNNNNNNNNNNNNNNNNNNNNNNNNNNNNNNNNNNNNNNNNNNNNNNNNNNNNNNNNNNNNNNNNNNNNNNNNNNNNNNNNNNNNNNNNAAAGGAAGAAAAAGGGAAGGAGAAGAAAAGAAGAAAAAGGAGAAGAAAAGAAGAAAAGGGGAAGAAAGGAAGAAAAAGGAGAAGAAACGAAGAAAAAGGAGAACAAAGGAAGAAAAAGGGAAGAAAAGAAGAAAAAUAUUUUUUUUGUCAUUUAAUUCCUAUUGUUAUUAGGUUUGUUCUAGAUUAUUAGGGUUAGUAAUAUGUAGAAUUAGGAAAAAGGAAAAUAAAAAGAGGAGGAGAAGAAAAGAAGAAAAAGGAGAAUAAGAAGAGGAGGAGAGGAGAAGAAGAGGAAAAAUAGAAGAAGAGGAGAAGUAUAGAAGAAGAGAAAAAAUUAGAAGAGGAGGAGAGGAGAAGUAGAAGAAGAGAAGAGGAGAAGUAGUAGAAGAAGAGGAGAAGUAGAAGUAGAAGAAGAAGUAGAAGAAGAGGAGAAAUAGAAGAAGAGGAAAACUUAGUUUAGGGUUACAAGAAGAAGAAAUAUUUUUUUUGUCAUUUAAUUUUGCUAUUGUAUAGUGUAUAUGCUUAAGUGUUAAUAGUGUUUCUUAGAUUAUUGCUUAAUUUUGCUAUUGUAUAUGCUUAAGUGUUAAUAGUUUAAUUUUGCUAUUGUAUAUGCUUAAGUGUUAAUAGUUUAUUUUUAGCAAGAAAAUUAAUAGAACUAGUUUAAUUUUGCUAUUGUAUAUGCUUAAGUGUCCGGGACUGGGCUCCGCCCGACUGGUAUUUUAGAGUUUAGGUUCUAGCCAAGACCCGGGACUAAAGGUCCUCCUAUAUAAAACGACACUUUGAAGUUUCCAACCCUUCUUAUAUAGUUUGCUAGUUUAUUAGUUAAUCAAAUGUCCGUUUUUUGCAGAACUAUGGAUCCACAUAUCAGGAACCUCGAAGAGGAAGAACUUCUCGAAGAUAUAAUCAAAGACGGCCCCGACGUUGAACCAGCUGAAUCUCCGUCGUCAUAUCUAAACGCCUACCGAUAUGGAAUGGAGGUCGAGCGACACGAAGAUGAAGCCGAUGGGCAGGAGAUAGGUCCAAUGACGGAGAAGGUGAUAGCUCCACUGAUGGAGAAGCCGGUGGAGAAGCCGGUGAAGAAAUAAUAAAGUCCGGCGAGGUAUACAUAUGAUGUUCGACAAUCACUUGUAAUAUGUGAAAAAUAUUGGAGAUAGCUCUAUAUUGUAUACAUAUACAUUCACUUGACGAAUGUUUCUCCCUCUUAGGCCUCCACAUAGAGCAAAGCUACGAAACGAGGCCCGACUAGAAAGUUGGAUGCACGGACGCAUUACACCUUUGAGGUGAUAUUGCCUACGGGCGAACCCAAGCUUCCUAAGAAUGCUGCUGACACAUUCAAGAAGCAAUGCGGAGUUCUCGUUAGGGAUCACGUCCCGAUCAGCGUUCGGGAGUGGAACAAGCGCAAAGGGGCAGCCGAUAGUGACUAUGUCGCCGAAAGGUACAAAGAUAAUCUUUGGAAUGAUCUCAUGUCACAUUUCAACCUGCCAGAAUGUGAGAAUGAAGACGCCUCAGACAAACUGAGGGCCAAAGUCAAGAAGUGGACUCUAAAGAAGAUGGCCGAACUGUUCCAUAGCUGGAAGAAAAAGCUAUGGAAAAACUAUCUGAAGACAAAGAAAGUGCGAGUAUUCGAGGGGUAUCUAGCCAAGGAGGCGAAUCACUGGAAGGCAUUUCAAGAGUACAAGGAGUCAGAAGAUGCCCAGACAUUAUGAGAAAAGAACAAGAUAAAUGCCGACAAGAAGAAAUAUCACCACAAGCUGGGGCCAGGGGGCUAUGAGACUGCCAUCCCAAAGUGGGAUAAGAAAGAGCAAGAUCUGCUAGAUAAAGGCAUCGUACCUGAACCACUCCGUGAUGAGUGGGAAUUGAGAGCAAGAAAUUGGUUCCUUGCGCAUGGUGGUUCGUACGACGAAGAAACAGGGGACCUCAUCUGCAGUGACGGUCUUAGGAUACCCAGGGAUAAUUGGAAAAGGAUAGUGAAAGAAAUUAAGGAGGGAAAAAGAAAGUUCACUGCAGAUAGAGAUAAAGAUUUGCUCACACUGGUCCUCGGCAAUGGCGAACAUGGAGGACGAACGCGAGGCUUCGGUCCUUCUUACCCGUGGUGGCUUGGGUUUGCCAGAGACCAAGACACUUACAGAAGCCGAAAGAGAGCAAAGAAGCGGCAGCAGGAUGAGGAGAAUGACAAGUUCAACCAGUUCCUUGCCAGGAUUAACGAGCAACAGAAGCAGAUUGAUGAGCUUAGAGGAGUAUCGCGCCAGGAAGAUCCUGCACUUGAUAUUACGGGCACCCCAUCUAAGCGGAAAAGCAGCGUGGCUGAAUCUGAGGCCCCGCCCGACGAUGCACGAAGAAUGAUAGAGGGCGGUCCCGGCUACCCCGUGGAUGGAAUCAAGGAGUCAACAUCAUGUGAACUCCAUAAUAAAUUCAAGAACAUAUCCAUGAAGGUGGCCAUCGGACAAGCUUUACCUUCUGGCCCUGAUGCACGCUGGCAUGGCCGUGAGAUUCGAGCUGGCUUUGCUAAAGUCGGGGUGGAUGAAAUCCUGACGGGGUUUCAUGAUAUGGAGCUCGACAUAGCUGGACCCGAAGAUGAGAGGACACUCGGAGAAGUACUGGGUGGAUUCAUCCUAUGGGACAAGAAGUACAUCAAGCUUCCAGGCUCGGCCCCAAGGACAACACCGCCUCCGAGUCGUCGCAGGUCACCUACACCUCCAUUACCUCCAAGCCCUCCACAUGACGUCGGCCAGCACAACACGAGUCCAUCUCGAUCACCGCCGCCGGACUUGGGUCGUCCGUCUCCGCCGCCGCCCGCUCCGGAUACUAAGCGGGAGUGUGCCACCAAGAACGCUCCGCCGAUGAUUCCUAAGCGACGGAGCCCCCCAAAGCGCAAACGGUCGCCCCUCCCAAAGGUACGUCAUGCUAAUCUUCCUACUAGACCUUAUGAUCGUACCCCCGAGGAAAACGCCAGGAUAGCAAAGGAACAUCAUGAUGCGCAGAUGAAAAAGAAGGAACCCGAGCCCCGCCCGGAAUACACCGAGAAGCAAAUAGCAUUUGCAAAAUACUUCACGACCCUUCCAUCACAGUAUGACUUACACCAUAAGCCUGAUGACUAUACACGCACAUUGCAGAAGGAAGUGAAAAAGAGCAGAUCACGUGCAAGUGCAAGUGGGGGCAAAUCAAGUUCAACUACAAGCAAGAAAAAAUCAGACGUUCCUCAGCUUGGGCAACAGGCCAAACAGUCGAUCCCACCCCUCAAGGUGUUAACCGAGAAUGUUCCCCCUCCGGUGCAGGGGCAAGCUUUUGAAAUAGCAAAGGAGUGGGCGGCUGAAUGUGGUGUCUCGGUUGAAGUUUUGCUGGCUUCCCAAGACGACAGGAUACCCAAGGCUGUGGUAGCCCCUAAGCCACAGUUUGUCAUGGGAGAGCCUUUGGUCAGCAAAGAUGAUCUCCCAACAAAUAUGCGUUACUUGCAUCAAUGGUACUUAAGUGAAUCAAAGAAUGGGAGAACGAUGAUCGUGCUGAGUGUCCCACGGGAGUACUACGGCCGCCCCGAACAAAUCCAUAUCGACUUUGAUGAACUCUUCCAGAUGUACAAUGGCGACGCCCUCAACAAAUCGCUUAUGAGUUACUAUUGUCUGUAAGUUUUUCAAUUCGUUGUCUACAUAUAACUUGUUUAGUUAUUUCAAUUCAUUGUCUAUAUAUAACUUGUACUCUAUUAUGCAGAAUGAAGAUUCUGGAUUGUAAAAGUAAGAACAUCCUAAAUAUUGGAUUUAGAUAAAAUACAUAUAGUGACGCUAACUGAUAAACCCAAGGAGACGGAGGAAAACCUUCUAAGGUUUCUAACAGAUCAAAAUUUCUGUUACCACAUAAUGUUUCCAUACAACUUCAGGUGAGGGUCUUUACUCUGUUGUGUCCAUUCACUUAUAAGUGUAAUUGAUAAGUUACUGACACAUAUAUAUAUAUAUACAUGUGCAGCUUCCAUUGGAUUCUGUUGGACAUUCAAAUUGAUAAGGGAAGAGUUGAUGCCUUCGACCCAUUAUCGAGACCCUUGGAACAGUUCCAAAGCCUGCAGGACAUGCUCCAAGGGUAAUUUCAAUCAUUCUUGCGCUCUAUCGGUCUCUUUCGAUGAUUUUCUGAUAUAUCAAUUAAUGAAAAACUUAGCAAAUCAUUAUCCUUGUCGGGCAGGGCUUGGAAGCGGUUCAAGUGCGUGACUCCCGGUAACUUUCCUGAGAAGCUGACCUUUAGAGCGGCUCAGGUAAGUAGUAGUAUGAUAUACUUCUAUUUUCAAUACAUUUAUGAUGCUAGAUUAUUAUUUUGAUUAUAUAUAUUCUAUUCUUGUAAAGUGCGACCAGCAGCCACGGGGAACGCAUCUAUGCGGAUACUAUGUUUGUGAGACCAUUCGCACGUUUACCUAUGAGCACAAGGAUCACAGAUUCGACGUAAGCAAUGAACAUUCACACCUCUAUUUUUACCCGUCAUUCUUUGUUAUCAUGAUUGAUAUUCAUAUUCAUCUCCUCUUCUUAUAUAGUACACGGCCAUGACGACGAAGGUCCUACUAGAGCAACGCGCGAUUGCUGCUGCAGAGGAGCUUGCGACCUUUCUGAGGACGGAAGCUAUAGAUGACAAAGGAGGAUUUAGUGUAGCUAGGGGCCAUUACUGAUGUUCGUCCAUGUAAUCGAAUAGACGGCCUCUAGUCCCGAUAAUUCAGAUCUCCAUAUAAUUGUAUAUAUAUGCUCGCUUGUAAGAUAAGUUAAUCUUAUAUAUAUAUAUAUAUGCAUAAUUAUUUCUAUUUAAAUUAUAUGAAAACUAAUUCCCGAACACCAAAUAAGGCAUCACGUUAAUCUCCCGAACACCUAAACCCUAAAACCCUAAAAUCCAAAAAUAAUUUCAUUCAAAAAAAAAUCCAAAAAUGAACAAAAUCUGAAACUCUUGAGUCCCGAUCCGUGUAACGAACCGGGACUAAAGGGCCUGCCCCUCGGGCGCUACGAGACGCCCACGUGGAGCACCUUUAAUCCCGGCUUGUAACAGGGCCGGGACUAAAGGUUAGGCCUUUAGUCCCGCCCCUUUAGUUCCGGUUGGUGAACCGGGACUAAAGCCCCUUACGAACCGGGGCUAAAGGCCCCGUCCCCACUAGUGAAUGGAAUAGUCCAAGUAAGCAUGCUCCUCCUGAAACCAUGCGUACAUACGCGAGCCACUCACGGCCUCACGGCUUCUCCUUCUGGAUAUGGGCGUAGAUUAACCAUGUGUUGACUGGACUAGCUAUAUAUGAAAAUCCAAAUGACAGACUCGAUCGAGUUGCUUCAUGCAUGUCUUGUUCGUGGAAUUCUUUGCCAGUGCAAUAAAAUUCCUUGCCAUGGUGCUAGACUUUCCAGGCAAACUGCAGAAAUUGCUCGUACAAAUCCACUAUAAAACCCCCUCUAAACUGAAGCUAUACGUACAAAAGCAUAGCCAGCUAGCUACGGCCUACACAUACGCAGGCACAAAGAAAUCAUUUAGACACCAAACCCAGAAUGGAGACGCCCAAGCUGGCCAUUUUGCUCGCCCUAGCCAUGGCAGCCGCCAUGGUUAAUCUUUCCCAAGCGCAAAACUCACCUCAGGACUACCUUUCACCCCACAACGCCGCCCGCGCUGCCGUCGGCGUGGGCGCAGUGAGCUGGAGCACGAAGCUGCAGGCGUACGCCCAGAGCUACGCCAACCAGAGGAUCGGCGACUGCAAGCUCCAGCACUCCGGCGGGCCCUACGGGGAGAACAUCUUCUGGGGGUCGGCCGGCGCGGACUGGAAGGCGGCGGACGCGGUGAAGCUGUGGGUGGACGAGAAGAAGGAUUACGACUACGGGUCCAACACCUGUGCAGGGGGGAAGGUGUGCGGGCACUACACGCAGGUGGUGUGGCGCGCGUCGACCAGCAUCGGCUGCGCUCGCGUCGUCUGCAACAACAACGGCGGCGUCUUCAUCACCUGCAACUACGAGCCCGCCGGGAAUGUUGUUGGACAGAAACCAUACUAAACUGUGAUUGCUUUUCGCAGUACAUAUAUUCAUGCACGCUCGUAUCUAUAAUUAGCUAGAGGGGCUGGGCGAGUAAAUAAAAGGAAUGCUGUAAUAAGCUAUGUAUUCUCCUCUCCAUCAUGGACUGUAAUAAAUAAU